rnacentral:lncRNA from 1 species
UGGACUGGUCAGGGUGGCGUGAGCUCACUGGGAUUCUGCGUGCGGCGGUGACAAUGUUCGUGUUUGGUAGUGUGUGCUUGGUCUUGCUCUUCCCAGUGGCGCUUGGUUGGUCUCGGAUCCUAGAUGGCUGGUAGAAGACUCGGCUCCCGAUGAAAAUCCUGCAUUGACUCUGUCGAUGCCAACGGUAACGGCAUCAUUAGAUGUCAUCUUCUUCCUUGGAGGUAUCGUUGUGGAGGUCGUUGCUCUUCCUACCCCAUGGCUGAGGUCUCUAGGAGAAAGCCUAAGAUCUGGCUCAGUCAGAUCGGGUGAUGAUGAUGUCCUCAACAUCAUUUCCUCCUUGGAGGCGUCAUCUUGGAGACGUUGACGAUGGAUUCCGAUGGUGUGCAUGGUUGCUGGAGGAGCUUGGUAAAACUAAUCCAGCAAGACCUCCCGGCGUGCCGACACCCUGAUAGUAGCUGCGCGUAUCUCGUCUUAGGCCAUGUCCGGAUCGGUUAAGCUAUGAGUAAAACCAGAUCCUUGGGUUUCCCCGCGGUGGCCAUGCAGGUUGCCCGUUUGGGACCAACACCAUCAGCACUGGCCCCCCUGCUAUGUAGAAAGAAUCCUCAGGUUCAUGACGCCCUAUGCCAAUUAAUUAGUUAGUUCAAGAAUUAUUAUGGCAAAUGUUAAAACCAAUGUUGGGCCUUGCUGGAAGAGUUUUAUUCAAAGCGAACUGUCAAGAGGGGCCCAUAAACCCUCAUCGUGUUAGGGAUGCAAAAAUCAAGGAACAUAACACCGGUGUGACGGAAACUAGUGCGGCAAGAGUAGAACAAAACACCAGGCAAAAGGCCAAGCCUUCCACCCUUUACCAAGUAUAUAUGUGCAUUAAUUAAAUAAGAUCUACUGUGAUAUCCCAUGAAAUCCAUGUCCCAACAUGGAGGAACCUGCAACUGCACCUGGAACUAGCAACGCUAUAAGAGGGGUUGAGCAAAGCGGUAACAUAGCCAAACAACGGUUUGCUAGGAAGGGUAAAAAAUGUUAGAGGCUAUCAUGGCAAUUUGGGAGGCUUGAUAACAAGUGGUAGGUAGCGCGACAUAGCGAUAGCAUCGAGACAACUAGCAUAGCAAAUAUAGUAGUGAGAUCCAAGGUGACGGUCAUCUUACCUGAAAUUCCGCUAGGAAGAAAAACGAGUCCAUGAAGAAUACGAAGCCACGUAGUCGAACGAAUCCUCACAUUCGCAAUGAAACAGGAACUAUCGAGAAGGAGCACAACCGGAAAGACAUGAUGCUCAACCAAGUAUGAUCCAUGACAAAGCUACAUGAUGCUACUCAUGGCAAGAGAUGAUGCAUAAAAGAACAAUACUUCAAGGCAAGUUUAAAUGAGGUCGAAAACAACAUAGAACAAUUCUGGUAAGUCCUCAUAUGCAAAUUUCGAAAUUGGACCAUAUUUGAACAAAACAUUAUGUUGAACUGGUUAUACAGCAAGUUAAAGUUCACCAAGAUGAUCUACACAAUUUUCUAGUCAAGUUACAUAUAAAGUUCGUUUAAUUCGGAGCUACGGCCUAAAAGAUAUGAGCAAAACAAGUUAAACAUGGCAUUAAUGCAAAAGCAAGCAAAACAACAUCACAAACACUCCAAAAUAAGGAUGCAACAAGGCAUGAUAAAACUACAUGCAAAAUUAAGCAAGUUUCAUAUAGAGCAUGCUCAAAACGGAGCAACGAUUCAACACAUACACUCAAUACAAGUUUCAACAUAAUCUGCCCAAAACAGCAACUAGGCACUUUGCAAUCAUGGAAACAACAUGCUACAGGAAACAUAUGGACACAAACAUGACAUGCACUUAAAGUACAUGCAACAUGCUUCAAAUAUCAUUAAGGUUCAGGUUCAUGGGCAUCAAGAUUAAUCCAAGAUGAUCAAUGCAAAAAGCGACUUGAUGAACACAGAUCAUGACUUCGUGAAAAACGGGGCAUACAUGUGAGCAGGAAUAACAUGUUCACAUGUUGGAGACAUGAAACAAUGAAGCUACAGUGCAAGAACAUAACAAGCAAAAGCAUGGCAUUAAGGUACAGGUUAAACAUGCAAAAACAUGAUUACUAAGCAUCUCCAUAUGAGCCCUAGAUCAAUGGCACUCAACAAGACAAGAUGCAAUAUGACAUAAACUGAUUCUCAGACUUGGAGGAAAUCUGGGAAUGCAAAACAAUAGCAUUAUGAUGCUGACUUUGGAAGCACAUAACAGCAAGCAUUGCAACUUUAAUGAUUGGGUAAAAUACAUGGGCAUGUAUUAGACAUGAUAUACUUCAACUUAGUCCAUGGGCACAAGUUCAUAUGAAGCAUGGAGUAAUUACUAUGAUGCUUGCAAAAAGGAACAUGUGGUUAACAGGAUGACAGAUUUAGCAUCAUGGCAACUGGGGAGCAAGAAAGAGACAAACUACAGCAAGUUAUAUGGCAACCAAGGGCAUGGAAUAAAAGUACACAUAACAAGGAGCAAAUAACAUCAAGGCAUCAUAACCAUAUAACUCAUGUACUAGUGGGAACCAUCAAGACAAGUUUGAAUGUUGUAACAAUUUCAACAAGUGUAAAACAACAGCAACAACAUAGCAUAUUUGCAAGCUUGGAAACAGAGGUCAUAUGGAGUCCAAAAUUAAAAAACUUGGCAUGUUGACAAAGUACUCAUAGCAUACUUAAAAUCAUGUAAUUGUAGCAUCUCUAAAAGAGGCAUAGAUUGAUCAAUAACAAGCUCACAACAUGUCAUCUUGAAGUUAACAGAAAAACUGGAACAUCAUUUAGGCAUGUUCAUGGCAAUGAAAACAUAUGCUACAUGACAUGUAUGAGGCAUCAAAAAGCAUGGCAUGAAAUAACAUAACAUGGACAUCAAAAGAUGUCAACUAGGUAUCUCCAGAUUAUGCAUGGAAUAGAUGGUCGCAUCAAACUAACAUGGCAUCACAAUGUAAUAGUUACAGACUUAACAAAAUCAUUAAGUAUUAGAAAACAGCAACAUCAAGUAGCACACUUUGCAAGCUUGUGCUAUUAACCACAGGGCACAUAAAAAUACAUGGAUGGCACCACUUUGAAGAUGGCAUGAUUAUGCUCCUAAAACAUGUUGACAUGAUGCUCAAAAGACAAACACACAAAAUGCUAUGAAAAAGACAAAUCAGCAAGUUAUGACAAUUUCAUCAGGUUAUAACAUUUAUCACUUUUGCAAUGAUGAUUAAGGCAUCAAUAUGAACACUAACAUCCAUGCAAACUACAUCAUCAUCUAGAGCGCUCAGACAUGAACAUAACCAAAAAACAUGCAUGCAAAACGGAGCAAUAUGCAUGAACUUAAGCCACCACAAACAUGCACAUAUGAGAUGAUUUUCAAAGGACUUAGUAAAAAAGAACAAUUUAGGGGGGUCGGACGGACAUUAUCUGGGUCCACUAGACGUGUCUGGAGCGGGGCAGAUGAGCUCCUGGUGCCAUGGCCGGAGCUGCGCGCCGGCGAGCUUGGCUGGGCGUGGCGAGGUCAGUGGGACACUAGGGACCGGCGGAGGAGGUCGGGGAACGACGGAUCCGGUCGGAGGAGAGGCGGAGGGCGCAGAUCCGGCGGGUUCAGGCGGAGACGAGGUCCGGCCGAUGGAGACGAGGAAGGAUGGCGGCGGGGCAGCGCGCGGUGGUGCGGCAGGCGACAGGCGGCGAGGUGGCGGAGGGAGCAGGCGAGGAGGAGCGCGCUCCCCUCGCUCGGGGCCUUCGGGCCCGAAUCGGCCCGGCACGGGCUAGCGACGAGCCUCGGCGGGCCCGUGGCAGCGGGGCGUGAGCUGGUGAGGUGGCGCGGGUGACAUGGAGCCCCGGGAUUGGACGAGGCGGCGGCGCCCAGUGUGGUGGCGCCAUGUGGCGACGGUGAAGUGGCAGCACGGAGGAGGCCAAGUGGUGGCAGCGGAGCGGGCCGCCGCUGAAAACUAGGAGGGAAAGGUGGCUGCGGGUUAGGCGAGGGGUUAGGCUAGGGUUAGACUAGGUUUAACCAAAUUUGGAAGUGGGGGUGUUUAAAUAGCUAGAGGGGGCUAGGAGAGGGGAAUUGGGGAGCCGUUUUCACCCACACGAUCAUGAUCCAACGACGGAGAGCAUGGACGGGCUUUAGAUGGGCUAGUGGGAUGUUGUGGAGGGGUGCUGGAUGCAAAGCGAACGAGGGGUUUCGGUUAAUGCGGUUAACCAUUGGGGCAUCAAAUGACCUCCAAAUUUGACGAAGUUUCACAGGAGGUCUACCGGUGAUAUACCAAGGCCACUCGACAAAUCUUGUUCCAUUCCGAGAAUGUUUUUCUCCUGCUCAUGAAACAAGAUCUGAGAGGUGCAACGGGUGCAUGUGAGAGUGUCGGAUUCCAAAACGGACAACGAAGGAAAAGACCGGAUGCAAGUUUUGAAAACAUGAGGAUGCAAUGCACACGAUGACAUGACAAAACGCAACACGCAAGCAAAUGACAUGGCAAUGUUGGCGAACAACUGGAAGACACGUGGCGCAUUGGGCUCGGGGCGUUACAAGGGGCCUGAGCGCUUGCUUUACUAGGGUUGGUCUCUUCAUUCUCUCAUCCUCUCUAGAUCUAAACAAGACAGCGGUAGCAACAUUUUCUCUCCGUUGACUGCUGGUCACAGAUCCGGCUGGAUCCCUUCGGCCAGUGUGUGUAGAGGACUAGGUGCAUCAUUCACGCGGUCAUCGACAUUGAGGGAGGAAACCCACAACUACUGGCGGGUCCCGAUCCUCUGCCCGUGCCUUUCUUUCUGAUGCAGCACCGGCUUCGGAGGUCCUCUAACCCUUCUUCCUACCUGAAAGUGCGUUAUAUCGACUAGGGGGGGUGAAUAGGCGAUUUUUAUGAAAGUCUUCAAAACAUGGGAGUUUUGAAGACAACCAAUAGAAAUGAACCUAUAACCAUGUAGCGGAAGGUAGACUACCCUAGACAAGCCACAGUGAAGUAUUCAAUGAAGUGAAAGCACAAAGACUAACAGCAGCUAGGCAGUACGGAUCAGGAUGGAAGAUAAUGUGAAAUCAAUCUGAACAAACAGUCACACAAUGAAGACAAAUGGACAAUGCAAAUAGGCACUGACUUCACAAGGGCCAACUAUAAAUAAAGAGAUGGGAAGGAUAGAACCAGUGAGCUUGGUGAAGACAAAGGUUUGGUAGACCAGUUCCAACUGCGGUGGCAGUUGUACGUCUGGUUAGGGCGGAUAGGUAUUUAAACCUGAGGACACAUAGUCCUGGACACCCAGUCCUGAACACACAGCUCAGGACACUCAGUCCUCACCGUAUUCCCCUUGAGCUAAGGUCACACAGACCUCGCCCAAUCACUCUGGUAAGUCUUCAAGGUAGAGUUCCAAACCUUCACAGACUUCGUUCACCGGCGAUCCACAAUGACUCUUGGAUGCUCAGAACGUGACGCCUAACCGGCUGGAGGAGUCACAGUCCUCAAGUGUAAAAAGUCUUCAGAUCACACAGACAUGAAUACUUAAGUGAUGCCUAACACUCUUUGGCUCUGGGUGUUUAGGGAUUUAUCCUCGCAAGGAAUUCUCUAUCAAAGGCUUCGAGGUGGGUUGCUCUCAAACGACAAAAGCCGUACUCUAACUCUGAGCAGCCAACCGUUUAUGGUUGUAGGGGGUGGGCUAUUUAUAGCCACUAGGCAACCCGACCUGAUUUGUCUGAAAUAACCCUUGGUCACUAAGGAACUGACACAUGUUCCAACGGUCAGAUUUCAAACACACACGACAACUUUACUUGGGCUACAAGCAAAGCUGACUUAUCCAACUCUGGACAAGAUUUGCUCUCAUAGUCUUCACUCGAAGACAUAGGAUUUUUUGUUAAGCAUCACUUCAGUCAUACUGACUGGUUUUCUUGGACCACACUUGUGGGGACCCCGACUCAUAAGUCGUGAUCACCGAAUGCACGUGUACAGUGAUCCCAUAGAUCAAUGCUCACUGAACACACAGAAGCUGAAUAACAAGAGUCUUACAUCCAUACAUACCGUAUUACACAAGUAGGACCAUUAUGGUCAAGUCUUGAGUAUAACAUCACAGCAGAAAUCUUCGUCGAUAACUUGGACCCAUGCCAUCUGCCUUAACCCUACAGGCAUUCUGACUGGGAAGCGUCCUAGAUCGCAUGUUCGUCACCGAGGUACUCUUCUUCAUAUUAUGUUCUUUCAUGCCUGGCCAAUAAAAUAACUAGUGGCAAGCCAAUGAGUACUUUGAAUGUACUCGCAAGCAACCCAAGGGUGAUAACAGAAUAAUUGUGCAAGGCACUACUGCUAAAUUGGCAUUUUUGCGGAAAGCUAGUUUUUCUCAUGCAAGUAUGAUCAACAUUUAUCAAGGAUAUGAAUGUGUAUGCAACAAGUAUUAGGAGGUUACAGACAUCAACAUCGGGAUAGAGUUGUGAACAACUCAUACUCAAGCUCAUCGUGACUUCCUCACGAAUCACGUCAACAGAUUUACCAAACUGUGUUGUUUGUCAGAAACAUAUGGACGUAGUCUAAGAAGCACCACCCAACUAUCCUUGACCGUGGACAAUGCUAUUCGAAUAGUUUUACACUCUGCAGAGGUUGCACACUUUACCCACAAGAUCCGGGGAACUUCCGUGUCAUCCACGACCCGCGAUACCUCAAGUACCCGUGGUAAGCACCCGAUCACUAUCUUUCCCUAGACGACACUAACAAGGAGUCCACUCGUUGUUCCGUAUCCUCACGAUGUACAUCAUGCGAGACUCACUCGAGAUCGUAACAUCCGAGAGGGGACACAACGGUGUAUCCGGUGCCCUGUGAAAAUAGUCAUGGCCGCCCUACCUGGCAGGACCCCGUCCCGAGAGAGAGCACCAACUCUCCCCCGUCACUAGUAAUGCGGGCUCCAAGCUAGUAUCGGCCUAGGUAAUCAAUAAUGCCCUUUCCCAUACAAGGGUAGAGUGGUUGCGCAUGUAAGGUUGGGACAGUCGACAAAUCUUAAAUCUAAUCCGUCUCUGUAAACAACACUUUUAUCGAGCCUCAGUACACUACCUCUCCACCAAGUAGUGACCUAGUUCAUCAUCAUCUCCCAGGGGCAUUAGUGGAACCCACUGGGCUUUUUGCAAGUAUGUCAAACCACACUUGUUUCUUUCCAUGCAUAACCCUGAUCUACUUUGCGUAGCAACUACUUAGCAUCCUAUCUACUUCCACCGGCUUAACCCUCAUAGAAAGGUAGGGUCAUGCAUCAUGCAAGUGUCAACGAGAAAGACAACAGAGGCACCACCUCAAGUGGCCACCACUUUAUCAUGACUUCGAUGCAAGCAAUAAAAGUGCUAUAUGACAUGCAUAAAAAGGGUUUCAUAGACAUAGUCAAAGGGCUGCUUGCCUUGGUCUACAAAGUCUUCAAGGUCUUCAAAUAUCUCUGGUCCAUCUCCGAGCAUUUCGUCUACUUCGUCAACUAUCGUCGAAAACAACCAUAAUAAGCAACACAACAAGGCAAGAAUAAAUGUGCUCUAAAAAUAUGAAGUUGAAUUUUAUUGGAUACGUCUGGUCAUAUGAGGAAUGACCAAAGUGAUUUCAUUGGAAGUGGAUCAAUGGAUAUUUCUAAACAUUUCCAUAUGAUGGAAUCAAGGGGUUUAUGAAAUUGCAAGAAGUGUACAGAAACAUACUUUUAAAAAAUGAGCAAAGGCACCCAUUUAACAAAGGAUGAUUUUAGAAGCAUCUAGGAAUUGGUUUCACUGGAUUUGGAGUUCAAAUGGAUUUCCUAUGAAUUUGCAAAGUUGGCUAUAUAUGAAGAAAUAGACCAUUAUUUGAGGUGAUACAGAAAGUAUUAGUAAAAAUGUUCAAAAACUAAGUUUUGAACUUAUAGACAUCUAGGAUUUUGAAUCAUGGAAUUUGGAUAAAAAAUGGGCUCUCUCUGAUUUUCUAAAGUUUAUCAAAGAAAUGGAAAAAUAGGAUUUGCUAAUUAUUUGUGAAAGAAAUAUUUAUGUAAAAAUGUGCAAGUAGCACCAUGUGAUAGGGAAUGAUUUAUGGAGUUACUAGAAAUUUGAAUCAUCCAAUUUGGAUAUCCUUUGAGUUGCUUAUGGAUUUUUGAAGUUUACUGAAAAAGAAAAAAACAAAGGAUUUACCUACAUGGGCCGGAUCUGGGCGGUAGCAGCGCGCACUGGGCAAGGCUUCGCAGUUGGGCGCUACUGGGCCGGCCUAGCGGCUUGGCCGGACGGGCGCAAGGGGCCGCGUCGAAGGCGGGUUUGCUGGUAUACGCCUUUGCGCGAGGGAGACGGCAAAGGCGAAAGCCGUCUCCACUUAAACGGGCGUGGCCCUCUGCCGACGUCGCUGACCUGCGGGUCCCGCACCAACUCUCUCUCUCUCUCGCCUCCUACUUCUUCCUCCCGAUGGGCAGAGGCAGGGGACAGACGGCGAGCGCGCUGGCAACGAUUCUGACUGCUCCGCCGCGCCCGGGGCCAGGCCGGUGGUUUGGGCGGAUGCCCCGUUCCACGCCGCGCCAAGAGGUGGUUGCGCUGGACGCGGGGAGUGCCAGACUUGGGUGGAGCGUCGGCCAUGGCGGAGACCGGUGACGGCGAGGAUGGGCACGGCGAGGCAGGCAUGGGGAGUUGGUCCUAGUGUGCGGGAGAGGCUUCUUGGGGUCGUGGGAGUCCUCGGGAUGGGUCAGUGGGAGCGGGAAAGCAACGAUGGCUCGGCUACGCCCGACGGCACGACGGCGGUACUCCGGUCAUGGAGGUGGGAAGAGGGCGUGAGAGGGAGAGGGAGGCUGUCAGGGAGGUGUAAUGGAGAGAGGGAGAGCGGGGAGAGGCCAGAGUAGUGCUCGGGGCAGCCUUAUAUGGUCGGGGCUGCGGUGCACCGUAGGCGCGGCCUAGGGAGCGCUCGGCAAGCUCUGCGGAGGGAGAAAGAGGGCAAGGGAGGAGGGGCCCGACAUCCUUGCGUGUACUGGACGUCGAGGCGACCUCGGGGGACACGAGGGGGAGGCCCGAGGUGGCCGGAGGCGGUUGGAAGGGGGCGGCUACAGUAUUAGAGCGCACUGUAGCGCGCUCCAGAGCAUGCAAAUGGCAUGCCAUGGCAUUUUAUAUGCCUUGUGGGCGCAGCCACUAAUGUCUGGUAGCUCUAGGAGGGAGUAAAGAAUGGGGGAGGGGCAUUGGAUGCCCUGGGUGGCCACUAGAGUGAGGAGGGAGGUGAGAAAGGGGAAGAAUGCUGCUGUCCAGAAGGAUAAAUGGGGAUGUUUCUCCCUUCAAUCAUUGAGCUGAGGCCAGGGAAGAGUUACUGGAGGUAGGAGGGGACUACGAGGAGCUUUGGUAAAGAGCUGGGCUCAAGGAGAUUAGUGGAAGAGGUCAAAAUGAUGAUUUUGGAAAAACGGCAGAAGGUGUUUGUUGAUGGUUUGAGCAAGUAAAUUAAUUCCACUUUCCAUGAGAAUUAACAUGAUGAAAUGGCACAUAGAAGUAGGGUGUUCCACCAAGUUUGAGCUCAUUUGGGCAAAGUAGCCAAUGUAACUUUGGUAAACCCUAGAAAUCAGCAGAAAUGGCUUUACCAAGAUUUAGUCAUGCAAAUCUAUUCUCCUUGAUGCACCACUUGGUGUAGUGUCAUCAUUUGAGGAUUUUAACAUGUCCACAAAAAUUCAGAUCAAAAGGACACAAUUGGCAAUGUAGAGUUGUUCAAAUUUGGUUCUGGACAAAAAGGGUUUUGGGGCACUUUUGUGAACCAAACUUGUUUUGAUUGAUAUGAAACUUUGCAAGAUCAUCACAUUAUGCAUAUAUGACUUGAUAGAAUUUUCCUGGAUUUUUAUGAAAAUAUUUCCUAUAGAAAUAUUUCAAAUCCUUGAAAUGGGCAGAAAUGGUUUUGAGGGGAUUUCAUGGGGUUAUACUAUUCUCCAUAACAUGAGGCUUGGCAAGAUAAUCAAACAUGUCAUAUGUGACAUGAUAGAAUUUUCUUGGAAUUUUUGGGAAAUAUUUCCUUUGUAAAUAUUUCAAAAGCUUGAAAUAUCCAUAAAGGAUUCUUGAGGGAUUUGACCAAUAUUUUGAACAUGACCAUGUGUUGAAACUCUUUUAUAUGGGAAAUAUAUGCCCCCUGAGUUUCCCUGAUUUUUGCCAAAUAUUUUUGAAACAAUAAAAUAAUUUUUCCCUAUUAAAGACCAUUUCUGGCCUUAAGAAAAAUCUUUUAAAUAAAAUAGGAAAAUAACUUUUAAAAUUAUAUUUUUGUGGUUUCUCGGUAUCCUAUAUCUAAUAGGAGUCAAACAUAUUUUUGGAAAGAUUUUUACUGCCAUAAUUAAGUACUUGCAGUGCAAACCUCAAUUCAAGGGUUUUUGGAAAACUAAUUUUAGAAAAUACUUUUUGGCCAAAUUAUUUUUGUAAGAAAUUAUUUUUAUGUCCUAUACACAUGGCAUGAUCAUUGAUUCAAGAGUUUGGAGCAAGGAGAUGAAUUGUAGGAGUUGGAGGAUUUAUUUGAUUUUUAGCGCACUUGCAAACAACAGAAAAAAUCCAAACAAGGCAAGGUCCAAAACACUCAAAAGUUUUUGUCAAACCACAUUUUAUCAUGAUUUAUUAGCUUAAGUGUUGUGGCAUGAAAAUCAGGGUGUGACAGACCUACCCCCCUUACAAGAAUCUCGUCCCCGAGAUUCCCAGACUAGGCGCGGAAAGGAAUACGGAAACUUGGAUUUGGGGUAGUCUUCACGUCCUCAUACUGCUUCUGCUUCCGUUUGGUGCUCCAUUGAACCUUGAAGUACUCGAUGGCAUGGCUUCGUGUUUGUCGUCCUGCUUGAUCCAGAUUACAAUUGGGAUCUCUUGCGUAGGUCAUAUUGGGCUGGAGGUCGAUGGCUUGUGGUCGAUGUCCUUGUGGAGACCGGGCUAGUUAGGAAGUUGGAAACGUUUCCGGAGUGUGAUGCGUGGAAAACUUUGUGCACAAUGGAUAACUCAGGUGGUAACUCUAGCUGGUAGCCGUCUACUCUUCAUAUUGAGGUGAUCUCGGAGGGGGCUGAUGAACCUUGGUGUCGGUUCCCUUCGCAUGGAAAUUCUUGGUCCCAUUGAGAGAAGUGGCUUGCAGAGACACCUGGUCUUCAACGCGGACAUUUAUUUCUUGGUGAUGGUGGUUGGUAUAGUUCUUCCUCCUUGGCAUGGCGGUCUUCAAAUGUUUCUUCACCAGCUCAGUGAUUCUUCUUCCGUCUUCGGGUAGACAAGUAUGUUACCAAAAUAAGGAUGACAACUAUCUUGUCUAAGCACUCCAUGAAAACUUUGUUCAUGGGGUACAUAAAGUAGGCUGGGGGUAUUGGUGGUGGUCAUGGUUGAGUAUGGUCCGAGGUGUUCUCGAUUUGGAGUCAAGACCUAUGGUAAUGACCCGACCAUGUUGUGGCUUAGUAGGGCUUAAGGGUUUCAAGGAUUCUAGUGUGCGAGUGAACAUUUAUCAUGUUAUCCUUGAACACAAUUCCUGAGAUGCCAAUUGUUCUAUCUAGUCCUCCAAACAGGUCACCUUAUAUCGCUGAAAGCAUCAUUUCGUAUAGGUCAACUCCAAUCAUUACUCAUGUUAUUCAUAUCCUCAUGACUCCCAAGAGGAGGUCUAACAAAAUCAUAUAUGUCUACGAUCCCCAAACUCAUAUGUAUGGCUACCCCUAAAAAUCCAUGGGUAGAGCAUAUAAGCUGCUAAGCUUGAAUUUAAUCACCACAAUCCAAGUGCUCAGUCUAUUGAUCUAAGAUCCAUGAUAAAGCAUCUCUAUCCUAAGGAAACACGUCGUAAGCCACUCCAAGAUUUUGUUUCCUUCCUAUGAAUCAACUCCAAUAGCCCAUUAACUUCCAUUAAUCGCUACAUAAUCCAUUAAUUCUACAAAUCCAAUGUCUAUGGUGUCUCACACAAAUCUUCUAACGUCCUAUAGUCCCCAAAUACUUGAAAGGGAUAUCUCUACUAUAGUAAGUCCACCAAUUUCCAUUAUCAUGGUCAAGUAAACUCCAAGGUCAAGCUUAUAUCAACUCCGACAAUUAAUCCAAUCUCCUAGUUUAUUUUCCUCCAAGAAACAUGGUAUCAUGAUCGAGAUCAUUAGUCUAAAUCCAAUUUACUCUGAACCAUGUAGACUUACUCACCACCUAUACUCAACUAGGAUCACCUAUUUAAAUCCAAAUCUCAUGUCCAACGAGAAUUCCUACAUGCUUCCCCAAAGUCAUUAUCAUAAUUUCAACUAUCUCCUAUCAAUAUCCCCUGGCUAAGUCAAAUCCUCAUACUUCCAAGAAUUCAGCUUGCGAUCUUAAUUGUCCCACUAAUUCCAAUUUAUCCAGGAGUAAUGAGAGUCAUGCUACUCUAUUAACUGAUCCCUCCAAGUUCAUCUACCAACAUGAAAGCCUCAUAAUCCACCAAAUAGUCUCAUAUAAUUUCUCAAAGUCAUUGAUAUAAACUCAUCAAGUCAUUUGUCCUCUAUUCCUAUAUCCUCAAACUGGUCUUCCCUAUGGCAUCGUCGGUCCUGGUGCUAUAUUAGGAUGAUAAUGUGCUUGUUCACUAUGUCCACUAGUUCCAUAAUGAACCCAGUGCUGUGCGAGGUUUACAGAGGCUUAACUGGUUCUCUUGCAAUUCUGUGGGUUAAGCACAUGGUUAAGGACUCGAGCUGGGGUAUCUCAUGAAGUCUCGAAGGGUCUAGGAAUGGGUUUCUAGUCUGGAGGGUCAAACAUAACUCUACGGGGUUUCACUUGGUCGAGGAGGCUGCAACAAAAAGUCUUCAGUGCUAGUUGGUCACCGAAGUAGACUCCUUGGUGCAUCUUGUCUUGCUGGUCUUCCAUUGAGGAGAGAGAUGAGAGGGAUAAGUAGCAUAAAGGGGGAUGCCUAAAGGGGGUUCUAUAGUGCAGGUGCAAACAAACAAGUGCCAAAAAGGGCCAAACACAAACAACAAAAUAAGGCAGGUGAUAUAGUUGCGUACUUGUUGCCUAGGGCAAAAAGUGCGACUUAUAUCAAAACACAAACAAAUAAAAACAAGCAACACACAAUCAUGGUUCUAUUCGAGCCAUCAUACGGACUCGACUGCGUAUACGGGGUACACGACUCAUCCUACCCUAGGGGUUCUCGGACUAAGUAGUCGCACUUUACUUCGUACCUCAUACAGUCUUUUGGGUUUUCCUCACGUGUCGCUACGUCUCUUGUAGUUGUUUGAUGAAAUGAUCCGGGUUGGGCCUAAAGAAUCUUCAUCAACUUCUCGCCUGUUGAAGUGAUGGGGUGAAGGUGGCUCCUCGUAACUGGCAUUGACUCGGUCUUCUGUUGUCUUCUUAAUCAUGACGAUCCCUUUUUGUCUUCUGAGGCCUCGAUGGUACUAAGUAGGUAAUCCUUUAUGCAGUGACAUUAACAAGGUAUAAUAGAGGUCCAAUCGGUCGGACUCAUUGUUGACAAUAUCAUCACCGAGAGCGGGGGAUGAAGAGAACCGCUUUCCUGCUCACUAUAGUGAGGCGAACCAAAUGGCUAGGUUCUCAUCCACUGGUGGUUGCCGAUAAAACAACGGUAAUGACAUGAUUGGUCUAUUAGCGAUGUAUAUCAUGGUCUUGCAUAUCUUACACCUUGAUCGUCAUAGGACAAGGUUGCAUCAUCGUGGGGCAAUUUCAAAGGUGUCACCAUCCUCUGGGUCUUCAUGUCCUCAUUCUUCAAAGGCCUAUCUUCUGUUGGCAUCGUCUUGUUGUGGUGUAGCUAAUCUUGGGUUCAGAAGAGGUGGGUGAGUGUUUGGCAAGGUGUACUCCUUCUAGGCUAUCCACGAGGAUUACAAGGGAUCCCGUGGUCAGGGGCUUGAGGGUGCUAGCGACUGUUUGCAAUAGUUUUGAAGGGAAGAGAUCGAUGGGGAAAGUAUACAUUAGUUUUUGAAAAACUGAGAAGGGAAGAGAAGUAUAGAUAGUUUUGAAAACUUGUAAUAGUUUUGGAAAUAGUUUUACCCUAACUAACGACCAUGCUAACUAAGGCUUCCUACAGUCAGGAUGGCUCUGAUACUAGCUCUGUGGGGACCCCGACUCAUAAGUCGUGAUCACCGAAUGCACGUGUACAGUGAUCCCAGAGAUCAAUGCUCACUGAACACACAGAAGCUGAAUAACAAGAGUCUUACAUCCAUGCAUACCGUAUUACACAAGUAGGACCAUUAUGGUCAAGUCUUGAGUAUAACAUCGUACCGGAAAUCUUCGUCGAUAACUUGGACCCAUGCCAUCUGCCUUAACCCUACAGGCAUUCUGACUGGAAAGCGUCCUAGAUCGCAUGUUCGUCACCGAGGUACUCUUCUUCAUACUAUGUUCUUUCAUGCCUGGCCAAUAAAAUAACCAGUGGCAAGCCAAUGAGUACUUUGAAUGUACUCGCAAGCAACCCAAGGGUGAUAACAGAAUAAUUAUGCAAGGCACUACUGCUAAAUUGGCAUUUUUGCGGAAAGCUAGUUUUUCUCAUGCAAGUAUGAUCAACAUUUAUCAAGGAUAUGAAUGCGUCAGCAACAAGUAUCAGGAGGUUACAGACAUCAACAUCGGGAUAGAGUUGUGAACAACUCAUACUCAAGCUCAUCGUGACUUCCUCACGAAUCACGUCAACAGAUUUACCAAACCGUGUUGUUUGUCAGAAACAUAUGGACAUAGUCUAAGAAGCACCACCCAACUGUCCUUGACCAUGGACACGGCUAUUCGAAUAGUUUUACACUAUGCAGAGGUUGCACACUUUACCCACAAGAUCCGGGGAACUUCCGUGUCAUCCACGACCCGCGAUACCUCAAGUACCCGGGGUAAGCACCCGAUCACUAUCUUUCCCUAGACGACACGAACAGGGAGUCCACUCGUUGUUCCGUAUCCUCACGAUGUACAUCAUGAGAGACUCACUCGAGAUCGUAACAUCCGAGAGGGGACACAAUGGUGUAUCCGGUGCCCUGUGAAAAUAGUCAUGGCCGCCCUACCUGGCAGGACCCUGUCCCGAGAGAGAGCACCAACUCUUCCACGUCACUAGUAAUGCGGGCUCCAAGCUAGUAUCGGCCUAGGUAAUCGAUAAUGCCCUUUCCCAUACAAGGGUAGCGUGGUUGCGCAUGUAAGUUUGGGACAGUCGACAAAUCUUAAAUCUAAUCCGUCUCUGUAAACAACACUUUUAUCGAGCCUCGGUACACUACCUCUCCACCAAGUAGUGACCUAGUUCAUCAUCAUCUCCCAGCGGCAUUAGUGGCACCCAUUGGGCUUUUUGCAAGUAUGUCAAACCACACUUGUUUCUUUCCAUGCAUAACCCUGAUCUACUUUGCGUAGCAACUACUUAGCAUCCUAUCAACUUCCACCAGCAUAACUCUCAUAGAAAGGUAGGGUCAUGCAUUAUGCAACUGUCAACGAGAAAGGCAACGGAGGCACCACCUCAUGUCGCCACCGUUUUAUCAUGACUUCGAUGCAAGCAAUAAAAGUGCUAUAUGACAUGCAUAAAAAGGGUUUCAUAGACAUGGUCAAAGGGCUGCUUGCCUUGGUCUUCAAUGUCUUCAAGGUCUUCAAAUAUCUCUGGUCCAUCUCCAAGAAUUUCGUCUACUUCGACAACUAUCGUUGAAAACAACCAUAAUAUGCAACACAACAAGGCAAGAAUAAAUGUGCUCUAAAAAUAUGAAGUUGAAUUUUAUUGGAUACCUCUGGUCAUAUGAGGAAUGACUAAAGUGAUUUCAUUGGAAGUGGAUCAAUGGAUAUUUCUAAACAUUUCGAUAUGAUGGAAUCAAGGGGUUUAUGGAAUUGCAAGAAGUGUACAGAAACAUACUUUUAAAAAAUGAGCAAAGGCACCCAUUUAACAAAGGAUGAUUUUGGAAGCAUCUAGGAAUUGGUUUCACUGGAUUUGGAGUUCAAAUGGAUUUCCUAUGAAUUUGCAAAGUUGUCUAUAUAUGAAGAAAUAGACCAUUAUUUGAGGUGAUACAGAAAGUAUUAGUAAAAAUGUUCAAAAACUAAGUUUUGAACUUAUAGACAUCUAGGAUUUUGAAUCCUGGAAUUUGGAUAAAAAAUGGGCUCUCUCUGAUUUUCUAAAGUUUAUCAAAGAAAUGGAAAAAUAGGAUUUGCUAAUUAUUUGUGAAAGAAAUAUUUCUGUAAAAAAUGUGCAAGUAGCACCAUGUGAUAGGGAAUGUUUUAUGGAGUUACUAGAAAUCUGAAUCAUCCAAUUUGGAUAUACUUUGAAUUGUUUAUGGAUUUUUGAAGUUUACUGAAAAAGAAAAAGACAAAGGAUUUACCUACAUGGGCCGGAUCUAGGCGGUAGCAGCGCGCACUGGGCAAGGCUUCGCAGUAGGGCGCUACUGGGCCGGCCUAGCGGCUCGGCCGCACGCGUGCAAGGGGCCGCGUCGAAGGCGGGUUUGCUGGUAUACGCCUUCGCGCGAGGAAGACGGCAAAGGCGGAAGCUGUCUCCACUAAAACGGGCAUGGCCCUCUUCCAACGUCGCUGACCUGCGGGUCCCGCACCAACUCUCUCUCUCUCUCCCGCCUCCUCCUUCUUCCUCCCGAUGGGAAGAGGCAGGGGACAGACGGCGAGCGCGCCGGCGACGAUUCCGGCCGCUCCGCUGCGCCCGGGGCCAGGCCAGUGGUCUGGGCGGAUGCCCCGUUCCACGCCGUGCCAAGAGGUGGUUGCGCUAGACGUGGGGAGCGCCAGACUUGGGCGGAGCGUCGGCCAUGGCGGAGACCGGUGACGGCGAGGAUGGGCACGGUGAGGCAGGCAUGGGGAGGAGGUCCUAGUGUGCGGGAGAGGCUUCUUGGGGUCAUGGGAGUCCUCGGGAUGGGUCAGUGGGAGCGGGAAAGCAACGAUGGCUCGGCUACGCCCGACGGCACGACGGCGGUACUCCGGUCAUGGAGGUGGGAAUAGGGCAUGAGAGGGAGAGGGAGGCUGUCAGGGAGGUGCAAUGGAGAGAGGGAGAGCGGGGAGAGGCCAGAGUAGUGCUCGGGGUAGCCUUAUAUGGUCGGGGCUCGGUGCACUGUGGGCGCGGCCUAGAGAGCGCUCGGCGAGCUCUGCGGAGGGAGAAAGAGGGCAAGGGAGGAGGGGCCCGACAUCCUUGCGUGUACUGGACGUCGAGGCGACCUCGGGGGACAUGAGGGGGAGGCCCGAGGUGGCCGAAGGCGGUUGGAAGGGGGCGGCUACAGUGCUAGAGCGCACUGUAGCGCACUCCAGAGCGUGCAAAUGGCAUGCCAUGGCAUUUUAUAUGCCUUGUGGGCGCGGCCACUAAUGUCUGGUAGCUCUAGGAGGGACUAAAGAAUGGGGGAGGGGCAUUGGAUGCCCUGGGUGGCCACUAGAGUGAGGAGGGAGGUGAGAAAGGGGAAGAAUGCUGCUGUCCAGAAGGAUAAAUGGGGAUGUUUCUCCCUUCAAUCAUUGAGCUGAGGCCAGGGAAGAGUUACUGGAGGUAGGAGGGGACUAGGAGGAGCUUUGGUAAAAAGUUGGGCUCAAGGAGAUUAGCGGAAGAGGUCAAAAUGAUGAUUUUUGAAAAAUGGCAGAAGGUGUUUGUUGAUGGUUUGAGCAAGUAAAUUAAUUCCACUUGCCAUGAGAAUUAACAGGAUGAAAUGGCACAUAGAAGUAGGGUGUUCCACCAAGUUUGAGCUCAUUUGGGCAAAGUAGCCAAUGUAACUUUGGUAAACCCUAGAAAUCAGCAGAAAUGGCUUUACCAAGAUUUAGUCAUGCAAAUCUAUUCUCCUUGAUGCACCACUUGGUGUAGUGUCAUCAUUUGAGGAUUUUAACAUGUCCAAAAAAAUUCAGAUCAAAAGGACACACUUGGCAAUGUAGAGUUGUUCAAAUUUGGUUCUGGACAAAAAGGGUUUGGGGGCACUUUUGUGAACCAAACUUGUUUUGAUUUAUAUGAAACUUUGCAAGAUCAUCACAUUAUGCAUAUGUGACUUGAUAGAAUUUUCCUGGAUUUUUAUGAAAAUAUUUCCUGUAGAAAUAUUUCAAAUCCUUAAAAUGGGCAGAAAUGGUUUUGAGGGGAUUUCAUGGCGUUAUACUAUUCUCCAUAACAUGAGGCUUGGCAAGAUAAUCAAACAUGUCAUAUGUGACAUGAUAGAAUUUUCUUGGAAUUUUUGGGAAAUAUUUCCUUUGUAAAUAUUUCAAAAUCUUGAAAUAUCCAGAAAGGGUUCUUGAGGGAUUUGACCAAUAUUUUGAACAUGACCAUGUGUUGAAACUCUUUUAUAUGGGAAAUAUAUGCCCCCUGAGUUUCCCUGAUUUUUGCCAAAUAUUUUUGAAACAAUAAAAUAAUUUUUCCCUAUUAAAGACCAUUUCUGGCCUUAAGAAAAAGCUUUUAAAUAAUAUAGGAAAAUAACUUUUAAAAUUAUAUUUUUGUGGUUUCUGGGUAUCCUAUAUCUAAUAGGAGUCAAAAAUAUUUUUGGAAAGAUUUUUACUGCCCUAAUUAAGUACUUGCAGUGCAAACCUCAAUUCAAGGGUUUUUGGAAAACUACUUUUAGAAAAUACUUUUUGGCCAAAUUAUUUUUGUAAGAAAUUAUUUUUAUGUCCUAUACACAUGGCAUGAUCAUUGGUUCAAGAGUUUGGAGCAAGGAGAUGAAGUGUAGGAGUUGGAGGAUUUAUUUGAUUUUUAGAGCACUUGCAAACAACAGACAAAAUCCAAACAAGGCAAGGUCCAAAACACUCAAAAGUUUUGGUCAAACCACAUUUUAUCAUGAUUUAUUAGCUUAAGUGUUGAGGCAUGAAAAUCAGGGUGUGACAACACUUAACAGUACGGUGUUUCCUAUGACUCAUCAAAGAAAAACACAGGACGACGAAACUGCUAAGUCUUCGCGCUCCAUAGUCUUCACGUGAUGUCUUCUCUUAUCAUAGUCUUCAAUGUGAAUGUCUUCACAUAACACCUCUGACUUCAAUGUCUUCAUACAUUUUUAGGGGUCAUCUCUUGUAGGAAAACCGAAUCAAUGAGGGACUUCUAACUGUGUUAUCCGACAAUUCUCACAAACACAUUAGUCCCUCAACUAGGUUUGUCGUCAAUACUCCAAAACCAACUAGGGGUGGCACUAGAUGCACUUACAAUCUCCCCCUUUUUGGUGAUUGAUGACAAACUAGUUGAAGUUUUCAACGGGGAAUAAGAUAUGUGAAAUUGUAAAGGAUAGGUUAUUGUCUUCAUAAGUGGCAAAGGCUCCCCCUGAAGAUUUGCAUAUAAGUAAUUUGCUUUUGGUAUGCAAAUGCACAUGGCAGGUUGUACUUGUGGAGAUCCUCUUCAACUUAUGAUGACAAUUUAUCAUGCAUGAAAAGUAUGUGAAGAUAAUGACAUGCAUAAUGAAAAAUGGACAUCUGCAAAAUGAUCUAAGUGUGGAAUUUAUCGUCGCACAUGCGGAAUUUAUCAUCGCAUCACAGAAUAGCAAAUAAGUAGCAAGCGACCAUCGAGUUUAAGUGUUACAACUCAAAGAACCAAAUGUAUCAAAACGAGAGUUGUAAACACUAGGCAAAAUAUAAAGCUACCGCCCAUAUGAACCCGCUUGAAGACUAUCAAACUCAUAUGCUUCUCCCCCUUUUGUUAGUAAGGACCAAAAAGGUUUGAAGACAUGGAGCAUCUACUCAUUCCCAUGAGGAGUAGGUGAAGCAGCAGGGUCAUCGGUGUUGUUAGGCAGUGCAGACGAACUCGGGGCAGUGUCGAUGCAUGUAGAAGUAGGGGGCGGUAAAGUAGCAUCGUCUUCAUCAUCGAUCACUCUGGCAUUCACAGUUGCAGUAGAGGAGGAGAAUUCAGAGUCUUCAAGAGACGGAGUUUGUCGCAGCACAGUCCUUCUUGGAGGUGUUGAGUCAAACUUGAAGCGUUCAGAGAAUCCAUUAUCUUGAAGAUCAUCUUCAGCACACAUAAGCGUCAACCCUUUCCAUGUACGCCGACAGGUUUCAUGGGCAACAAAGGCAUUCUUGGUGGCCAGGUUGCGAAUCCUGUUUACGUCCACCAAGAGGCUUUGCAUUUGGCGCUUCAGCCAGUCAUGAUGCUUAUCCUAUUUCUGAUGAAGUGCAACCAGAAGUUCUCGGUCGUUGAGAACACGAGAUCCCUUCUUGGGCCGUUGGGCAAUGGUGCUUUCUGUUGGUUCAGUGAGGGCACGAUGAGGUGCACGUGUAGUACCAGCCAGAGGAUAAACACGAGUGACUGCUUGAACUCCUUCAAUGUUUUGAGAGAAGCUUUGAUUCUCAGCAUUUUGAAGACUAAGGGGCUCCUUGGCAGGCUCUGGAUAGAUGGCUUCAACUGACAUAUCGAUGUCAGGCAGAAAGAUCCGAUGAUUGCGAGAAGAGGGCUGAUAGGUGAUAGCUGAGUGUAGUUUGAUUAGCCGCAUAAUCCAUGGAGCGUAAAACUUCAAGCCAAAGAGAUCAGAUCCUGAUGCAGCAAGUUGGCGAAUAAAGAAUUCUUGUGCAUUGAAGCUUUUGCCAUGAAGAAUAUGAAAGACCAACGUCUUCAUUGCGCCAUCUAGCGUGGCAUGUGGAGAAUGUCCUUUGAUGGGCCAGAGAGUUCACCUUAUGAUGUGAUAGAUAGUGCGUGGCAGAUACUCUGGGUCUUCAACAAAGAACUCCUUAGGAUAUUCAGCAUCUGGAGGCAAAGUCUUCAUCAUGCUAAGCAUCUGACUCAUAUUGGGCUCAGGCUUGUGGAAGAUGCUUUCCAUAGCAGCACUAUGAAGCUGACAACCAGGUUCAUACAGAUCUCCUGGAGUGGGCAGGCCAGUAAGCUCAAUGAUAUCAAAGGCUUUGGCUUCAUGAUGAACAUUGCCUGUAAUCCACUCGAGAACCCAAGUCUUCAUAUCCCUAUUGUAGCCACGGAUAUGAAGAGUGGCAUAGAAUUGGAGCAGCAAUUCUUCAUUCCAGUGCUCCUUAUCAGUGACGAACUGCAGCAAGCCAGACUCUUUGAAGCAAUCCAGAGCUUCUUCCAAACAGGGCAGUCCAGUUAUGGCUUCAGUGUCAAGACGCAUAUGUGGGAAAAUGCGACCUUGAUUGUACAGAAUGCAUGAGUAAUAACUGCGCUGCUGAUAGCCAGAACCGAUAAGAAGAUAUUCUUGACUUGAUGUAGGGGUUCUUGGCACUAUCAAAGAAGGUGUUGUGUGCCUUCAAGCCAUUGAUAUUAAAAGAUCCGGGUGCAGAUGCAGUACCUGGAAACCUGGGCAACCUUGGCAUUGGCUUCUGAACCUGAGGCCUGUGCUCAACGUGAUAGUCAAACUGAGGACCAGCAGCAGGCGGAGGAGUCAGAAUGGGCCAUUCGACAUUGAUAAGUUGGCCAUCGUUGAAAGCUUGCUCAAUAGUGUGUGGCCUUGGUGGCGGAACAGGAGAAGUGGCAUCAACAGAGGCGUCAGGCUGCACAUCUGUUGCAAGUGCAUCAUUGGCUUCAUUCGCCUCUGGCACAUUGGUUGGUGCAGGCUCCACAUUUGCUUCAGCCAUGACUACGUCAUUGGCUUCAUUUGUGUUGGUGGUGGCAGCCUCAAGAUUCUCAACCUCCACUUGAUGAACUGGAGGGUCGGGCACAGACACGUUCACUUUAGGAACAGCUUCUUCAGAGUUUGGGGGUGUAGGGACACGAUCUUCUUCUUGUUUGUCAUUAGCUGAUGCAGCCAGAUUGUCUUCAGCACCUUUGGCUUCAGACUUAGAGACAGUCACAGUAGGAGUGGCAUCUGGAAACACUUGACGUGCAACAGAUUGGUGGUGCACUUCUCCUUCUGGAACGCUCGGAAGAGGGACUUGAGACCUUGGUCCUUUGCGAAGCCUGCGUAGCGCUGGCAACGCCUGUGGAGAUGGAGUUGGCUGGGCCUCAAAGUCAUCCUCUUCUUGCACAGAUGGGGUUGCUUGGGGAGAGCUUGGAGUCUCUUGUCUCUGUGGGUGAUCAGCCCACGAUUCAUCCUGAGCAGUUGGUGUCAGAGGACGACCAAUGCUGAUGAGUUUGCUGUGCGUAAGCAUGGGCGAUGAUACCAGUUGGUGCUCGAUCUGAGGAAGGACUUCAUCAUCUUCAACAUUGUCAUGGUGACCAAUGUCUUCAGCGGCGGUGGGGUCAACUGCUGGAUUGUCUUCAGCUUCAGGAGCCUCUGUGGAAGUAGGCUCAUGAACAAUCAGUUGGCGCUCAUGAUGUUCAGAUGCAGGGCGAACCAUUGAGAUAGGUUCAACAACUAAGGGCUCUAUGGGAGCAGCCCGAUCCUUCUUGGUUUUGCGCUUCUUCUUAGAGGGAGCGACAUCAGAAGCUUCAGGAUUUUUCCUUUUUCUGGCUUCAGCCUCGGCAGUCCUCGUCUUCUUCAGUUCUGAAGCGGUUGACCUGACCUUUGGCUUCGAGCCAGUCAUGCUGCUUGGGAAGACUAUGCGAGGUUCUUCCUGCCUUGAAGGUGCAGAUUGGUCAGUUGAGGGCUUCUUCUUCUUUGCAGCCAUUCUUGGGUCGAUGCCAGGAUGACCAAGAGCCUUGCGCUUCUCAGCCUCAUUGUAGGCUUGCACACACUUGUCGGCCAGGCUCUUCAUGCGUUCACGAGAACCUUGAGCUUCUUCACGCUUCUUGAGAAAGGCUUCCUUGAGCUCGUGCAGCAUAAUCUUAAAGUUUUCACAUUUUGCACCCUGAGCUUGGUCAUGUGCUUCUUGAACUGAGCUUUCUCAUAGUCGAUCUUUUGCUUCAGUUCAACGAUGCGUUGAGCUAGAGAUAGCUCAGAAGCAAUGGCGCCAUGGAAGGCGACACUGAGGCCAAUUGGAAGUUGCAGAUCUUCAAAGCUGAGGUUGGGCGUGUCAAACCACUCAUCAAUGAAGUUAUGGAGGAUUGCCACAUCAAAGAGAGGCAAAUCAUUGAAUAUCUCUGCUUCUUCCUUGCUCUUGAUCAGUUGCUCAAGAGCGUCAUCUGCAAGAUCUUCAUCGCUGGAAAGAUCAAUGGCGUCAUUGCGCAGAAUAGCAGCAGCAGUCAGUGCUUGAUCAGUACUCUUUCUCAUCUCAGUAUUCUUGGAGAUGCGUGAUAGAUCUUCAGACUGCACACUGUCUUCAGGAGGUGCAGUAGCCAGUCGCUUCGCCCGUAAGAUUUUUGGUGUUGAGGCAGACUUUGAAGCUUUAGGCUUCUUCAGCUUCGUUGGCUUCGGUGGUGCAGGCGCUUCAUCAGAUUCAGCGUCAUCUGCAGGCUCAUCCACGGCUGUCCCUUGAACCAUGAUAUGAGUGAUGAGACCUUCUAGGUUAUAGAAGGCCCCAACAAGAUUGGGUUCAGCCUCGCGGGUGCCAUCGGCACGGGGAGCAGAAGGACCAGGGUUGAAGUCUAGUCCCAAUGACUUCUUGUUUUGCUUAGCUAAAUUCUUGGCAAACUGGAAGUUGCGCUUGAACAGAUUGUCGUCACGACACCAUAGCAGUGACGAUGGGUCUGCAUCCGCAGACUGUGGUCCACGGACCAUGCAGGGAUAGAAGCCUUGUUCAAUGGCUUCAUCUCUGGACCUGGGUUGAAGAUUUCUGUAUAGGAUGUCUCCCCAUGGUCGCUUGAUGGCAUUCUUCUCAGCAUAUUCCUGGGUCACAAAUUUGUACUUGAACCAUUGCUCGGCCCAGUAUCUUUGAAUCCAUUGGAUUCGUGUCUUGUGCUGAUUGUAAUCCUCUUCUGGAUCUGUCUUGUACAGCUGUGAGAGGUCAUCAGGCAGAUCUUUUGAUGUUCCCCCUCGACGCUGUCUGCCACCCUUCCUUGCUGAUUUCUUUGUAGCCAUGAACUUCAAAUUGAAUGGCUUCAAUAUGUUCAAAGGUUUCAAAGGCUUCCGCUUGCUGGUCAAACAGGAACUGGCUUCGAGAGAAUUUAUAUGGUGCUGUAAGAAUUCUACAAAUGAAUGCAGACUAUGAGAACCAAGGGAUUCUCCCAUGGACAUGUACCUGUGACAGCAUUAAGGUGCGAGGGAAGGGGAAGAGGUCAUAUGCAUUCUCAGAAGAUUUUGAAGAUAAAUCAGUUUAGAAGACAUUGACCUCAUAGUGCGAAGACAUUCACUCAUAGAUAGAGAGUUGGUUCCAGAUUUGUACGAAUCCAAGAAUAAGUACAAGUGAGGAAUCUAACUACUUUGUGAAGCAUAAGUGAACAUACUAGGCAUAUUAUGAGAUGCAGUAUGAAAUAGAUCCAACUUAUGUGAACAGAAACUGCUUGUGGUAGAAAGUGAUGAAUCUAUAGGAUCAAAGGGGCCGUAAAAAGGAAGUUUUAUUUACCACACGAAGAACUGCUAGAUGGAGUGGGAGAGGAGGCCGAGCAGUUCGAUCGUCCGUGCCCUAACUUGGCGACGGAGGACACCUACGGCGACGGCGGAGAAGACGAUGUCCGCGGCCGGCGUGAAGACGGCGUCGGUGAGGUCGCGACAGCUAAGAGCUUCGUCGCCGGCGUCGUCGAGGGCUAGCGGUGGUGCUAGGGUUUGUGCGAGAGUGGAAGAAAGGAUAAUGACUGUGGUGAGGCAUGUAUUUAUAGAGACAGGGAUGGCAAAGUGUUAUUACACAGGUGCCCCUGGCGAUUCACAUCUGAAGAAUACGUGGCCAUCAUACAACAUAUCGGAGGUUGUUCCAUGUUCCCACGCAUGCCUGGAUUGUCGGGUGGUCGUUCCCACUUCUCCGGGUUUCAGGUGUAGGAAUUAGCAUUGAAAACAGACUUAAUGUUUGUCUCUGUAUCUUCUGCUGACAAGGACGCAGAGAAGAUAUUCGACAGUUUCAAUAGAAUGCAUAUGAUUUGGAGAGAUAGAGUUGGAGAUAGAAAGCAUAGAGAGGUUAGGGUCUGAUCACAUUCACUUAGUUCAAAAGAUUCAACAAGAGGACAUAGCUAUAAGUGAAUGCUGUAGAGGACAGAACAGUAGUAUAUAUAUAUAUAUAUAUAUAUAUAUAUAUAUAUAUGAGAAAGACAAUCAAAUCAACAUAGUGAAGAUAAUCAUGAAGACAAGUUGAGAUUGAAGCCAAACCAAAUGUGAAGACAUUCCAAACGUAACGCCAUGAGUGAAACACUUCAAACAGAAAAAUUUGGUGGUGGCGUUACCCACCGUAUAGGAAGUAUUAGACCCAGACACGGCGCACAAUUAUCGUGGCGCUCCGAAGUCAAAUUCCACAUUAAUGUAUUCACACUUAGAAUGUAAGUCUUCAUUGGUUGAAGAUAUACUUUACUUCGUGUGCUGCACAUCUAAGUCAUCAAUAUGCAUAAGUGUUAGGAUGUGUGCCUGAUCACAGGACAUUUGAGGAUUCUAAGAUAUUUAGCUCACACCGUAACUUGCAAAACCUCUUCUCAUCCAAGGGCUUGGUGAAGAUAUCUGCCAAUUGCUCUUCAGUGUUGACGUGUAUGAUAUCAAUAUCUUCCUUCACAACAUGAUCUCUGAGAAAGUGAUGACGAAUUUCAAUGUGCUUUGUCUUCGAGUGCUGAACUGGGUUGUUGGCAAUCUUGAUGGCGCUUUCAUUGUCGCAGUAGAGUGGCACUUUCUUCAGAUGAAUGCCAUAGUCUUUGAGUGUUUGCUUCAUCAAUAGAAGCUGAGGGCAGCAAGAUCCAGCAGCAAUGUAUUCAGAUUCAGCAGUGGAGAGAGAUACAUAGUUCUGCUUCUUUGAAGACCAACAUACAAGUGAUCGUCCCAGAAAAUGACAUGUGCCUGAUGUAGACUUGCGAUCCACCUUGUCACCAGCAUAAUCAGCAUUCGUGAAUCCAACCAGAUCAAACUCUGAGCCCUUUGGAUACCAUAAUCCUAGGGUUGGGGUGUGAGCCAAAUAUCUGAGAAUUCGCUUCAUAGCUAAGUGAUGCGAUUCCUUUGGUGCCGCUUGGAAUCGAGCACACAUGCAAACACUAAGCAUAAUAUCUUGCCUAGAUGCACAUAGAUAAAGUAAAGAACCAAUCAUGGAGCGGUAUACCUUUUGAUCGAACUCUUUACCAUUUUCGUCGGGACCCCGAUGAUGUUUGGCUAGCAUUGGCGUCGUGAAGUCUUUGCAGUCUUGCAUCCCAAAUUUCUUUAGGCAAUCUUUGAGGUACUUCUCUUGAGUUAUGAAGAUAACGUUGCGUUGCUGACGCAUUUGAAGACCAAGGAAGAACUUUAGCUCACCCAUCAUGGACAUUUGAUAUUGCUCUUGCAUAAUAUAUCCAAACUCGUCAGUGUAUUUCUGAUUGGUGCAGUCGAAGAUAAUGUCAUCCACAUAUAUUUGGCACACAAACAGCUCACCAUCAUAUGUCUUCAUGAAGAGAGUGGGGUCGAGGGAACCAGGUUUGAAGCCUUUGCUCUUUAGGAAGUCAUUGAGUGUGUCAUACCAAGCCCAGGGCUUGUUUGAGGCCAUACAGUGCCUUGUUGAGCUUGUACACCAUAUCAGGAUGUUUUGGAUCUCCAAAGCCAUGCGGUUGUGCAACAUACACUUCUUCUUCAAUCUUGCCAUUCAGAAAAGUGCUCUUCACAUCCAUUUGAUAUAAAAGGAUGUUAUGAUGAUUUGUAUAGGCCAGCAGUAUGCGUAUGGCUUCAAGUCUAGCCACAGGAGCAAAUGUUUCAUCAAAGUCAAUCCCUUCAACUUGAGUGUACCCUUGAGCAUUGGUACGAGCUUUGUUUCUAACAACUUAACCAUGCUCAUCUUGCUUGUUGCGAUAUAUCCAUUUGGUGCCUAUUAUAUUGUUCUUGCGAGGAUCAGGACGCUUAACCAGUUCCCAUACAUUAUUAAGCUCAAACUGUUGAAGCUCUUCUUGCAUAGCUUGAAUCCAUUCAGGUUCCAUGAAGGCUUCUUCAACUUUCUUGGGUUCAGAUAUUGAGACGAAUGCGAAGUGCCCACAGAAAUUUGCUAGCUGUGUUGCCCUUGAACGAGUGAGUGGACUGGUGCAUUGAUGCUCUCAAUUGUUCUCUCAAUCUGUACUUCAUUUGCAACACGAGGAUGUAUAGGACGAAGAUUUUGCUCUUGCUGAUCAUUGUCAUUGUUAGAAGGAUUGUCUUCAGGCUGAGCAUUGUCUUCUAUUUGUUCAGGUGCGGAGAUGAUAAGUUCCUCUUCAGGCUGAGAUUCAGAUGGUAUGAUUUCUCCCGUUCCCAUAAGUUUGAUUGAUUCACUGGAUGGAACUUCAUCUAGCACAUUUGGCAGGUGCUCUCUUUGUGAGUCGUUAGUCUCAUCGAACCACACAUCCACUGUUUCAACCACUUUAUAGUGAAAAAGGUUGAAGACUCUGUAGGAGUGUGAAUCCUUUCCAUAUCCAAGCAUAAAACCUUCAUGUGCUUUUGGUGCAAAUUUUGAAGUGUGAUGUGGAUCCUUGUUCCAGCACCUGGCACCAAAUACUCUGAAGUAACUGACAUUUGGCUUCUUGCCAGUAAGGAGCUCAUAGGAUGUCUUGUUCAGAAGCUUGUGAAGAUAAACACGGUUGAUGAUAUGGCAUGCAGUAUCAAUGGCUUCAGGCCAGAAUUUUCUUGGAGUGUUGUAUUCAUCAAGCAUCGUCCGAGCCAUCUCAAUAAGUGUUCUGUUCUUGCGUUUGAUGAAGCCAUUCUGCUGAGGCGUAUACGGAGCUGAGAAUUCAUGUGUGCUGCCCAAAGUAUCAAGAUAUGUAUCUAGGCCAGUGUUCUUGAAUUCAGUGCCAUUGUCACUUCUGAUGUGCUUUAUCUUGACGCCAUAGUUGUUCAUGGCUCGAUUGGCGAAGCGUCUGAAGACAUCCUGCACUUCAGUCUUGUAGAGGAUUAUAUGCACCCAAGUAUAUCUUGAAUAAUCAUCAACAAUGACAAAGCCAUAGAGACAAGCAGUAGUAGUAAGAGUUGAGUAAUGAGUGGGACCAAAAAGGUCCAUGUGGAGCAGUUCGAAGGGUUGAGUCGUUGUCAUGAUUGUCUUCGAGGGAUGCUUGGCCCUCGUCAUCUUUCCCGCUUCACAGGCACCGCAUAAGUGAUCCUUCUUGAACUUGACGCCCUUGAUGCCCAUGACAUGCUUCUUCCUUGCAAGGGUGUGGAGGUUCCUCAUGCCAGCAUGCUCUAGCCUCCGAUGCCAGAGCCAGCAUUCAGAAGCUUUUGCCAGAAGACAUACGGCAAGUUCUGGUCCUGCUGAGAAAUCUACCACGUACAAAUCAUCUUUCUGAUACCCUUCAAACACUAGAGACUUGUCAGAUUCCAUUAGAACAAGGCAACGAUAUUUUCCAAACAUCACAAUCAUGUUUAAAUCACAAAGCAUUGCGACAGACAUUAAGUUGAAACCAAGGGAUUCAACAAGCAUGACUUUAUCCAUGUGUUGAUCCUUUGAGAUUGCAACUCUACCUAGACCCAAUACCUUGCUUUUACCAGUGUCAGCAAAUGUGAUGUGACUUUUGUCAGAUGGACGUAAGGUUGAGUCCAUGAGAAGACUUCGCUUGCCAGUCAUGUGAUUAGUACACCCACUAUCAAUAAUCCAUUCUGAAGCAACUGGUGUCGUACCCAUACAGUGCAGUUAGGGGGAUAGGCUUCACGAAGAGAAUUGUGAAGCAUAAACAUUUGACGAGGAAGUGGAUUAUGAAAGCUUAGCUCAAGGUUAGGACUGAUAGGGCAAGUAGCAAGCGACUCAUAAACAAAAUACAUAAUAAGACCAUUUGGGAAUUUGAUCUUGCGCCCUACAAGAUGUUUAAGGUCCCCAGCAAUAGCUUCAGACGAUUUUGGUUUUCGGCUGGAGACCUUUCCCUGCAAAAGAGAGUUAAGCUUUCUUAGCCACCCACAUCUUCAAGGGUGGCUUCGAAGCAAUGAGUCUAAGUGCAGCAUCUGAGAACUUUGGCUUUGGAGCCCUAGCAAAAAGUCUUGCAGGUGGACAAUAGUACUCAUAAGGAUAAGCAGAAUAGUUUUUGGUCUUAUGAACAUGGCGGUUUGAUGAAACGCGCUCAUAUUCAUAGGCCUGAGUAAGGUUUCCCUGCAAAACAUUUGCGUUAGUGCGACUCAGGUGAGUUCUCUGUCUGUAUGAAGCCUUUGGAUCAUAUGAAGCCUGUGGUCUGGGGUUUGUCUUCUUCACUUGUGGUGUCAUGACGACAUUCACAGGAAGAUUCUCCAAACACCUUUUCGGCACCCAGACUUUCUUCAUAGGUGGCCCAUUCCUACAGUUAGUACCAAUAUACUUGGCAAACACUUCACCAUUCUGAUUCUUAAACAGUUUAUAGUUUGCAUCAAAGGAUUCAUCAAUAACAAUGGGAUUAGCACAAGUGAAGCCAGAUAGGGUGGAUGGAUCCGCUGAAGGUUCCUUUGCAGCAACCCAUGUGGUUUCGGGGUACUGCUCAGGUUUCUAGUAAGAGCCAUUAGCAUUCAUUUUCCUUUCGAACCCAACACCCUCUUUCCUAGGGUUUUGGUUCAGGAUCUGCCUUUUGAGGACAUCACAUAGUGUCUGAUGCCCUUUGAGACUUUUGUACAUCCCUGUUUCAAGCAAUGUCUUCAACCUAGCAUUCUCAUCAGCAAUAGCAGUGGUAUCCUCAGCAGAGGGGUUAGUUACCACAUCAACAAUUGAAGAUAUUGCAACAGUAGCAGCAGUAGAACAUUCAGCAACAGAAGUAGCGUUAUCAUGCUCAUGGUAUUUAAGACAUGGUGGUUCUAAUCCUUCCUGAGCGGGACUGAUCUGUUCAGCGCGAAGUGACUCGUUUUCCUUUUGAAGAUCUUCAUGAGCCGCUCUCAAUUUCUCGAGUUCUUUCUUCCUUUGAAGAUAAUCAUAGGAAAGCUUUUCAUGAGUUGUUGAGAGUGUUUCAUGACGACUUUAAAGUUCCUCAUACUUAACAUGAAGAUUUUUUAUGUCUUCAAUUAAGGACUGAGAUCGAGUCAUUUCAGCGUCCAACAGGUCAUCGCUUUUGUCUAACAGUUUUUGAAUAUGUUCCAUAGCUUUCUAUUGUUUAGUGGCAAGGGAAGCAAGUUUUGCAUAGCAGGGUCCAAAUACAUCACCAGAUUCAUCAUCACUGGAUUCAGAUAGAUAGCAUUCAAUUACCUUAGAAUCUUUUGCCAUAAGGCAUGAUGUAGAAGAUGAUGAUUCUGGUUCGAAUGUCAUCGUUUUCAGGGAUUCCUUAAAGUCCUCAACCCAAGGAUCAUGACGAGUUCGAUGACCUUCAUAGACCUCAGAGAGACGGUCCCAGAUAAGCUUCACAUGAUCGAGAUGCAUGAUAUUCCUACACUUAUUUUGAGACAGACUGGAGCAGAUGACGUCCUUCGCCAUGAGGUUGAGAAGAGUGUACUUGUGAAUGUCAUCAGCUUUCGCCAUCUUGCACAGAUUGGUCAGACCAAUCUCAGUGACGGUGCACAACUCGCUAUUCAUCACCAUGAGGCGCUUCUUCAUCAUGGCCUUCCACUUGGGAUAUCAUGACCGUCAAAGAUGGUGCAUGACACAGUCUUCAUUCCUGUGGUCGACAUAACUACAACACCAGGCGGUUAAACCAAAAUCACACAGAACAAGGGAGUACCUUGCUCUGAUACCAAUUGAAAGUGCGUUAUAUUGACUAGAGGGGGGGUGAAUAGGAGAUUUUUAUGGAAGUCUUCAAAACAUGGGAGUUUUGAAGACAAACAAUAGAAAUUAACCUAUAACCAUGCAGCGGAAGGUAGACUACCCUAGACAAGCUACAGUCAAGUAUUCAAUGAAGUGAAAGCACAAAGACUAACAACAGCUAGGAAGUAUGGAUCAGGAUGGAAGAUAAUGUGAAAUCAAUCUGAACAAACAGUCACACGGUGAAGACAAAUGGAAAAUGCAAAUAGGCACUGACUUCACAAGGGCCAACUGUAAAUAAAGAGAUGGGAAGGAUAGAACCAGUGAGCUUGGUGAAGACAAAGGUUUGGUAGACCAGUUCCAACUGCGGUGACAGUUGUACGUCUGGUUAGGGCGGAUAGGUAUUUAAACCUGAGGACACAAAGUCCCUGACACCCAGUCCUGAACACACACCUCAGGACACUCAGUCCUCACCAUAUUCCCCUUGAGCUAAGGACACAAGACCUCGCCCAAUCACUCUGGUAAGUCUUCAAGGUAGACUUCCAAACCUUCACAGACUUCGUUCACCGACGAUCCACAAUGACUCUUGGAUGCUCAGAACGCGACGCCUAACCGGCUGGAGGAUUCACAGUCCUCAAGUGUAAAAAGUCUUCAGAUCACACAGACAUGAAGACUUAAGUGAUGCCUAACACUCUUUGGCUCUGGGUGUUUAGGGAUUUAUCCUCGCAAGGAAUUCUCUCUCAAAGGCUUCAAGGUGGGUUGCUCUCAAACGACAAAAGCCGUACUCUAACUCUGAGCAGCCAACUGUUUAUGGUUGUAGGGGGUGGGCUAUUUAUAGCCACUAGGCAACCCGACCUGAUUUGUCCGAAAUGACCCUUGGUCACUAAGGAACUGACACGUGUUCCAACGGUCAGAUUUCAAACACACACAUCAACUUUACUUGGGCUACAAGCAAAGCUGACUUAUCCAACUCUGGACAAGAUUUGCACUCAUAGUCUUCACUCGAAGACAUAGGAUUUUUGGUUAAGCAUCACUUCAGUCAUUCUGACUGGUUCUCUUGGACCCCACUUAAUAGUAUGGUGGUUCCUAUGACUCAUCAAAGAAAAACACAGAACGACGAAACUGCUAAGUCUUCGCGCUCCAUAGUCUUCACGCGAUGUCUUCUCUUAUCAUAGUCUUCAAUGUGAAUGUCUUCACAUACCACCUCUGACUUCAAUGUCUUCGUACAUUUUUAGGGGUCAUCUCUGGUAGGGAAACCGAAUCAAUGAGGGACUUCUACCUGUGUUAUCCUGCAAUUCUCACAAACACAUUAGUCCCUCAACUAGGUUUGUCCUCAAUACUCCAAAACCAACUAGGGGUGGCACUAGAUGCACUUACACUCCCUGUCGUAUUGUGUGCAGAUCCGACCUGCGCCACCAACCUCACAAUGACCCUCAGGUAUAAGUUCUUCAAAAGCGGCCUUGCUCUACUACCCCAGCUCCCCGCGUGUCUGCAUGUGCAUCUUUUUCUACUUCCAUCAGCUCCUCCAAAGCCACAUAAUUUUUUUAUUAUUGGAGGUAAAGCUACUUCAUGCAGUCGAAUCUAGGACUUGGUUCAAACAAUGAAGAAAGGGGGAACGUCGUAGCAUGAAUCUAGGACUUGAUUCAAAGAGGAAAUAACAUGGGGAAAGUAGUAGAGACUGGAUACCCAACUGGUCUCUUGGUUGAAAAGGGAAAUAAAGGGAAAAGGCAGUACAAACUGGAUAAGGAACAAAUUUAUUAUUGGUUGAAAAAGGAUAGAAAGUGGUGGCUGGUGGACAAGUCAAAAGAGUAUGUCCCGGAUUAGAUUUGUUGCCUCACAUAGUAAAAGGUCUCCAGGAUUAGAUUUGCUGCCCUCACAGAGUAUGAACAAACUCAGCAUCACCACUUUAUGCCUCCUUGUAGGUACAUUGUGCUGAUGCGUCCACCGUCGCAUGUUCUUAUACCAACUUUUUGCUGUUGUUAAUGUAAGGGCACAUGUAAAAUGAAGCAAUCACAUUGUUACUUUAAGCACAUGUCUAAACAGUGUUAUUGUUAAUAUCAUGCCUCCAGUGAUAUGAUGCAAUUAAACUAUGUUACAAAUGGUACUCCUGUUGUUUUCCCAAGUAUGAUAAGUAAGUUGCUUCUUUACGCAGCUGAGUGUCCUGGUGUCCCCACGGUCCCAUGCCCUUAAACCAAUUCUUUAGUUGUCGUUGAUAUACUAUAUCUAGUAAACAAGCAAUGACACCAUUAAAGUAAUCCCAUAUUUGACGAAUGUCAUUGUUGAUCGUCAUGCUUUUGGUAGCAUGAAGCAUUGCUAACAUUUUAAAAUUUAUAUUGUCCUUGCGUGAUUUCCAUGAACGUAAUCAAGAUGCUUCUUUUCAUUUCGUGUGUUUCGUAUCUUGUUAUUGACCAGCAACUGUUUUCUUUCUAUCUUUUUGUGCAGAUAGGGAUAUCCAUUCCACCUUGUUGCUAUUGUGACCUUUUGGCUGCACAAAACACUUUUUUUGGAAUGAGUGUCUUGUGCAGUUCAACUAAAUUGUCACGUGGGCAACAUCACUCAAUUUUGGUGGAACUACACAAAAUGGUGAUUCGAGUUUCCAAAAUCUCCGUCAAAUUUUGCUGGUAAUAUCGUGCAAAAUUUUAUUAGCCUUUGCAAGAUGAGUCAUCACGGUCACCACAAUGGCACUUUAUUUUAGUGGAACUACACAAAAGGAUAUGCAAAUUAUAGUUGCACCUUACAUGAGCGGGACAACCAACCUUAAUCUUGCUCAAUCUUAGUGCAACUACUAAAGAAGAACUUGCCAGCUCAUGAGAGCAAGUAUUUCUUUCUAGCUAAAUGAUGCAAUCUUUGCUUCAUUUCAGGUGAACUGCAGAAAAAUCGCAUGAAUUGAAUCAUUGAGUGGAGCUGCAGGUGACUUCAACUAGUGCCACUAUUAAUCAUGCUCUUUCUUAUCUGUGCAAAUAGGAAUACUCAACUACACAUGUUGUGAUGGUCAAGAUCAUAAGCCAAGUUCUUGGGUUGUAUGACACGACUAGCCAAGAUGGAUUUAAUCCCGAUAUUCACUUUAUCAAAAGUCUCUAAUGGGUUUGUUCUGAAUCUUUCAAACUAGGAAUCAAUGAGAUGUGUAGGCAUCCUUGUUGUACUUAUUAUUUGAAUGUUAUUUGUUGGUUCUGAAUCUUGCAAGCUGGGAAUCAAUGAGAUGUGUAGGCAUCUUUCUUGUACUUAUUAUUUGAAUCUUAUUUGUUGGUUCUGAAUCUUCCAAGCUGGGAAUCAAUGAGAUGUGUAGGCAUCUUUGUUGUACUUAUGAUUUGAAUCUUAUUUGUUGGUUCUAAAUCUUGCAAGCUGGGAAACACGUCAUGAUGAUGUAGAGGACAGCAACCAUAACAAAUAGUUCAAACUUGGUAGUAUUAUCUGUCUAAAGUGCGACAAAUGUGCUGAUCAUGUGCGUCCUAACAAUAAUAAUACUAAUUUUUGUGCAUGUUGAUCCUAUGGCACUGAUAGAACGAGCCAAUGCAUUGCUUGUUUUAAGAAUUAAUUUUAAUUAAAGCUAAUUAAAUUUAAGUGAAGUGACCACUAACACUUGUUAUUAUAGUACUAAUACAGACCCGCUCGUGAACUGACGUGUGGCCGAAAUAGGUUUCCUAAUGGAGGCGUUUGAAUGCGCCGAGGGUGCAUGUUCUGCCAGGCAUGUAGUGGGCGAGGGAGCGGUAGUAACUAUUGUCGCCUGUACACACAAAGUUUAAUGUUGAUUCUAGUUCCCCAAGAGCUGAGAAACGAAUUGUUGCCGCCGCCUACCCACUCAUUCACUUGAAGAGACUCCAGUGUCGCUCUGAGGGGUGAGCCUGCUGGAUAUGGACUUCAGCAGGGAGUUCACCUUUGAGUUCACCGUUCAGUCCCAUGGUUGUACCAAGUUGAAUGUGAUGUACACAAACGAUCCGGACUCGGUGAAGCUCUGCCUGGCCGAGUUCAAGCAGUACCUACAGGAUGAGAAAGUACAAGGUCGCAGGACUAGACCUUGUGCCCAUCAAUCGGAUUUCGGGUUCCGCAUACCCUUGAGAGGUUCGAACUCUAGGGUGCAUGCGAAGAACUCAACCUCCCCAGUCUUCCUACUCGCCAAUCUCAUGGCCUAUCUCGAUGAACAAGAAGGAAAUGGGACACAACAGUUUACCUAUGUUCGGGCCACCUUGCGGUGUACAACUCUACUCCUGCUUUGUGGUGGAUUGGCCUCGAGGGGCUUGUGAUGAACUAGUACAGUGGGAGAACAACCUCAGGAGGAGGCGUGUUCUUGUUCUCGAGUGAGCUGGUGGGGGAGAGGAUGAUCUCUAGGAUUUGGAUCCGUUCUACGGUGGUGGCUAGGCCCUAUUUAUAAUGGCCUUGGUCAUCUUCCCAAAUGAAGGCUGGAAGGGAUCCCACUACAGCCAAAUUCAAAGGGAGACAACUAGUACAUCCUAUCCUAAGAAAAGUAGUCUUUGCCUGCAAAGCCUCUGGUCGUGACACCAUGGUGGGAUCAGCGAUGACCACCGUCCUAGCGGGCUGGCGGUCUUAUUCUUGUUGCACGGGAGUGGAAACCUUUGGCUGAUUCCUCGGGACUCCGUGCCUGCGCUUGCCUCUUUAGCACUAAAGAGGAAACUGCUGUCCUACGCCCGCUGGCACCCGUCUCGCCUUGAUCAUCAUGGUUCACAUCAUCUAAACUUCACGAGGUGUGGCUUGCGUAGAGAUCUCCACUCCUCAGGAGCCAGCCUGAGGAGGCCACUCCUUUUGGAGGUCCUGGUGUCAUCCUCCUUGCGAGGCUUGGCCCCUCGCAAGGGUCUUGAGUUGUUGGUGCUGAAGGUGGGCCGUACCAGGCCGUCGAUGGAGCCACGCCCUGGGACGCAGGAAGGCAAGUCUGGGUACCCCCGUUCCUAGAACGCCGACAGUAGCCCUCGGGCCCAAGGCGCACUUGAACUUGGCUUCAAGGUGAAGUCAAAGGGCAAGUACGGAACGCCAUGGACCCUAACCACUUGCAGCCUUGGUCGACGCGUGGCGAUUGAUGGGACGUGGGCCUCUCCGCUUCCCCAUGCUGCCUCGGCAACUGUCCAAGUCUGACAAAAAGGCUGGCGCCUGCCGCUCAGCCUUCAUUGCCCUUCCUUUGUCUUGCUCUAGAUCCCCUUCUCCUGCUGCUCAGAAAACCUCUAGAUCUUCUGAACCCCUUCCCCGAUCUCACCGCCGAUGGCCUCCUAUAAGGAGAAACCUGCCGCUGCUCCUGCGCGGCAAGCCCCCACGUUUGAGCCGGCCCUUGGGGCGUCCUCCAUCACCAAGGAGAAGCAUCUUACUGCCGCGCUCCCGCUGACGCCCGAUAGCGCCAACGAUGGACUGGAGACGGUGCUCCGGGUUGGCUCCGCCGAUCCGGGGACCUUGGGGGAGAACUUCUACCCCUUCUUCCUUCCCAGCCUCUUCACUGGGCUUGUUUCCUCCUUCUCCAGUUUCGUUUAUUCCAUCCUCAAUCAUUACGGGCUCCACGCCCCAUCUUCAUCGCAACUCCAUCCUCCUCCUGUCGAUCUUCGCCUUCUAUUGUGAGGCGUUUCUAGGGGUGAUGCCCUCUGUCGUGCUCUUGAACCACUUCUUCUACCUCCGGCUGGGCCGCUCCCGGUGCUCCGAGUGCGUCGGCAUCAUUGCUGCCAAUGGCAGCAAUGCAAUCUCGAGAGCAGGGAAGAAGUUGGAAGACUUCCGGAACAAGUGGGUCUUCAUGGACGCCAAACGCCCCCAUGCUCUGCUGGAGCCACUGACUGCGAUGCUGAUGAAGCUGGACCAGUGGGCUGACGAGAAGCUCACCGAUCACCAGGUGGAGCAGCUGCCGGAGAAGAUCAAGGCGGACCUUAAGGUGGAGGAGAAGGAGCUAGCGAGGGCCAUGAUUGUCAAGGAGUUCCUGGCCUAGAGCCUGGCCCCGCUCCAGGUGCACUGACGCCCCCUCUGGAACUUCAAGGGUGCGGAAGAAGACCUCUGGUUGCGCCCGGGCGACCUGUCCGAUGAGGAGCUGAGCAAGGCCAUGCACACCUUGCUGGAGAAUAACCGGGGCGGCCCCGCUGAAGUCCAUCUCCCGCUGUAUCGCUGCGACGAUGAGGAGAAGGUGGUCGCCGCCAUGCCUGUCUUCAAUGAGCAUGGGCUCGUGCUGCUAAAGCCUUCCCAGCCCCUGGGCUCCCUCGUGACGAUGUGCUCCAGUGAAUCUGGUGAGCAGGAGAAGGCGGACUCGGAGGCGACCUGGGAUGGGGUGGGGGAGACCUCUCCCCCGCGAUAGACCGAUCUCCUCCUUGUCCUUUUUGACGAUGAUGACGCCGGCGAGCACCCAGUCAGGGAGUCGCCGCACUCCACCGGGAUCACCAUGAGGUCCAGGGGCAACCCCUCCAGGAAGUCAAAGCAGGAGACCCUGAGGAAGGGUCAGGCCGGUGUUGCUUCUUCAGGGCGGCACCUCCACUUCGUCGCCGCCGCCACCGUCGCAGAGAUGGCCGCACACUCGUCCACCCUUGUGGGCGCGGUGGCCCCGUGCCUAGGAAGCCUGUGGGCGUCGCGCUCCUGGGCAGGAAGAGGGACUACAUCACCGAGGACCAGUGAGUGCAUCUCCUUGCCUUUGCUCUUUGAUCUUGAUGCAGGACUCAACAUCUUCAUCUAGAUGCCAGGAUGACGUCGGAGGCGAGGAGGAAGAAGGAGGAUUCCGGAGCCGCCGAGGCCCAGCGGCCUGCCUAGAUCGCGAAGACUCUGGCACAGAAGGACGGGGUUGCCCUGCGCACUCCUAUGGCAGGGCUUCCCUUCCGAGACUCGGGGGGGGGGGGGCAGCCUCAGGUGCAUCCUGCACCUGCAGCGAAGCUGACUCCUGAGGAGCUCGCCCUCAGCACGCCUGCUGACAACCCGAGGGCUCCGGAGCUCCCAGCCCUCCUUGCUACUGCUGCUUCACUAGUCUUGACAUGAGCGCCGUUUCCUCCCCCAGCCAUCAUGCCGGUGGGCUGCGGUUCUUCUACCGCGCCCGGUGCUCUGGAGGAGGCCUUCUUCGCAUUGGACCGGCUCUAGGAUGAUCUUCAGGGCCCCGACCUGUGCAGGGCGGCCUGGGGCCAAGCCAACGUGACCGCAAAGGAGGGCCGGGAGAUGGCCCGCCCAGCCACAGUCGCUCGUGACGUGGCGUUGAAGGACGCAAAAGCCGUCGAGGAGAGCUGCCCUACGGAGGAGGCCGAGCUAAAAACCCUCCGCGACAAGCAGGCCAUCCGCACCCGCCAGCUCGAGGAGUAGGAGGAGGAGCUAAAGUCACGGGAGGUUGUGGUCGCCGACCAUGACGAUGAGCUGGAGCAGGUAGCCUGGGAAUAGGCCAUGGAGCGCGGUCGCCUGGAUAAGCUAAAGAGGAAGUGCAGGUGGCCCAGGCAUCCCACGCCAUGCUCGUCUCCGAAGACAAAGCUCGGCUAGAGACCAGGGAGAAGCUCCUCGCCACUGCUGAGCAGACGGUCGCCACGGGGCGUGCCGCUUUCGACUCCCUCGAGCUGAGGUUCCGCAAGGUACUUCAGGAUCUCUACGGGAGCGGGUACGAGAACCCGCUGGUGACUCCGGAGGAAGGCCUCGCCGAGCUACUCCUCAAGCUCCUCGCAGUGCUCGAGGGCUUCGUCGUCGGGGUUGGCCCCAUGGUGGAGGCAGAGGCCUGCGCGCUUUCCACCUCAGCCGUGACGCGCAUCUUCAGCCACCUCUAUCUUCGGGACCCCAGCUUUGACUUUGGUGCCUUGCUUUAGCCCGUGGACCCUGAGCUCUACACCAUUGUUGCCGAGGCCAUCAAGGAUCAGAUGGAGGCCCUGCUGCAGAAGUUCCUCACCGUCAACCCUGUGACCACGACUGAUGGCAAGGAUGGCGGCGACAUCAUCGACGACGGGACUCCUCGAGCGGGCGAAGACGGCGUCCAAGGUUGAAGAAGAGGCUCGAUGGCGGCGCUUCCCCCUAUUUAAGUCCUGCAACAUGUAUCGUGCCUCGUGGAGGCAUAAGAACUUAUACUUGGUACUUUUUAAGAGAGUAUGUUUUGUAUUAAUUUGCUAGGAUUCUGCGAUCUCCUUUCCGUUUGCUUUAGUGCUAUGCAUCGGCAGGGCCCUGCCCCGCGCAUACCUCAGCCGCCGUUGGGUCGUCCGGAUCACCAGGAUGAGACCAAGGGUGAGGGGCUAUGUGGCCAGUUAGGCUCCUGAGUCGCGAUGCUCAGAAGUCCCCCUUGACAUACAAACAGCUCUCGGGAAGGAGAUGCGAGAGUGGGUCUUAGUGUUCUGCAUCGGCAGGGCCCGGCCCCGCGCAUACCUCAGCCGCUGUUGGGGCGUCUAGAUCACCAGGACGAGACCAAGGGGUGAGGGGCUACGUGGACAGUUAGGCUCCUGAGUCGCGAUGCUCAGGAGUCCCCCUUGACGUACGAACAGACCUUCAUUUUUUGCGCUUUUCCCCUAGAAAAUCACUAUAUGGCGAGUGUCUCAAAACUCUUCCCAAGUCAAAAUAACCAGAUAGGCAUGAACAUUAUACAACUAAUUUUUUCCUACUGCCCGGACCCAAAAUUUGCAACACAAUUAAAAAAACUUUCUAUAAUGGCGACUGUCUCAAAACACUCAGGAACUCCUAAAAAUAGGAUACCCAUGAUUUUUUUUGACAAGUACGUUUUUGGAAAAAUUUGGGCCUAAACGCGGGGUUGUUUUCAGACUCUUUUUCGUGGAAUAUAGGUAUGAAGAAUAGACUUGAUCUAAACUAUGAAAAAUUGGAAAAUCUCACCGAGCAACCUGGAAAUUUGAUACCACUUGAUAGUGGCAAAGGUGUCCCGUCUUUCAAUGAGAUGGUGAUUAUCGUUUUCGGAGGAGUAGACUUUAACGAUCCGACUACGAACUUGCAAGGACGUCGCCCCUUAGCAAUCGCUAAACCAACUCUGAGAGGUUAUUGACCACGCCGAAGCAUGAUCAACCUAACCACAAGGGUCUAUUUCCUGCAAGCAAACGAAGAACAAGCAAGAAACUAAGAUUGCAAUCUGGAUAUUGCAAAUAUAAGAUGAAAGCUUUAUUGAUCAAGGCGGGGUUCUGUGACAUCUUGGUGUGGCAGUUGAACACAAAAGAAGUAUGCGAAAUUGCACCUAUGGUGAACAUAUAAUCUAAACAAAACCCAAAGUCUAAACAAUGCUCUAAGGGUUGUAUAUAUGGAGGAAAGGGGGAAUUUCGUGACCCCGUGGAGGAGGGGUCUGAAACCGAACCUAACUCUCGUUUCCCCACACACGAACUCUAAAAACAGCCUAUACUCCAGUAUUUCGAAAUUAAACUUCUGGAGACCCCCAGGCAAUUUUUAGGCCAAAAUAUUAGCAUGUGAAAAUAUUUUUCCCUAUCCUGUUUUCAGGCUUUUCUGAGUUUUGAGACACGUGCCAUCAUAGUGAUUCUUUAUCGCACUUUUUGGUCGUCGCUCCCCUCAUUUCUGAAAAUAAGUCAAUUGUGUGUGCAUAUCCUGUUAUUUUGACUUGGGAAGAGUUUUGGGACACUCUCCAUUAUAGUAAUUUUCACCAAAAUAAAGAGCGCAAAAAAACAAAAAAAGAGUGCCCGAUGCUGAAUUUAAAAUAUUUGGUUUGGAGACCAUCAAACAUCAAUAUGUGCAUGAUGCUGAAUUUAAAGAUGUAUUGGAGAAUUGUAAACAAGGCAGAACAUGGAACAAGUUCGUCGUUAACGAUGGAUUUGUGUUUCGUGGUAACAAGUUAUGGAUUCCAUCUAGCUAUGUUUGUCUUUUGUUGUUGCAGGAGGUGCCUAGAGGAGGAUUAAUGGGACACUUUGGCAUCAAGAAGAUGGAGGAUGUACUGUCUACACAUUUCUUUUGGCCAAAGAUGAGACGAGAUGUUGAGCGUUUUGUUGCUCGCUGCACUACAUGUCAAAAAGCUAAGUCACGACUCAAUCCUCAUGGUUUAUAUAUGCCUUUGUCUAUACCUAGUGUUCCAUGGGAGGAUAUACCUAUGGACUUUUUUUAGGUCUACCUCGAGCAAAGAAGGGGAGGGAUAGCGUAUUUGUUGUUGUGGAUAGAUUUUCAAAAAUGGCACACUUUAUACCAUGUCAUAAAAGCAAUGAUGCUGCUAAUGUUGCGGAUUUGUUUUGUCGUGAAAUUAUUCGCUUGCAUGGUGUGCCAGAUACAAUUGUUUCAGAUCAUGAUACUAAGUUUCUUAGCCACUUUUGGAGAUAUUUAUGGCCAAGUUGGGGACUAAAUUGCUUUUUAGUACUACAUGUUAUCCCCAAACUUAUGGACAAACUGAAGUAGUCAAUGGAACAUUGUCUACUAUGCUUAGGGCAUUUUUGAAGAAUAACAAGAAAGUGUGGGAAGAAUGCUUGUGACAUAUUGAAUUUGCUUAUAAUCGUUCGCUGCAUUCUACUACUAAGAUGUGCCCUCUUAAGAUUGUGUUGGUUUUCUACCUCAUGCACCUAUUGAUUUGUUGCCUCUUCCAUCUUUGGAGAAGUUUUAUUUUGAUGAUAAACAAUGUGCUGAAUUGAUCUUAAAUAUUCAUGAGUUAACUAAGGGGAACAUCGAGCAUAUGAAUGCUAAAUAUAAACUUGCUAGAGAUAAGGGUAGAAAACAUGUUGUGUUUGCACCUGGAGAUCUUGUUUGGUUACAUUUGCAUAAGGAUAGAUUUCCUUUUUUGCACAAAUCAAAACUAAUGCCAUGUGCUGAUGGUCCUUAUAAGGUGUUAGAGAAAAUAAAUGAUAAUGCAUAUAAACUUAGGCUGCCUGCAGAUCUUGGUUUUAGUCCCACUUUUAACAUUGCAUAUUUGAAGCCUUAUUUGGGUGAGGAAGAUGAGCUUCCGUCGAGGACGACUUCAUUUCAAGAAGGGGAGGAUGAUGAGGACAUCAAUACCAAUUUUACACCUACAUCCCUUGUUGCUAUAGAUAUUGGACCAAUCACUAGAGCUCGCACACGCCAUUUGAAUUACCAGGUACUUUCAUUUCUUGGUAACAAUUCUAAUGUUCAUGAGAAUAUGAUGCUGCCUAAAUUGGAUACAUUUGUGUUGAUUACUAAUGAAGGGGCUAGCAUGGACAAGAGGGAUGAACACUUGAGCAGAAACAAGAAUGGAGAUGAAGGCGCGCAUGAAGAAAACCUGAACGGCGUUUCUAGUGCGGAUUUUGGUACUUUGAAGCCUCCUAGAUGACAUACAGGGACAUCGACGAAAUAUACAAGAUGCCUUUUCAUAAAUUUCAUCCAUAGCUUAUAAUAGGUGCUCACUGGUAUAGCGAGGUGCUAUACAAACGGUUUUUAACCCAUUUCCGCGAUGGUGUUUUGAACCAUCGACAAGUGAGUGACUCUGAUGGGGGGAUCCUUCCCACAUAACCCAGAAACCAUCGGGGAUAGGGAGCCUUGAUGCAUAUAGUUGUCCCUAUAAAACUGCUUCAGAUAUCUCCAAUAUCCCAAAUGCUUCAUCCUUGCUACUUGUUUGUGCUCGCAUUGCUAUCGCAGUCGGAGUUAUCUGGUUUUACCUAAAACCAUGCGCAGUCCAGGCACAUUCCAGGCACGGGAUUUUUCCAGGAACGUACCAAACUGGAUCAUCACAAAUAGUUAAUGAUUGUAAACCAUGUACGACAGGUCGAUAAUCACACACAUUUAGUUUUCCCGCAUCGUUUGUGAUAUUGUCUAACAUCACACACGCUUUGCAAACGGCAACCGUGUGCACAGUUACACACGUUUCCUCUCCAUGAACCAUGUCAGAUUAUGAUGUAUAUCACACACGCUAUGCUUUAUAGACCGUGUGUGCCGUAAUGACCUGCAGACCGUAAUUUCACCCUAAUUUAAUUGUUGUUAUUUAAAAUUAUGCCUAAUUUGAAUUUAAAAGUAGGCUAUCGCUUUAUUCAUAUCCAUCAGGUUCAAAAAACUAAUGCAUCAUUCCAUUCAUAGGUAGAUAUGUUCAAGCAUUACAUAAGGACCAAAUAAUGAAUGAUGAACCAAGGUUGUAUACUUGUACUAUUACAGAUGGUAAAGAAAGAGGCGAGAGAGAUUCUGGUUGCUGAACUAGCACUGGUACGCGUCGGUGCUAUACAAAAAGUUUUUAACCCCUUUCCGCGAUGGCAUUUGGAACCGUCGCCUAGUGAGUGAUAGCUAUAGGGGGUCCUUCCCACACGACCCAGAAACCAUCGGGGAUAUGCCCUCCUAGCACUCACGCUGCCAAAUGCUCCUUGAAAUCCUCCCUAUAAUACAUGCACCAUGACUUAGGGCAGCGCUUACUUGGUGGAGGGGUCGGUGAUUUGGGUGGAAGGUGUCACGCCGGUAGUCGGGGCAUGUGGGAUGUGGAAGGAGGUGGAGGAGGAUGGGUUCGGGUGUGGAUUACUUGCCUGGAUAGACGAGGCCGAGCAGCAUGAAGGAGGGUCACCGGCGAGGAGGCGGCGCUGUAAGCCAGGAGUGAAGGUUUCAACUUGGAAAGGAAGGUGGAAAUAGGGGAGAUGUGGCUUUUGGUAAGGGGGAGGGGGCGGUGAGGUAGAUAUUUCCAUGGAAGCCAAAAAUUUGGAAUCGCUUCAGCAAAAAAACUGGCGCGCAAAGUGUCAUCAGACACGGUCCCUUAUUCAGAACUGUGUACGAUAUAUGAACAUCAAAAACGAUUCAGAUAGCUUAACCCGUGUGUGAUGAGUUUGAACAUCGAAAAUUUUGGUUCGAAUUUCCCUGCUUACAGUGGUCAUCCAUAUCAUUGCAUAAUUUGGGUACACAAAGGAGACUACAACACAUCCAGACUUCUUAAUCGAGCAAGUUCCGCAAUUAAACAGAGCUAGCUGACCUAAAGAUUACUCUAACAAAUUAAAGAUUGUCGCUCUUAAUUAAAAAAACAAAGAGCACUACUACGGCUGGUGCUCGUCGAUCUCCACCACCACCUCCAUGUCCAGCUCAUGCCUGACGGUCUCCUAGGGAUGGAGCUCCAUGGCAUGCAUCACACCAUACUUGGCAAGCAUCUCGUCAUCCGCGUCCGCCAUCUCUUUGGAAAAGGCCGCCACGAGCUGGGCAUGGGCUGCCGCAAUCUGGGCUUGGACAGGCUUCGUCCUCGCAAGGUAUGCGGCGGAGGAACGGACGGCUACUCGAACGCUCUCGGCAAUUGCCAACUCUUCAGUCGUGGGUUGCUGACCUUGUCGGAGAAGCUUCGUUCGAUUUGUGCGGUGACCGCCACGAGCUGGCAUGGGCGGCCUCGACAUGGUCGUGGACGGCCUCCAUUAGGUCUAAGGCCACCACUAUGGAACAGAUAGCUGCUAUGCCGCUCUUGCUAGUUGCUAUCCCUGAGGCAGAUGUUGUUGCCGCGAUCUUAGAAGCAACAACGGCUCUUUGGGCUGCCUUGGCCACCCGGUCACAGAUUGCGGCCGCGCUCAUGCACCUUGUUAGCACGAGCAUGGCGGCUGCGGCUGCGCACUUGCCGGAGUGGGCCACCAAAGUUGCCCUCACGACACUGGUACACGUGCCCAUCUAUCACCUGCGAUAACUGAACAGUGAAAUGAUAUUUGGGGAGCGAGCUAGUGUGCUUGAGAUGCCAGCUGUGGACUAUAGCUGACGCACCUUCUCGCCUAAGCCAUAGGUGUACUAUACACCGACGGUGCUCCAGGAUAUUUUGUGCAGCUUCUCACAUGGUUUGUGAUGAUAAACUGUGAGGGAUCUACUUGAUUUUUCAUCUUGAUUUGAAUGACAUAAAGAGGUCACAUCGGCAAUGGAAGGUGUUUGAAUUGCUAGACCUUUUAUCUGCAGUGAACAUGCAACUUUUGAACAUUUUACACAUUAAAUUCGUUUUCUCGCGUAAGCCAUAGGCUUAAAGGAAUUGGAGUUAUUCAGGGUUCAUUUGAACAUUUUACACAUUAAAUUGGUUUUCCAGCCAUUUCAGGUGCACAAUUCAAAAUUAAACAACAUGCACAUGCUCCGGUGCACCAACAUGGGUUGUAAAAUCAUAUAUGUGUCCAUGGGUUUAUGCUUAUGUCCCAUGCAAGAAAUUAGGAUGAAAUUCAAACACCACGGCACUGUGGCUCUCCGGCAAACAUCAACGUACCUGCUUUUGUAAUUCUAGUAAAUCCAAAAUUCGUCUGAAAUUCAUGAAACUUGGCAUGCUAUCGUAGAGCGGCAUCAACAUGUCGUGGUAAAAUAUUUGUCCCAUUUGGGGCAGGUUUGGGUAUAAGCUUCUCAUAAACCAGAGCUUCUCACAACAAGUAUGAUGGUUUCGGUAGGGAACGUUUCACCUUUCUGGACGAAACGAUAUCCGUUGCCUCUUCUCGAUUUCAAUUUUUUCCUAGGGUCAACAUAGAAAAACAGGAGUGUUGUGUCAACUUUUGGGAUUUUUUGGGGUUCACUUGGAGAUUUUUAUACAUUGACUGAGUUUUCUAUGCAUUCAUGUGCAUAAUUCAAAUUUUAACUUUAGGCACAUGCUCUAAUGCAUAUAAAUUAGUUGAAAAUUCAAAUAUGUGUCCUUGGUUGCAUGCUUAGGUCCCAUGCAAGAAAUGGGAAUGAAUGUCAAACACCCUGCCACCGUCAUUCGGCCGCAAACAUUGAGAUACCUGGCUUUUAAAUUCUAGUAAAUCCAAAGCUCAUCUGAAAUUCAUGAAACUUGGCAUGCGGUCAUGGAGCGGCAUCAACAUGUCAUGGUAAAUUUUUUGUCCCAUUUGGGGAAGGUUUGGGGAUAUGCUUCUCACAAACCAGAGCUUGUCACAACAAGCCUAAUGGUUUCGGUAGGGAACGUUUCACCUUUCUAGACAAAAUGAUAUCCAUUGCCUCUUCUCGAUUUCAAUUUUUUUCCUAGUGUCUACAUAGAACAACAGUAGUGUUGUGUCAAUUUUUGUGAUUUUUCGGGGUUCAUUUGGACAUUUUUAUGCAUUAAUUGAGUUUUCAAUGCAUUUAUGUGCAUAAUUCAAAUGUGAACUACAUGCAUAUGCUGUAAUGCAUAUAAAUUGGUUGAAAAUUGAAAUAUGUGUCUUUGGUUGCAUGGUUAGGUCCCAUGCAAGAAAUGGCAAUGAAUGUCAAACACCCUCCCACCAUCACUCGACUGCAAACAUUGAGAUACCUUGUUUUUAAAUUCUAGUAAAUCCAAAACUCGUCUGAAAUUCAUGAAAAUUGGCAUGCUAUCAUGGAGCAGCAUCAACAUGUCAUGGUAAAAUUUUUGCCCCAUUUGGGGCAGGUUUGGGGAUAUGCUUCUCACAAACCAGAGCUUCUCACAACAAGCCAGAUGAUUUCGGUAGGGAACAUCCCACCUUUGGGGACGAAAUGAUAUCCAUUGCCUCUUAUUGCUUUCAAUAAAAUUCUCGUCUCAACAUAGAACAACAAAAGUGUUGUGUCAAUUGUUGUGAUUUCUCGGGGUUCGUUAGGACAUUUUUAUGCAUUAACUGAGUUUUCAAUGCAUUUAUAUGCAUAAUUCAAAUUAGAACUACAUGCAUAUGCUCCAGUGCAUAUAAAUUGGUUGAAAAAUCAAAUAUGUGUCCUUGGGUGCAUGUUUAGGUCCCAUGCAAGAAAUGGGAAUGAAUUUCAAUCAACAGGGCACUGUUGAUUGCGGGCAAAACGUUGAGAUACUUUGUUUUUAAAUUCUAGUAAAUCCAAAACUCGUUUGAAAUUCACGAAACUUGGCAUGCUAUCAUGGAAUGGCACCCGACAUGUUGUGGUAUUUUUUGUGUCCAUUUUGAGAGAAGGCGCACUUGAAUAACAGCCAACAAAGGCAUUGUGAAAAAAAUAUUGCUGCCACUUUAAUAUCUCGAACGUUUGUAUAAUUCAAACCAUGUGUGUUCUGUUAACCAUUCACGUGACGCUACGUGUCUUGGUUUUAAUGGCUAUAGGAGGUGCCGUGCGGACACCUGCUUGACCUUGACUGAACGGGAGGCGUGCGAGCACAGUCCGAUGCGCAGGCUGGCCAAGAGGCGUGCAUGUUGUCCUCCAAUGCACAAGCUCACUAGGAAGCGAGCCGUUUGACCUCCAUGGCUGCCCGCCUUCCUCUCCAUUAAUGGCGCCCAAGCCACUGCUAAUUACGGGCGGCCUUACUAUUCGCCUCCCAUUCCCCUCCCUCUCGCAGACCUCCACCAACGCCAUGCACAGAAGGAUCAUCUGCCACUAGUCUUCAAGUUUGGAGAAGUCAACUCUGAGCUGGAGGAGAUAGAAAAUAAGGAGGAAUGGGGCCUCAUGGACAUGGCCCAAAAUGAGCUGUCCAUGGCGGUUGCUGCCCCCGGUCCCAUCGUAGCUCCCAUCCCCGCGCCUGCUACCUCUUGAGCAUGCGUUGGUUUUCCCUUGAAGAGGAAAGGGUGGUGUAGUAAAGCAGCAUAAGUAUUUCCGUCAGUUUUUGAGAACCAAGGUAUCAAUCUAGUAGGAGACAAUGCACAAGUCACCUAGUACCUGCACAAACAAUCAUUAACCUUGCAACCAACGCGAUAAAGGGGUUGUCAAUUGUAACACCCACAAUGCGGCUAUAUCUCCCACGUGUCGGGCCAUGACUUAGAGGCAUAGCCACAUGGUAGUUUUAUCGCAAGAGGGGUAAUCUUCACACAAUCCCAUGUACUGAAUAAGAAAGGGAUAAAGAGUUGUCUUAGAAUCGCCACUUCACACAAAUACAAGUUAAACAUACAUCAUCCAGAAUAAAAUCAAGGUCUGACUACGGAACCAAAAUAAAAGAAGACAACCCCAAAUGCUAGAUCCCCGAUCGUCUGAACUGGGCACCACUACCGAUCAACCGAAAAAGACACAUAACAACGAUCAAGAUCUUCAUCAAGCUCCCACUUGAGCUCAGUUGCGUCACCUGCACUGGUAUCAUCGGCACCUGCAACUGUUUGAAAGUAUCUGUGUGUCACGAGGACUCGGCAAUCUCACACCCACGAGAUCAAGACUAUUUAAGCUUAUGGGUAAGCACUAAGCAAAAUAUGGUGGCUAACAUAUGCAAAUAAGAGUGACAAGAGAAACAACGCAACAGUCGGGAGGCUAGAAGUGAUCAAUAAGUUAUCCUGUAACUACUUACGUUCAAGCAUAACACAAGACCGUGUUCACUUCCCGGACUCCGUCGAGAAGAGACCAUCACGGCUACACACAUGGUUGAUGUAUUUUAAUUAAGUCAAGUGUCAAGUUCUCUACAACCGGAUCUUGACAAAUUCCCAUCAGCCACAUAACCACGGGCACGGCUCUCAAAAGUUUAUACCCUGCAAGGGUGUCCCAACUUAGCCCAUCACAAGCUCUCACGGUCAACAAAGGAUAUUCCUUCUCCCAGGAAGACCCAAUCAGUCUCGGAAUAUCGGUUACAAGACAUCUCGACUAUGGUAAUACAAGACCAGCAAAUCCGCCCGAAUGUGUUAACAAAUCCCGGUAGGAGCUGCACAUAUCUCAUUCUCAGGGCACACCAGAUGAACACUACGUACAGAAAAAACCAACCUUCAAGUUUCCCCGAGGUGGCGCUGCAAGUGGCUCUAGGUUGGACCAACACUCAGAGGAGCACUUGCCCGGGGGACUUAAAAUAAAGAUGACCCUCGGGCUCGCGAAAACCCAAGGGAAAGUUAUAGGUUGUUAGGCAAAUGUAAAACCAAGGUUGGGACUUGCUGGAGGAGUUUUAUUCAAAGCGAACUGUCAAGGGGUUCCCAUAACACCCCACCGCGUAAGGAACGCAAAAUAGAGGAACAUAACACCAAUAUGACGGAAACUAGGGCGGCAAGAGUGGAAUGAAACACCAGGCAUAAUGCCGAGCCUUCCACCCUUUACCAAGUCUAUAGAUGCAUUAAUUAAAAUAAGAGAUAUUGUGAUAUCCCAACAUCACCAUGUUCCAACAUGAAACAAGCUUCUUCUUCACCUGCAACUAACAACACUAUAAGAGGGGUUGAGCAAAAGCGGUAACAUAGCCAAACAGCGGUUUGCUAGGAAGGUGGGUUACAGGCUUGACAUGGCAAUACGGGAGGCGUGAUAAACAAGUGGUAGGUAGCACGACAUAGCGAUAGAACGAACAACUAGCAAGCGAAGAUAGAAGUGAUUUCGAGGGUAUGGUCAUCUUGCCUCAGAUCCCACAAGGAAGAAGAAGGAGUCCAUGAAGAAGGAAAACGGACGUAGUCGAACAGAUCCUCACAACCGCAACGUUACCGGAACUAACACGAAGAAGAAACAACAAAAAGAAGCAAACAACAUGGUAAACAACCAUCAAAUAAACAUGGCAUGAUGCACAAUCAAGUAUGAUGCAUGUCUGGUUUAGUGAGGCAUGGCAUGGCAAAGUGCACAAAAAUACUACAAAUUAAGUGGAGCUCAAUAUGCAACGAGUUGCACUUUGAUGAAACACCACACUCGAUUAUUUAUUUCUCUCCCAUUUAUGUACCCAACAAUAUUAAAUGUGGUUAAACAUGGCAAGAGGUGAUACAUGAUAAAACUACCUAUCUAGGCAAGUUUAAAUGAGGCCGGAACAACAAGCAACAAGUCCGGAAAAUCCUCAUAUGCAUAUUUUAGAUUUGGUACUGUUCUUCCCUAUACACAAUUUUAAAGUUAUUAAGCAUGCAAAGUAAAGCCACCAUGUUAAAAUAUGCAUUUUUCUACCCCAUUUACAUAUAAAGUUUAUUAAAUUUGGAGCUACGGUUAUUUAGUUAUUAAAUAAAUCAUUUUAGCAUGGCAUUUGAGCAAAUUUAAACAAACAAUAUUUUAAACAUAGAUGAAAGUGGCAUAUUAUGAAACUAGGCAAAAUUCUAAGCUUUUUUCAUAUAUAAGUUGUUUAAUUCCGAUGCAUGGUUUGUGAGUUAGGAUAUGCAUGAACAUGAAGGUCUUUUCUGCAAAACUGACAACUCUGGAAAUUAGAUAAAUCCGCAGCAAGGGAAAGAAAACAUGCACGGGCCGAAACUGAGGCGGACUAGCCUGCACAAUGUACUGGGCGUAGGACUAGGGACGUCUCACCAUGGGCCAGGGGGGUGCUGGGGUGCAGGAGGUCGCAGUGGCCGCGGUGAACUAUGCCUUGGGCAGGCGGUUGGGCGUGGCCGUGGCCCACGAGCCCCGCAAGGCAGGAGGGGGCCCAGGCGUGCGAGGCGAGGGAUCCUGCUCGACGCGACGACACUCUCCGGUGGCGACGACGCGACGCAGUAGGGUCGGGGACGGGCGGCGGUUCUCCGGAGCCUACGCGGGAACGACGGGGACGAGCGCCGGCGACGGAUCCAGAGAGUGGUGGAGUAGAUCAGGGCGGAGGUCACCAGAUCUGUUAAUGGCGUGAGGCGGGGUCGAGGUCGCGAGCGCGUGUGACGGUGAUGGGCUUCCAGGCAGCAGAGGGCGUGGAUGCGGCAUGGCGCGGGGUCCCGACGGGGUCCGGUCGCGGAGGAAGGCGGCGCGGAGAUGGGGUUGCCGGAGGACGAAUUGGCGAGGCUCGCCGGCGGGAGGCGCUGGCCGAGCGAGGCGACGAGGAUGAUGGCUUGAGCAACGGGGAGCGAGGCGGACUUGUAUGGGCCCAGAUGGGCUUCCCCGGGCCCGAUCUGGGUCCUGGCGGGCUGCGGCGGCAAGGCUGGAUAGGGGCGAUGUGGCCAGCUCCUGUUGGCUGUGGCGGGCACUGAGGGGUGAGGUGGCACUCUGGGAUUGGCCCUAGGGCUUGGCGGUGGCGGCGACAAGUGUAGGCGGCAGUGAAAAGUGGAGGCCAGGGAGGGGCUCGGCGCUGAAAACAAGGUGGGGAUGGCGGCUAGAACUAGGAGGAGGGGUAGGCUACCCAAAAUGUAAGGGGAAGGUGUUUAAAUAGGAAAGGGGGUUCUAGGGUUAGGGGCUUUGCUCCGUUUCGGAGCCGUUCGAUCGCCAUCGGAUGGUCCGGAGUAGAGGGGGUAGGUAGGUGGGCUAAAUGGACUAUGUAGAGGGGCUUGGGCUGAGAGGAGAGGAAAGAAGGCAGCCCGGCAACCAUUUCCGGAGAACGAAAAUGUCCGACGUUUGACCGCCUAUAAUGCCGCUAUAAGUUUAACGGUUGGGCUAUCAAACGACCUCCUAAUGCGAUGAAACUUGGCAGGCGGGCUACCUACAAUAUAACAAGACCGCACGCCAACUCUCAUUCCAUUCCGAGAACAUUUUUCAGUCACUUAUAAAAUAAUACUUCGUAGGUGCCGCGGGCGCGUGCGAGUGUGUCUGGGCUCAGAACGGACAACAGAAGGAACUGGGAGACCCGGACGAAUGCAAGUUUUGAAAACAUGAUGAUGCAAUGCACAUGAUGACAUGACAAGAUGCAACACGCAAGCGAAUGACAUGGCAACAACGCGCAUAACUGGAUGACACCUGGCGCAACGGUCUCGGGGCGUUACAACACUCCACCACUACAAGAGGAUCUCGUCCCGAGAUCUCAGGAUGGCAUCGGAGAGAAACGGAAGAAGAAGAGAAGAGGUAAAACUAAGUUGAUCCUUCGACAAAUGAGUGAAACCAAAGAACCUUGAGAGGUUGAAAAAAUUGAAAGCAAGAAUGCAACAAAGAUGAAAAAAGUUGAACAAGGAACAUCACGAGAACACUAUAGGUUGAAAGACAUGAGAAAAGGAUUGCAAUGGGCAAGAAGUACAUGCAAGCACUCCGGUUGAAACGAGAUGUACAAGGAACGUUAAAGAUCAAUUAUGAAAACACUCCGGUUGGAAAUAGAAGGCAAAGAAUAUAAACUUGGCAAAAUUAAAGCACUUGGAUGAGAGUCUGGUUAGAAGAGGAAUGAUAGCCACAACACUCGAGUUAAAACAAGAUAGAGAAGGAAUAAGAAUGAUAUAAUUUGGAGAGCACUCCGACUGUAAAUGGAAAGAAUUCAACAUGAACUUGACAAGAUGAGAGGAUACUUGAUGAAACCAACAACACACUGCCUUCGGAACUAUUGAAAAAAUAGCCUAAGGGGUAAGAAAGAUUUCAGACACCACUCCAUUUGAGAAGGAAGCAAAACUUGAUAAGAUGAGAGAACUUGAAUGAAGGACAUGACACUCCGGUUGAGCUGAUAAGCAAAGGAAUAGAACAUGAUCUUGACAAAACGAGAUGAUGGGUCGAAGAGAGCAACAUCACAAUGCCUCCGGAAGAAAUGAAAGAAUGGAAUGGAAGGAACGGAGGGAAACAAGAUCUUGAGAGAGCACACUUACAACAAAUGCUAGAACGGAGUUGUUGGAUUAUCAACAACGAAAGGAUAAGCUUGUUGUGGCUUAUGGAAAACAUCUCAAAAAUUGAGGUGAAAUUCUGGCACUAAUGGAAACAAUAGAUUGGAUUGAUUUCAACAAGGAGACUUGAAACUUAUUUCACCGGGAGGAUAAAUGAAGAACUUGGGUCAUUUAUGAGCACCAUAUAUAACAACAAACCUUAGGGAAGGCUUUAGGUGAAAUAUAACCAAAGUUAAUUCCAACGAAGAGAUUGAUGGGUUGCAAAGGCUCUCAUGAACGAAUUGAAAAUGAUGGGUUUAAAAUAUGUCAUUCCAGAACUUGUGAAUCCUGAAACACAAAGAAAUUGUCAAAAAUGACAUAACGUCAUCUCAAAAGAUAAGGUAGAAAGAAUUGCACUUCGAAAUGCAAGAUGAAGAAUACUUGAGCUCCUCUGAAAAGAAUCUCGAUGAACACUUGAAGAAGGAAUUAAAUCCUUGAUGAACCAUCGUGUAGAGCCUCCAUGAAGAACUCUGGUAACAAAAGGAUGAUAUAAAGAAAGAGAAGUUGAAAACACAAGGUGAAUCCUUGCAAUGAUUUAGAAGAAUCUUUGUGGUGAUAUAAUUGAGAGAUCUUGGAACACCGGGAAAAGUAUGAAGCACUUGAACCGAGAAUUUACUCAUCAUGAACAAACUCUGGAAGAAUGAAUCAAUCACUUGGAUGAAUAAAGAAUAAGAAUUAUGUUAUGUGUAUCCUUCACUAAUUUAAAUUGAUGACAAGCAACGGAUUUUGCAUACUACUUAUUCUCGUAGAAAGGGUAAAGAGAGAUAUAGCGCAAACUUGGAUAAGUUCUUGAUGGAACCACCGGUGGGAUUUGGAAACAACGAAUGAAUUGAUAUGAGAACAUAGGAAGAGGAAUCUUGAACGAACCACCGUAAGAAUUAAAAACGAACAAAGAAAAGAUAGCGAAACACUGGGAAGAAUUAGAAAAUGAACGAAGAUACUCGAGAGAAUUUAGAUACAAGAGAACGAAGAUAUCAUGAACUGAUUAGAAGAUAUUUGAGCGAUGCACUCGUAAGAUUUGGUGAACGAGAGCUGAAAGCUAAGAAUGAGUAAUAUUUGAAAAGAUGGCCUUCGGAAGAAAUAUAUGAAAAUAACUCAUGAAAUGCUCUGGAUGGGUGAAAAGAAUUCUCACAAUCGAAAAUAAUUAUGAGAGGAUGGCAUCAAGCUAGAAUCAUGAAUCUUUGAAAAGAACGAGUAAGGAUUUAAGAGUAACUCAUCUCCAGUCUUCAAAUGCAAAGAAUGACGAUGAGAAACAACACCACAAAUUGUUGAGAAUCUCUGGAAUGAAAAUUAGAAAGGUUGAACCAACGAUCAAAAGACUUUGAAAGUUCUUGGAGAAAGGCAUUUGACUGAUGACAAUUCAUUCUUACGUCAAACUUUGAAAUGGAUUUGAGAAUAGCUCCGGAAAAAUUAGAAGAGUCAGGUAAGAUCCUAGGAAAAGACAUGUGGGUUAGGGCCCACUCAAAAGAAACACCAUUGAAUGAUUACUUGAAAGAUAUUGCACUAGUUGAAUUAAAUGGCUUGUGUCGGUGUCAAAACCAGCGGAUCUCGGGUAGGGGGUCCCAAACUGUGCGUCUAGGCAGAUGGUAACAGGAGGUAGGGGACAUGAUGUUUACCCAGGUUUGGCCCUCUUGAUGGAGGUAAUACCCUACGUCCUUCUUGAUUGUUCUUGAUAAUAUGAGUAGUACAAGAGUUGAUCUACCACGAGAUUGAAGAGGCUAAACCCUAAAAGCUAGCCUAUGGUAUGAUUGUAUGUUGUCCUACGGACUAAAACCCUCCGGUUUAUAUAGACACCGGAGGGGGCUAGGGUUACACAAAGUCGGUUACAAGGAACAAGAUCUACAUAUCCGUAUUACCAAGCUUGCCUUCCACGCCAAGGAGAGUCCCAUCCGGACACGGGACGAAGUCUUCAAUCUUGUAUCUUCAUAGUCCAACAGUCCGACCAAAGGAUAUAAUCCGGCUGUCCGGAUAGCCCCUAAUCCAGGACUCCCUCAAUAGCCCCUGAACCAGGCUUCAAUGACGAUGAGUCCGGCGCGCAGAUUGUCUUCGGCAUUGCAAGGCGGGUUCCUCCUCCGAAUACUUCAUGGAAGAUUUUGAACACGAGGAUCGCGUCCGGCUGUGCAAAACAAGUUCCACAUACCACCAAAGAGAGAAUAAUAUUUCCACAAAUCUAAUCUGCUGACGUACCCCGUAGCGUUACAUCACACCACAGCCAGGUCUUCAUUUGAAUCGUUUUUCAUAACCAAUCUCAGCGUGUUUCGCGAGGCGGUUUCCUAGGCACGUCUUGUCGAAGCAAAGAUCGAAUCCCCUUUAUUACGGGAUUCUCAUCAAUACGGAUGUGGGUAACCCAACCGUGCCUAUUGAUAGGACUCCUAGAUCUUAGGCAAGUCCCAAACGGCCAUGAGGAAGACGUUUGAUAUUCACCCUCUUUAUAAAGGGGACAAGGCUUUUUCUUUUUCCCCUCUCAUGCUGAAUCAAAUUAUUCCCCCGCAUCGAGUUCUAACACCCAAAACGCAGGUCAGGUGGUUCAGACCUUCAACUAUGUCCGGAUCCAACCUUCAAGGUCGGUGGAUGCCUUCCUCCAUCACGGAGGAGGACAUCAAGAAGUUGAGAGAGGCCAAAUAUCUGACCGUCGAAAUUUCGCAUCGGCUGCCUGCCCGAGGGCAGGUCGUCCCUACUCCCGAACCCAACGAGAGCGUCGUGUUCGUCUCCCACUUCCGCCGAGGACUAGGCCUUGCUCUGGAUCCCUUUGUUAGGGGUCUUAUGUUCUAUUUUGGGCUAGAUUUUCACAAUCUGGCCUUGGAUUCCCUUCUUCACAUCUCGACAUUUAUUGUGUAUGUGAGGCCUUCCUUCGCAUUACCCCUCACUUCGGCCUAUGGCUCAAGACUUUCGAUGUGAAGCCGAAGAUGAUUGAGGGGAAGCACGCAGCAUGCGGAUGCGCUUUAAUAAGCAAAAUAGCUAACGCUCCAUGGCCUGAGGGUUGCUUCCCAGAGGUUUCCGGAUUGUGGCAGUGGGAGUGGUUCUACGUCACAGCUCCCCGAAGUGCCAAGUGGGUAGCUGCCGCCACCUUCCGCUCAGGCCCCCCACCACAACUGACGUCAUGGAUCAGCAGGGGGCUGAGCUGGGGUCCAGCCAAGGACGUGCCAAUAUUGCAAAGUCGUAUCCAAGAUCUCUUUGAGAGAGAUUUCAGUCUGGUUAUGGUAGUGCAAGUUAUGCUAGUUCGUCAAGUCCAGCCUUGCAAACGCCUUUCCCUUCGCAUGUGGGAAUUUAACGCGGAAGGACCGCGAGCUAUUCAACAUUUCCUCGGCAUGACGCACGAAGAGAUGUACAAAUUGUUCUUCGGACCACAAAUAAUGUGUCCGGACAUCACUGAGGAUGCAGGUCUGAGCUGUAAUCGCCCGGAUACCCAAGUAAGUAGCCCCGCAUCCGAACACACUGUCCAUUUAUUUAUCGCAACAUUGCCCUAAGAAAGCCACUCUUUGACCAGGAUUGGAUACAGAAGGCAAAGUCGAACAGGUGUCCGGCCCCCCUCCCUGAGACCUCACCAAAUCCCGUGCUAACCAGGAUGCUGGAGAUCGCGCCUUAUCAAGCGCCCUCAGGAGAAGAUAAAAAGGGGGGAACAAGGAGGCUAGCACCUCCGUGAAGGAGCUUAGCCGGGGAGGAGGGACUGAAACUUCCUCUCCCCAGAGAAGGAAGAGGACCGCCUUCAAGGACCCGAGGACAAUGGUCUCCAAAUGGGGGAAGAAAUCUUCGCCGGAGGGUCCUUCCCCGGGGGCAACCCCGGCCGCACUAUGCCCUCAAGGGGAUCAGCCCUCCAUCGAGUUGUAAGUAAAAUUGUACUUAAUAAUAAAAAUACCUCGCUUUACUUCUGAGGAAAAUAACCGAAGCAUUUAUCUUGCAGUUCGGAUCUUAGCCCUUCUCAGCAGAGCUCGUCUUCAUGGGAUCUUCUUCCAGAGAUGAUGGAGAGCGAAACGCCCCCCCUGCCAUACCGCCUCAUGAGGCGGGCGGCCCCGAGGUGUCAUCGUGGAGGGUUUCUCCUGAUCUGGCAAGGCCUGAAGGCAAUCCUAUGGCCACCCGAAGUCCUCAGUAUCCGGCUCUUGAAGAGAGCAAUCGAAAGAGUCCGGCACCGUCUGGUGUGCGGUCGAACGUACUAAGGGAUCUGCUAGAGCAAGUGGCUAUCUCAGAAGAGCACCUGUGCGGUUGAUGGGUACGGUGAUUGAAAGGAUUUCGUCCGCCGAAAGCGGGUUGCAUGAAGCCUUUAUGGGUCUACUGACAGGUUUUGAGGUACGUGAAAUGAUGUAAAUUUUUGAUAGUACCGCACAUUUUUAGAUGUGCCCUGUGUAGAUAGAAGCCCUUGAGACUCUGGUUGUCGUCGAAAACGGCGGCAAACAGAGGAUCAUAGUCCCAGGUAAUAACCAAACCGCCUUUAUGUGUAGGUGGUUGAAGCUCUGGUGGCUAGCCGGACUGAUGGGUUUGCCGAACUGAGGCGGCAACUGGAUGAUUAGAUGCCGACAUCGUGCUUGUUAACAAGCGGCUUGACGAGGCACAGGGUAAGUGAUUUUUCUGGUGAUUGUCACAUAAUAAGAGCAGCAUGAUGCCAGUAUCUUUAAUAUGUUGUGACUGCAGAUGGAGCUGCCACCGUGGAGACCCUUGGGCGGAGCUUGCCCGAGCCAAGGAGCAGGCCAGGAGUAGCAAUGCGGCCGCUUUAAAGGUGGCCGAAGAGUUAAGGGCUGAACAGGUCGCGCAUUGCGAGAGCAAAGAAAAAAUAGCCAAGAUGGUUGUAGAGUUAAAAGAUGCUGCUGACCGUUACCAGCUUCUUAAAGAAGAAAACCGGGCGAAGGCGACGAACCUAGAGAAGGUCCGGGUGGAUGCCAAGGAAGCCCGCUCAAAAAUUAGAGCGACGAAGGAGGAGCUGCAUCAAGCUGCAGAUAUUGUAUCUGGGAAGCCCUUCUUGUUGCGGACUAAGUUCGGGGAUCCGAAGUAUGCACCUCUGGACCGGCUAUGGAGUUCUGUGGACGCCUACGUGGAUUUGGGUGCAAGUGCUGCUGAUGCGGCCGAGUACUUCAAGGAUCGGGAAGAUCACGAAGUGGAAAAACUAUUUUGGUCACAGUUUCAUGCUCCAGCCCGUCCGCUGCUGUUGAAUGAGCAAAUGGCCAAGUGGGCCGAGCUCCAUAGAUUAUUCGGACAUGCCAUGAGGUCCGUUGUGGAUCACCUGUGGCCGGGGGGCCAAGGCCGAAUAGCUACUUUAGCUUAGUGCAACAAUUCCUUGGUGCUGUGCCACAAAUCAAUGCUGUAAAGAGGUCGACAUGCAUAGAAGGCUCGCGGAUGGCCCUUGCCCGUGUCAAAACAUACAGGGCGGAGAUGGAUACCACCACUGUUGCGGCACCGGGUUCGGCCAUAGGCCGAGUGGCUGUCGAGCACUACUUUGAAGAAGUUCUUGAAGGCGCUCGUUCGAUAGAGGCUCACUGCUCGAAGAAUAUUAUGUUUAAGUGACAUGUAUUCCCAUUGUAAAAACAAUGUUUUAUUGAGUUUAUCAAGGCUGUAUUUAUACUUUUGCCCGAAAGUACUAUGAUGCCUCAUGUGCAUCCGUUUAUGUAUGUAUGUAUAUAACCUGAAAGAUGGCAGUCGUCGGCUUCAUCCCCCAUGCAUAUAAUGCGGGGGUGCUCGUAGAAGACGCAUGUUCACACUUGAUCCAAUGUCUUGGUCCAUGUCGGUGUCAAAACCGGCGGAUCUCGGGUAGGGGGUCCCGAACUGUGCAUCUAGGCCGGAUGGUAACAGGAGGCAGGGAACACUUUGUUUUACCCAGGUUCGGGCCCUCUCGAUGGAGGUAAUACCCUACUCCUGCUUGAUUAAUAUUGAUGAUAUGGGUAGUACAAGAGUAGAUCUACCACGAGAUCAAGGAGGCUAAACCCUAGAAGCUAGCCUAUGGUAUGAUUGUUGUGUAUGGAGUUGAUUGCCUACGGACUACAACCCUCCGGUUUAUAUAGACACCGGAUAGGGUUAGGGUUACAUAAAGUCGGUUACAAUGGUAGGAGAUCUUGAAUAUCUGCAUCGCCAAGCUUGCCUUCCACGCCAAGGAAAGUCCCAUCCGGACACGGGACGAAGUCUUCAAUCUUGUAUCUUCAUAGUCCAGGAGUCCGGCUGAAGGUAUAGUCCGGCUACCCGAACACCCCCUAAUCUAGGACUGCCUCAGUAGCCCCUGAACCAGGCUUCAAUGACGACGAGUCCGGCGCGCAAAUUGUCUUUGGCAUUGCAAGGCGGGUUCCUCCUCCAAGUCCUUCAUAGAAGAUUGUAAACACCAAGAGUAGUGUCCGGUUCUGGAAAAUAAGUUUCCACAUAUUGCCAUAGAGAGAAUAAUAUUGACACAAAUCAAAUGUGCCGACGUAUUCCGCAGUGCGUCAUCACACUACGGCCAAGUCCUUUACUCGAAUCGUUUUUACUUUUCCACCUCAACAUGUUUUGCGAGGUGGUUUCCUUGGCACGUCUUGUCAAAGCAGAGAUCGUGUACCCCCUUUACGGGAUUCUCAUCAAUACGGACGUGGGUAACCCAACCGCGCCAUUCAUCUCGGCGAUUGGGAGGCAAGCGAGUUUUACUAGGCUGGUGCGGACGCACAACUGCAUCCGCCCAUAUAAGGGGAUAAGGAUCCACCUUUUUACCUACGCCUUCUUCCUCCUUGGCCAAUCCAUCUCCUGCGCACUCGAGCUCCAGCGCCCAAGCCCGCACUUCCUACCUCAACCUUCUCCAGCAAUGUCCGGAGUGGGAGGCAAGUGGAUGGUCUCCUCCGUCAAGGAGGGCCAUGUCAAAAAGCUAAGGAAGGCCGGAUACUUGUCCAAAGACAUCACGCACCGGCUUCCCGAGGAGGGGCAGCUUCUCCCCACCCCAAGGCCCCAUGAGAGGGUAGUAUUCCUUCCCCACUUCCUCCGCGGACUGGGUUUUCCACUCCACCCAUUUGUCCGAGGGCUCAUGUUUUACUAUGGCCUGGAUUUCCACGAUCUGGCCCCGAACUUCUUCCUCAACAUCUCGGCGUUUAUCGUCGUGUGCGAGGCUUUCCUCCGCAUCCGCCCCCAUUUCGGCCUCUGGCUCAAGACCUUCAAUGUCAAGCCCAAGGUGGUGCGCGGCAGCCAGGCAGAAUGCAGAGGCCCCAUGGCGGGCAAGAUGGCCAACGUCCUAUGGCUCGAGGGCUCCAUUGUGGAGACCCUGAAGGGGUGGUAAUCAUGGUGGUUUUACAUCACCGAGCCGCGCGAUCCGAAAUGGAUCGCAGCCCCCGAGUUCAGAUCCGGACCCCCCACGCAGCUUAUGUCCUGGAAAGAGACGGGCCUGUCGUGGGGUGACAAAAAAGAGGUGACCGGAUUGCAAACAUGCAUCAUCAAGCUUGUCAAUGUAGUCCAGGUUAUGCUCAUCCGCCGGAUCCUCCCGUGUCAACAACGGGGCUUUAAUCUGUGGGAGUUCAACCCGGCGCAGCACCAAACCCUUAACCGGCUCUUCGACACGACGUAUGAAGACGUCUGGAAGGUGCUAACCAAAGGCGCCGAGGCUCCCACAUAUGCUUCCGAGGACUGCGGAUACAGCUCGCAGCGUCACGCUAGCGAGGUAAGCUAUUUUCAACUUUUACAGGAUGUUAAGUUUUUUCAUAGUUUGACUCUAUGCAGGAUCUAAACUCCCUUACCUUUGACAGGCUUGGCGGGCGAAGUCCGGAUCGAUUAACUGUCCGGCUCCCUUGCCCGAAGACCCAGCCCCAGCUCUACUAGUGAAGCUGCUGGCUCUGGCGCCUUAUGUGGUGCCAGAGAAGAAGGACAAGAAGAAGAAGGCCACGGGGACUCGAAAGAGUGCCCGUAAUGUGGUGGUGUCAGACUCAUCAUCUGACGAGUCCGAGACGCCCUCCUCCCGCGAAAACGAGGAGGAGGAAGAAGAAAACUCUCCCACCCCCAGCGGAGGGACGAGAGAAGAGGAAGGCCGCCCCAACGGGGGAGGCCGAGGGGUCUAGGAAAAGGAAGACCCCUCCACCGGACUACGCCCCAAACGCCGAAGAGGGCAAAGAGGAGUGGCCAAACAGGGCCAAGCGUCCAGCGAAAUCGUAAGUUCGGAUAUUAGAAUAACUCAUGAUGUUCCUUUGUUGCACAGCUUUCCCUAAUGUCGAAUGUAAUUAUGCAACCCGCCCCGGGCCAAACUCAACGAGUCGUCGAGCGGCUCCCUGGAUUCAUCGGACGUGAACUCAGUUCCGCCCGCUGUCUCCCCUCGCACUGCGGAUGACUCCGAAGUGGUGUCGCAACAAGCUCUGGGGCAGGAGGAGGUGGUCCUGGAGGAGCCGCAAGGCAACCUCCCAGACUCCAGGAGUAAAGGGGACAAGACCCCGCAGGGCUCCAAGUCCGGCUUUAUGCUGGACACCGCGCCGGAAUCUUCAACAGUUCCGGACCGCGGUAGGCGAACUCCUUCCAAGAGGAGCAAGCCUUCUGAGCCGGCGGCCUCCGUCCAACCGGAGGUGCCGGACAAUCUGCUCGAGGUGCUUGACGGCGCCUCCAUCAACAAGGAGCACCGUACUAUUAUGAGUACGGUGAUCCAGAAGGUUCAGUCCACCAAGAGCGGACUGACUGAAGCUUGCGCUAGCCUUCUAACAGGCUUCGAGGUAAGUAAAAAUAUAUAAAAAUAUAACCGCAUAGACAGUAGCCCCUGAUGCUCUGUUUGGCGUUCGGAAAGAAAAGCCGAAUAGAGGAUCUAGUAAAUUUCGCAGGAGUCUAACUAAAAAGGAGUCCAUAUACGUAUGCAAGCCUCGCUGCUAUCCACUGCCGCACUGACUGUGGAGGUGGGUGUCCUGAAACAGGAACUUGAGCGGAUCGAGCAAGAGCUCGGCCUUGCCAAGCGGCAGCUCGAGGAAAAAGAAGGUAGGAAAUACCUUACAGAAAAAGUGCCUAUAGAGAGGCGUGAUUGCAAAAAAUAACAUGAUUGUACUGCUUAUUAUAGGGGCCACGACUGAGGUGGCGACCCUCAAGCAGGCGCUGUCCGAGGCCGAAAAGAAAACGGCCGUGGAGCGCACCGAGCGAGAGAAACUUGGGGCUCAGGUUGGCGAGGUGCAGCAAGAGCUUCAGGCUCUCAUGAAAAAACAUGAGAGUUUGGAGCUUGAGUCAAAGACCCAAGCGUCCGAGCUUGCGGCGGCCCUUGAGACUGCCAAGUCUGCCAAGGCCGAAGCCCAAAAGGCCCUCCAAGAGUUGGAGGAGAUUAAGAAGAUAGCAGCGGGUAAGGCAUUCUUUAUGCAAAGCAGAAAUAUAAAAGUAAACUACUUGUUACUUACCCGAAUUCGGAGUUCUCCAGGGGCAUUCGCAGAUCUUCCCCGCAGCGUAUCCGCCGCCGCCGCAUUCUACCGAGCUGAAGAGGGAAGCUCGACGGAGAAGGUGUUCUGGUCUCAGUAUGCUGAGGCCGGACACCCUGUGCCCUUGAGCGACCUGCUGAAACAGCUGGUCGAGCUCCACAAGGUGGCCGAACAGGCCAUGAAGGGCUUCAUAGUUCGACUGUGGCCCGGAGAGGUCCUGCCUGGGAGCUACUUCGGGCUGGUGCGGCAGCUGGUGGAGACCUGUCCAAGGCUCGAGGUCAUCAAGCGCUCUGUCUGCAUCGAAGGUGCCUGUCGGGCCCUUGCCCGUGCAAAGGUGCACUGGGGUAAGCUAGAUGGUGAGAAGCUUGUGAAGGACGGGCCGCCGCCGGGGAAGGAGCAUCGCAAGCCCAAGAACUAUUACAAGGAUGUUCUUGGGGGUGCCUGCCUUGUGGCGGAUGAAUGUACCAAGGAUGUAAUUUUUGAAUAAACUCGCUCGUUUUUAUCCUGUGCGCUGGAAACUUGUUCAUAGGCGCUUAAGCAAUGCUUGUUGAAUUUAAAAUAUUAUUUUCUGUGCGGCCGUUUAUCAAAAAAUUGAGAGAUGGCCAGUCGUCGGCUUCUGCCCCCAUGCCACUAGUGCUGGGGUGUUCGGGAUAAACCUGAGCGCUCUUUUUCCCAUAGUUGGGUCCUUCGAGGGAGGCGCUCAGCACAACGAACCAGGCAAUCGGACUAUAAUGCUUGAACACUCUCACUUAUCCAUAGAACUUUAUAAUUUUAAAUUUCGGCGAAGCCCCUAGUUCGGAAGACCGAGUUCGGGGCGCUAUCCACGCCUUGGCCGGACAAAUCCGGCUCCUCGCUCGAAGCGGCAUAAGUCUUUAGGGACUCGAAAAACCUCUCGAACAGCUACCGGUCUCUCGCCUCAUCAUGACAGUUAGUUUUAGCUUUCUCCACUGAGGUGCUUAACCCAGCUCAACUGGGGCACAAUCGCAGUGGUUCUCCUAGUGCUACCUUAGCCGAUAUAGCGGAAUGUAAGGCACCAAAACAUAGGAGUCGGGCAAACCAAACUAUUGACCCAAAUCAUGAUUCGGAGCCGAUGCAUAUAGUGCUAUAAGUUCGGGGUGCCGCACUUGUGAAAGUGUAUGGACUUCUCACACCAUAUUAAAGGGUACUGAAGCCCCUGGCGUACUUGCCGUACCACAGUGUACGGGUGCAACAUGUCAUUAAUAAACAUAUAUAAAAGAGAGUAAUGCAGAAAAUAGACAAAAAGCUAUGCAUUGUUUAUAGAGAGGCUUAUUUAUCAAAGACGAACGAUACAAGUAGUGCGAUAAGCAAAAAGAUAUUGGACUAUUUAAUAUGUCCUGACCAGGGGCAGGCUGCGAAAUUGUAUUUAAAACAGGUAUACCGCUCGUAACAGAGACCACCUGGGAGUUCCAUAAUGCGGCAUGGCUUGUCUGCCUCCCUGGAUCUUGCAUCGUUUGUGCGGCAGUCGAAUUGCCAAACAGGUCGUCCAAAGUAUGGAGUCCUGAAAGUAAGAAAAAAUUAAAAAAAAAAGAAUCCAGCAGCCCCUAGUACGUUUUAAGCCAUAUUUUGGGCGUGCCAUUAUUGUGCCCCUUCCCCUGUGCCCAUGGUAUUUCAAGGGCGUAGUUAUGUACGCGAGGUACUGGUUUCGCUAUGUCGCGAAAGCUGGGGUUGGGGUCAUAUUGCUACGCUUGCUCAGAGUGUGCCAGGCGGUCCUACUGUCGGUUACUCCGGGCGCGCUUGACAGUGUCUAGCUUUUUAAUGGACGGAUUGGAGAAUUGCCUGAGAGGUCUACUUUGUACCUCCGCUGCGAGAGCCGCCGUAUGCCCCUCCGUACGGAGGGGUCGUUCGGUGUUUCCGUUGACCGUAAUUACUCCUCGAGGGCCUGGCAUCUUGAGCUUGAGAUAUGCAUAGUGCGGCACCGCAUUGAACUUUGCGAAUGCGGUUCGUCCAAGCAGGGUGUGAUAGCCACUGCCAAAUGGGACUAUAUCGAAGAUUAGCUCUUCGCUUCAGAAAUUGUCCAGGGAUCCGAAGACCACGUUAAGUGUUACUGAGCCUGUACAGUUGGCUUCUACACCUGGUAUAACACCUUUAAAGGUCAUUCUUGUGGGCUUAAUCCUUGAGGGAUCUAUGCCCAUUUUCCGCACUGUAUCCUGAUAAAGCAGGUUCCGGCUACUGCCGCCAUCCAUGAGGACUCUUGUGAGAUGAAAUCCGUCGAUGAUUGGGUCGAGAACCAAUGUGGCGAAGCCGCCAUGACGGAUGCUAGUGGGAUGGUCCCUUUGAUCAAAAGUGAUCGGGCAGGAGGACCAUGGGUUGAACUUUGGGGCGACUGGCUCUAUCGCGUAUACGUCCCGUAGCACACGCUUCUGCUCCCGCUUGGGAAUGUGGGUUGCGUAUAUCAUGUUCACCAUCCGCGCUUGUGGGGGAAAGCCCUUCUGUCCAUUGUUGUUCGGGGGCUUGGGCUCCUCGUCGUCGCUGUGCAGCCCCUUGUCUUUGUUUUCGGCCCUUAACUUGCCUGCUUGCUUGAACACCCAACAAUCCUUGUUAGUGUGAUUGGCUGGCCUUUCGGGUGUGCCAUGUAUCUGGCACAAGCGAUCAAGUAUUCGGUCCAAACUGGACGGGCCCUGAGUGUUCUUUUUGAAUGGCUUUUUCCGCUGACCGGAUUUAUAGCCUUUGAAUCCGGCAUUGACUGCCGUGUCUUCAUUGCUGUCGCUGUUAACGCGGCAUUUUUGCUUAUUCCGACGUGUCCUGCCACUUUUGUCCUUGGUAUCCGAAUUACCAUGGUUCUUUGAUAAGUUGUUACUACGAGCUAGCCAGCUGUCUUCUCCCGCGCAAAAGCGGGUCAUGAGUGUCGUGAGGGCUGCCAUGGAUUUUGUCUUUUCCUGUCCCAGGUGCCGGGCAAGCCACUCGUCGCGGAUGUUAUGCUUGAAGGCUACUAGGGCCUCUGUGUCCGGACAGUCCACUAUCUAGUUUUUCUUUGUUAGGAACCGUGUCCAGAAUUCUUAGGACCGGGCAUCUUAAGCAUGAGAGAAGCGUAAUGUGGUAUUGCGUUAAAGUGAGCAAAAGCUUCACGUCCGAGUAGUGCUUGAUAGCCACUUUGGAACGGAGCGAUGUGGAAGGUUAACUUUUCGCUCCGGAAGUUAUACGGAAAGCCGAAUAUAACCUCUAGUAGUAGGGAGCCUGUGCAAUGGGCUUCUGGGCCUGGCAUUACUCCUUUAAAGGUAGUAUUGCUAUGACUGAUUUUUGUUGGGUCUAUCCCCAUUUUGCGGACUGUGUCCUGAUAUAUCAGGUUUAAACUACCGCCGCCGUCCAUCAGGACUCGUAUGAAGUGGUAUCCGUCAAUUAUCGAGUCUAACACCAAGGCAGCCCAUCCUGCAUGCCAGAUACUUGCCGAGUAAUCCCGAUGAUCAAAGGUGGUCGGUUUGGACGACCAGUGGCAGAACUCCGCGGUGAUAGGCCCUGGGGCAUGUGUCUCUAGGAGUGUCGCUUUGUUUCUCCCCUUCAUCACGUGUAACACGUUUACUGUUUUGACUUCUGGUGGGAAUUUCUUCUGUUCCCCAGUGCUUUGCUUGCGAGGCUCAUCCUCGUCUUCGCUUGGUGUAACCUGCCCCUUGUGUUCGGCGUUGAGCUUGCCGGACUGCUUGAAGACCCAACAUUCUCUAUGGGUAUGAUUUGUAGGUUUAUCGGGGGUGUUGUGGAUCUGACAUAUUUUGUCCAGAAUCUUGUUUAGGCUGGACAGUUCGUCUCUGUUGCCUUUGGAGGGCAGCUUUUGCUGACCUAGCCGAGAGCUUCUGAAUCCGGUGUUUACCGCCGUGCUCUUCGGGUUGUCUUCUUUAUUCCGGCGCUUGUUUUUGCUGCGUCAUGGCUUCCCGUUUCUGUCCCUGACUUCGGAUGUACUUGGGUCGCUGGUGCUGCAUCAGGCUAACCAGUUGUCCUCGCCCAUGCAAAAGCGGGUCAUGAGGCUUGUUAAUGCUGCCAUUGUUCUCGGCUUUUCUUGGCCAGGGUGUCUGGCAAGCCAUUCGUCUUGAACGCUGUGCUUGAAAGCUGCUAAGGCUUCAGCAUCCGAACAGUCGACUAUUUGGUUCUUUUUAGUGAGAAACCUGUUCCAAUGCUUUCGGGAUGACUCUCCGGGCUGUUGAUUUAUAUGACUUAAAUCGUCUACAUCCGGUGGUCGGACAUAGGUCCCUUGAAAAUUUACCCGAAAAGCAUCUUCGAGCUCUUCCCAGCUUCCAAUGGAGUUUUCGGGGAGGCUUUUAAGCCAGUGCUGAGCUGGCCCUUUGAGCUUGAGGGGUAAGUACUUGAUGGCGUGGAGAUCGUCUCCUUGAGCCAUGUGGAUAUGGAGGAUGUAGUCCUCAAUCUAGACCCCAGGGUCUGUCGUUCUGUCGUACGCCUCUAUGUUUAUGGGUUUGAAUCCCUCUGGAAACUCAUGGUCCAGCACCUCAUCGGUGAAACAUAGGGGUUGUGCAACACCCCUGUAUUUGGGUGUACCGUGGUGUUCGGAUUUUUGUUGUGUUGCAUUGCAUGCUAGAGCGUGCUUGCUUGGCUCGUGGAUGGAUCUGGUUGUGCCGUCCUUUUGAUGUGAGCCCUCACGUGGAUCGCGUACUAGCUUGUGUGCGGCAUCGUUUGCCACUCUAUGUUGGCCACGAGGUCAUCUAUCCCACCGAAUGGCUGUUUUGUUUUUUGAUUGCGGGGCAUCUAAGGCCUCCUCAUCGAAUUUAGGUAGCAGCUUUCGCUUAGGGUAGCUCUUUGUGUGGCGACUACCGCCGUACUUUGCUGCAGUGUUGAGUACUUCACUCCAUCUAAUUCUGAGUGUCUCUUGUGCCGCCCUGAGCCUUUGCUUCUGCCUUUUCAGACUCCUCGCAGUGGCAACAAGCCUUUGAUGGGUAUUCUGUUGAUCCGGGUGCCUGUCCGGUGUGAUGUCAUCUGGACUGUUAUCUUCGCCGGAGUUGGGUUGUUCGGUUUGAUUCUCCGUGUUGCCGUGGUUGGGCGAUGGUUCGAUGCCAUGUUUGUUGUCCGCUGGCUCACCCUGCUCUAUCGCUGGGUCUAUAUGAUCGUUGUUUCUGCCGAGGCGGGAUUUAGAGCGGCGCUUACGCCGCCGCUUUGACUGCUUCUCGAGGGAACGAUCCUUCACUGCGUCCUUCCAUUCCUCGUCGUUGUUUUCUUUGGGUGUGUCCACCAUGUAUACAUCAUAUGGUGAAGUGGGCGUCCAGUGCCCUGUGGGCAGUGGUUCCUAUUCGUCUCCUGCAUCGUCGUCCAUACCAUCGAUGUCUUCGGAGUCGAAGUCGAGCAUGUCGGUCAAAUCGUCGACAGUGGCUACUAAGUGGGUGGUGGGUGGGUGGCGAAUUUCUUCAUCAGCCGCAUCCCAAUCCUUCCGGACAUAGUUCGGCCAGGACUCUCCUGACAAGGAGAGAGACCUUAAUGAGUUCAGUAUGUCGCCGAAGGGCGGGUGCUGAAAGAUAUCCGCGGAGGUGAACUCCAUGAUCGGCGCCCAGUUUGAUCCGAUAGGCAUGGGCGCAGGCGGUUCGGAGUCCAUGGCCCCGGAAGAAUCUGGCAGUUUGGCGUCACGGCUCUCGUGAAGGGUAAAGUCGAUACUCGGCUCGAUCGCCGCUGAGAGUGCAGCCUCCGUGGUGGGGUCUAUCCACCCAUCCAUGGAUGGCGCAACUGGCUCCGAAUUGAGGGUCAGAGCGGUCGUCGGUGUGAUCUCCCGAACACUGUCCGAGGGUAGAGCUAAAUCAUGUUCAUCGUGAACGUGCGGCACACUCGGCAAGGGCUCGAAUCCGUCGAAGAUCAAGUCUCCGUGGAUGUUGGCCGUGCAGUUCAAGUUUCCAAAUCUGACCUGAUGGCCAGGGGUGUAGCUCUCGAUCUACUCCAGAUGGCCAAGCGAGUUGGCCCGCAAUGCGAAGCCGCCGAAUACAAAGAUUUGUCCGGGGAGAAAAGUCUCACCCAGGACUGCAUCACUAUCGAUGAUUGAAGGAGCCAUCCAGCCUAACGAUGACGACACAGAGGAACUCUCAAUGAAACCACCAAUGUCGGUGUCAAAACCGGCAGAUCUCGAGUAGGGGGUCCCGAACUGUGCGUCUAGGCGGAUGGUAACAGGAGGCAUGGGACACGAUGUUUACCCAGGUUCGGGCCCUCUUGAUGGAGGUAAUACCCUACGUCCUGCUUGAUUGUUCUUGAUAAUAUGAGUAGUACAAGAGUUGAUCUACCACGAGAUCGAAGAGUCUAAACCCUAAAAGCUAGCCUAUGGUAUGAUUGUAUGUUGUCCUACGGACUAAAACCCUCCGGUUUAUAUAGACACCGGAGGGGGCUAGGGUUACACAGAGUCGGAUACAAGGAAGGAGAUCUACAUAUCCGUAUUGCCAAGCUUGCCUUCCACGCCAAGGAGAGUCCCAUCUGGACAGGGGACGGAGUCUUUAAUCUUGUAUCUUCAUAGUCCAACAGUCCGGCCAAAGGAUAUAAUCCGGCUGUCCGGAUACCCCCUAAUCCAGGACUCCCUCAGCUUGAAUGAGAUAACAAUCUCGAAAUAGCUUGAACGGAUUAAGAAUGGAAAUUUGAAUCUUCUGAGAUAUCUUCGGCACUUCGGAAAAAUUUAAUAGCGAGAAGUGGACGAUUAAGAGGUGCACCGGCAUGAGAAAGCAUUUGAAACGAGGAAAGGAUAUGAUCGACAAAGCUUGACUUGAAUGCACCAAAGAAGAAAGAGAACGAAUAAUCAUGAACUUGAGGCUCCGUUAGUAUCUUCCUGAGAAUCACCGGAUAAGAGCAUCUUCGGAAAAAAAAUGGAGAGACUUCCCAUCAAUAGAAGGAUACUUGAUUAAGAAAUCUGAAUCCUUAAAGAAAAGGGUGGGAGGGCGGGAAAACGAAGGCAGCUUGGGAUGGAUGAAAUGAACACCGUUGAGAAGAAUUGAUAAUUGAUCUUGUAGAUGUUGAAAUGAACAGAUCCACUUGAAGAGAAGCACACCGGUUGGAAAAUAGAAUUGAGAUGACAACCUUGAUGAUGAAGAAGGAUUAAUACUCUCAUAGGAAUAUGAGAGCAUCGCUUAGGAAAGGUAUGGAAUCAACACUUGACAUUGAAGCAACUUGAAUACCACAACAAAAACAAAACAAAGAUUGGCUUGCAGAAUAAGCCGAAACAAACAUAUGAUACAGAUUUCGUUCGAUAUUUUCGUGGUGGGGCCCACACGAGCUCGAUCGUAUAGCACCAUCAUGUACAAGGCAGUGCACAUGACAUACGAAGCGUCCCCGGGUCAGCAUAGCCAAGGACUCUUUAAGACACAACGGGACCACUAUGAAACCAACCGUGGAUAGGCGGACCACUAGACGUCGAACCCCAAUCUCAUAUCAUGCAUCUUUCGGAAAGAUAUCCUAGGGGCUACUUGAAUUCACACUUAUAAACUCCCAAAACUUUCUGGUUAUGCAAUCAAGUGUUGGGGAUACAGGGGAAACAAAAUAUCUCACCCAAACUAACAAUUCCUACAUCCAGCUGUAUCCAUUCUUGAACACAUAACCAAGAAAACCUUCAGAAAUCUUGUACCUCAACCUUCGGAAAGCAUCCGUUAUACGAGUUAUGGCAAUACUCCCGAACUCCCGCCCCAGUACUGGGUGGCAUCGAGGUUAUCUCACCAAUAACUACAUAAAAGAGAUUUUGGAUGUCAGCGAACUCAGGUAUUCCAGAACUGCAAUGAUAAAAUUGUGACGACAACACCUCGGAGCUCAACUCCCCGGGACACUACCACAACCCGUAAAUGUCAGGAGGCACCAAGAACAAUGUUCUCGUCACAAGACUAUCAGAACGAUUCCAAGAUACCCACGUGAUCCUAGAAAAAAUUCGUGAAAUUUGAGGAGAGGGAAGUCAAAACUUCUAUGUUAGGAGGCCUCACCAGAGAGACGAAGGGACUGAGGAGUAAAAAGAAUCCUACUCUCCAAUAUAUAUAAUCCUAAGACUCAAAAAAUUUUGUUCUAGACUCAACAACGUCAAUGAUUCGAUCAACCAAGGGGCUCCUAAGUCAGGGAUGGCUCUGAUUACCAACUUAACACCCACAAUGCGGCUAUAUCUCCCACAUGUCGGGGCACGACUUAGAGCCAUAGCCGCAUGGUAUUUUUGUCGCAAGAGGGGUAAUCUUCACACAAUCCCAUGUACUGAAUAAGAAAGGGAUAAAGAGUUGACUUACAAUCUCCACUUCACACAAAUACAAGUUAAACAUACAUCAUCCAGAAUACAAUCAAGGUCCGACUAUGGAACCAAAACAAAAGAAGACAACCCCAAAUGCUAUAUCCCCGAUCGUCCCAACUGGGCACCACUACUGAUCAACCGGAAAAGACACAUAACAACGAUCAAGAUCUUCAUCGAGCUCCCACUUGAGCUCGGUUGCGUCACCUGCACUGGUAACAUCGGCACCUGCAACUGUUUGGAAGUAUCUGUGAGUCACGAGGACUCAGCAAUCUCACACCCACGAGAUCAAGACUAUUUAAGCUUAUGGGUAGGAUAGGGUAAUGAGGUGGAGCUGCAACAAGCACUAAGCAAAAUAUGGUGGCUGGCAUACGCAAAUAAGAGAGAGAAGAGAAGCAACGCAGUGGUCGGGAGGCUAGAAGUGAUCAAGAAGUGGUCCUGAAACUACUUACGUUCAAGCAUAACACAAGACCGUGUUCACUUCCCGGACUCUGCCGAGAAGAGACCAUCAUGGCUACACACGUGGUUGAUGUAUUUUAAUUAAGUAUAGUGUCAAGUUCUCUACAACCAGAUAUUAAAAAAUUCCCAUCUGCCACAUAACCGCGGGCACGACUCUCGAAAGUUUAUACCCUGCAGGGGUGUCCCAACUUUGCCCAUCACAAGCUCUCACGGUCAACGAAGGAUAUUCCUUCUCUCGGGAAGAGCCAAUCAGUCUCGGAAUCCCGGUUACAAGGCAUCUUGACAAUGGUAAAACAAGACCAGCAAAGCCGCCUGAAUGUGCCGAGAAAUCCCGAUAGGAGCUGCAAAUAUCUCGUUCUGUGGGCACACCGGAUGAACACUACAUACAGCUAAAACCAGCCCUCAAGUUUCCCCGAGAUGGCGCUGCAAGUGUCUCUCGGUUGGACCAACACUCAAAGGAGCACUGGCACGGGGGAGUUAAAAAAAGAUGACCCUCGGGCUCGCGUAAACCUAAGGGAAAGUUAUAGUUGUUAGGCAAAUGUAAAACCAAGGAUGAGCCUUGCUGGAGGAGUUUUAUUCAAAGCAAACUGUCAAGGGGUUCCCAUAACACCCAACCACGUAAGGAACACAAAAUUAAGGAACAUAAUACCGGUAUGACGGAAACUAGGGGGGCAAGAGUGGAAAAAAACACCAGGCAUAAGGCCGAGCCUUCCACCCUUUACCAAGUAUAUAGAUGCAUUAAUUAAAAUAAGAGAUAUUGUGAUAUCCCAACAUAACCAUGUUCCAACAUGGAACAAACUUCGGCUUCACCUGCAACUAACAACGCUAUAAGAGGGGCUGAGCAAAAGCGGUAACAUAGCCAAACAACAGUUUGCUAUGAAUGUGGGUUACAGGCUUGACAUGGCAAUAUGGGAGGCAUGAUAAACAAGUGGUAGGUAGCACGACAUAGCGGUAGAACGUACAACUAGCAAGCAAAGAUAGAAGUGAUUUCGAGGGUAUGGUCAUCUUGCCUAAGAUCCCGCAAGGAAGAAGAACGAGUCCAUGAAGAAGGCAAAUGGACGUAGUCGAACGGAUCCUCACAACAGUAACAUUACCGGAACUAACACGAAGAAGCAACACCAGAAAGAAGCAAACAACAUGGUAAACAACCAUCACAUAAACAUGGCAUGGUGCAUAAUCAAGUAUGAUGCAUGUUCGGUUUAAUGAGGCAUGGCAUGGCAAAGUGCACAAACAAUACUACAAAUUAAGUGGAGAUCAAUAUGCAAUGAGAUGCAUAUUGAUGAAACACCACACUCGAUUUUUUAGUUCUCCCCCGUUUAUGUAGCCAACAAUAUUAAAUGUGGUUAAACAUGGAAAGAGGUGAAACAUGAUAAAACUACCUAUCUAGGAAAGUUUAAAUGAGGCCGGAAUAGCAAGCAACAAGUCCAGAAAAUCCUCAUGUGCAUAUUUUAGAUUUGGUACUUUUCUGCCCUAUACACAAUUUUAGAGUUAUUAUGCAUGCAAAGUAAAGCCACCAUGUUAAAAUAGGCAUUUUUCUACCCCAUUUACAUAUAAAGUUUAUUAAAUAUGGAGCUACGGUUAUUUAGUUAUUAAAUAAAUCAUUUUAGCAUGGCAUUUGAGAAAAUUGAAACAAACAGCAUUUUAAACAUUUUAAACAUAGAUGAAAGUGGCAUAUAUGAAACUAGGCAAAAUUCUAAGCAUUUUUCAUAUAUAAGUUGUUUAAUUCCGAUGCAUGGUUUGUGAGUUAGGAUAUGCAUGAACAUGAAGGUCUUUUCUGCAAAACUGAAAACUCUGGAAAUUAGAUAAAUCCGCAGCAAGGGAAAAAACAUGCACGGGUCAAAACUGAGGCGGACUGGGCUGCACAGUGUACUGGGCGCAGCACUGGGGACAUCUCACCAUGGGCCUGGGGGGUGCUGGGCUGCAGGAGGUCGCGGUGGCCAGGGCGAACUGGGCCUUGGGCAGGCGGUUUGGCAUGGCCGUGGCCCACGAGGCCUACAAGGCAGGAGGAGGCCCAGGCGGGCGAGGCGAGGGAUCCUGCUUGAUCUCGAGCAGGGCACGGCACGACGGCGCUCUCCGGCGGCGACGACCGAUGCAGGAGGGUCGGGGACGGGCAGCGGCUCUCCGGAUCCUGCGCGCGAAUGAUGGGGACGAGCGCCAGCGACUGAUCCAAAGGGUGGCGGAGUAGAUUAGGGCGGAGGUCGCCAGAUCUGGUAUCGGUGCAAGGCGAGGUUGAGGUCGCGAGCGCGUGUGACGGCGACGGGCUUCCAGGCAGCAGAGGGCAUGGAUGCGGCAUGGCGCGGGGUCCCGACGGGGUCCUGUGGCCGGAGGAAGGCGGUGAAGAGAUGGGGUCGCUGGAGGAUGACGUGGCGAGGCUCGCCGGCGGGAGGCGCUGGCCUAGUGAGCGACGGGUAGCGAGGCGGACUCGUUCGGGCCGAGAUGGGCUUCCCCAGGCCCGAUCUGGGUCCUGGCGGGCUGCGGCGGCGGGGCUGGACAGGGGCGACGUGGCCGGCUGUUGUUGGCUAUGGCGGGCGCUGAGGGGUGAGGUGGCACUCCGGGAUUGGCCCUAGGGCGUGGCGGCAGCGACAAGUGGAGGCGGCAGUGACAAGUGGAGGCGGCAGCGACAAGUGGAGGCCAGGGAGGCGCUCGGCGCUGAAAACAAGGUGGGGAUGGCGGCUAGAACUAGGAGGAGGGGUAGGAUACCCAAAAUGGAAGGGGAAGGUGUUUAAAUAGGAAUGGGGUUUCUAGGGUUAGGAGUUUUGCUCCAUUUUGGAGCCGUUCAAUCGCCAUCGGAUGGUCCAGAGCGGAGGGGGUAGGUAGGUGGGCUAGAUGGACUGUGUAGAGGGGCUUGGGCUGAGAGGAGAGGAAAGAAGGCAGCCCGGCAACCGAUUUAGGAGACCGAAAACGUCCGACAUUUGACCGGCUAUAAUGCCGCUAUAAGUUUCACGGUUGGGCUAUCAAACGAGCUCCGAAUGCGAUGAAACUUGGCAGGCGGCCUACCUACAACAUAACAAGACCGCACACCAACCCUCAUCCCAUUCCGAGAACAUUUUCCCACCACUUAUAAAAUAAUAUUUCGGAGCUGCCGCGGGCGCGUGCGAGUGUGUCUAGGCUCAGAAUGGACAACAGAAGUAACUGGGAGACCCGAACGAAUGCAUGUUUUGAAAAAAUGAUGAUGCAAUGCACAUGAUGACAUGACAAGAUGCAACAUGCAAGCGAAUGACAUGGCAACAACGUGCAUAACUGGAAGACACCUAGCGCAACGGUCUCGGGGUGUUACAUCAAUCCCUUCACGGUCACUCGCAAAAGUGAGAUCUGAUAAAGAUAGUAAAGUAAAUAUUUUUGGUAUUUUUGUUGUAUAGAUUGGAAAGUAAAGAUUGCAAAAUAGUAAACGAGAUGAAGUGUAAAUAAAAUAGAUGCAAUAUAAUAAGAAAGAGACUCAGGGGCCAUAGGUUUCACUAGUGGCUUCUCUCACGACAGCAUGUAUUAUGAUGGGUGAACAAAUUACUGCCGAGCAAUUGAUAGAAAAGCACAGAGUUAUGAGAAUAUCUAGGCAAUGAUCAUGAAUAUAGGCAUCACGUCCGUGUCAAGUAGAUCGAAAUGAUUAUGCAUCUACUACUAUUACUCCACACAUCGACCGCUAUCCAGCAUUCAUCUAGAGUAUUAAGUUCAUAAGAACAGAGUAACGCUUUAAGCAAGAUGACAUGAUGUAGAGGGAUAACUCAAGCAAUAUGAUAUAAACCCCAUCUUUUUAUCCUCGAUGGCAACAAUACAAUACAUGCCUUGCUGCCCCUACUGUCACUAGGAAAGGACACCAUAAGAUUGAACCCAAAUCUAAGCACUUCUCCCAUUGCAAGAAAGAUCAAUCUAGUAGGACAAACUAAACCGAUAAUUCGAAGAGACUUACAAAGAUAUCAAAUCAUGCAUAUAAGAAUUCAGAGAAGAACCAAUUAAUAUUCAUAGAGAUAAUCUUGUUCAUAAACCCACAAUUCAUCGGAUCUCGGAAAACACACCGCAAAAGAGUAUUACAUUGAAUAGAUCUCCAAGAACAUCAAGGAGAAAUUUAUAUUGAGAAUUAAAGAGAGACAAGAAGCCAUCUAGCUAAUAACUAUGGACCCAAAGGUCUGUGGUAAACUACUCACGCUUCAUCGGAGAGGCUAUGGUCUUGACGUAGAAGCCCUCCAUGAUCGAUUCCCCCUCUAGCAGAUUGCCGGAAAAGACGCCAAGAUGGGAUCUCACGAGUAUAGAAGGUUGCGGCAGUGGAAAAGUGGUUUCGUGGCUCUCUGUGAUCGAUCUAGGGUAUAAGAGUAUAUAUAGGUGAAAGAAGUACCUCGGUGGAGCUUUGUGGGGCCCAUGAGGGUGGGUGGCACGCCUACCCCCCUGGGCGCGCACUCCUGCCUCGUGGCCGUCUACCGGAGUUCCAGACUUCAACUCCAAGCCUUCUGGUUUGCUUUCGGUCCAAGAAAGAUCAUCGCGAAGGUUUCAUUCCGUUUGGAUUCCAUUUGGUAUUCCUUUUUUGCGAAACUCUAAAAUAGGCAAAAAAAACAUAAGCUGGCAGUGGGCCUCCGGUUAAUAGGUUAGUCCCAAAAAUAAUAUAAAGGAGCAUAUUAAAUCCCAUUUAACAUCCAAAACAGAUAAUAUAAUAGCAUGGAACAAUCAAAAAUUAUAGAUAUGUUGGAGACGUAUCAAGCAUCCCCAAGCUUAAUUCUUGCUCGUUCUCGAGUAGGUAAAUGAUAAAAACAGAAUUUUUUAUGUGGAAUGCUACCAAACAUAAUUAUCAAUGUACUUUUCAUUAUUGUGGCAUGAAUGUUCAUAUCUGAAAGAUUCAAGACAAAAUUUUAAUAUCGACAUAAAAAUAAUAAUACUUCAAGCAUACUAACAAAGUAAUCAUGUCUUCUCAAAAUAACAUGGCCAAAGAAAGUUAUCCCUACAAAAUCAUAUGGUGUGGCUAUGCUCUAUCUUCAUCACAUAAAGUAUUCAAAUCAUGCACAACCCCGAUGAGAAGCCAAGCAAUUGUUUCAUACUUUUGAUGUUCUCAAACGUUUUCAAUCUUCACAUGAGCGUGGAAUAGAAUGGUGGUUGUGAAGAAGACAAAAAGGAGAAGAUAGUCUCACAUCAACUAGGCGUAUCAACUGGCUAUGGAGAUGCCCAUGAAUAGAUAUCAAUGUGAGUGAGUAGGGAUUUCCAUGCAACGGAUGCACUAGAGCUAUAAGUGUAUGAAAGCUCAAAAAGAAACUAAGUGGGUGUGCAUCCAACUCGCUUGCUCACGAAGACAUAGGGCAUUUUGAGGAAGCCCAUCAUUGGAAUAUACAAGCCAAGUUCUAUAAUGAAAAAUUCCCACUAGUAUAAGAAGGUGAGAAAAUAGGAGACUCUCUAUCAUGAAGAUCAUGGUGCUACUUUGAAGCACAAGUGUGGAAAAAGUAUAGUAGCAUUGCCCCUUCUCUCUUUUUCUCUCAUUUUUAUAUUUUUUAUUUGGGCCUUUCUCUUUUUUUGGCCUCUUUUUUUCUCUUUUCUUUUCUUUUCUUUUAUUUUUUGUCCGGAGUCUCAUCCCGACUUAUGGGGGAAUCAGUGUCCAUCAUCCUUUACUCACAUGGGACAAUGCUCUAAUAAUGAUGAUCAUCACACUUUUAUUUACUUACAACUCAAGAAUUACAACUCGAUACUUAGAACAAAAUAUGACUCUAUGUGAAUGCCUCCGGCGGUGUACCAUGAUGUGCAAUGAAUCAAGAGUGACAUGUAUGAAAGAAUUAUGAAGGUGGCUUUGCCACAAAUACAAUGUCAACUACAUGAUCAUGCAAGGCAAUAUGACAAUGAUGGAACGUGACAUAAUAAACAGAACGGUGGAAAGUUACAUGGCAAUAUAUCUCGGAAUGGCUAUGGAAAUGUCAUAAUAGGUAGGUAUGGUGGCUAUUUUGAGGAAGGUAAAUGGUGGUUUUAUGGUACCGGCGAAAGUUGCGCGGUACUAGAGAGGCUAGCAACGGUGGAACGGUGAGAGUGUGUAUAAAUCAUGGACUCAACAUUAGUCAUACAGAACUCACAUACUUAUUGCAAAAAUCUAUUAGUUGUCGAAACGAAGUAUUAUGCGCAUGCUCCUAGGGGGGUAGAUUUGUAGAGAAAAGACCAUCACUCGUCCCCGACCGCCACUCAUAAGGAACACAAUCAAAAAAUAAAUCAUGCUCCGACUUCAUCACAUAACGAUUCACCAUACGUGCAUGCUACGAGAAUAACAAACUUUAACACAAGUAUCUCUCAAAUUUACAACUACUCAACUAGCAUGACUCUAAUAUCACCAUCUUCGUAUCUCAAAACAAUCAUAAGGAAUCAAACUUCUGAUAGUAUUCAAUGCACUUUAUAUGAAAGUUUUUAUUAUACCCAUCUUUGAUGCCCAUCAUAUUAGGACAAAUUUUAUAGGCAAAGCAAAUUACAAUGUUGUUCUAAAAGACUAUCAAAAUAAUAUAAAUGAAUCAUGAGAGAUCAAUAAUUUCUAUAAAAUAAAACCACCACUGUGCUCUAAAAAGAUAUAAGUGAAGCACUAGAGCAAAAUUAUCUAGCUCAAAAGAUAUAAGUGAAGCACAUAGAGUAUUCUAAUAAAUUCUAAUUCAUGUGUAUCUCUCCCGAAAAGUGUGUACAGCAAGGAUGAUUGUGCUAAACUAAAAAGCAAAGAAUCAAAUCGUACAAGACACUCGAAGAAAAACACAUAUCAUGUGGUGAAUAAAAAAAUAGCCUCAAGUAAAGUUACCGAUAGACAAAGACGAAAGAGGGGAUGCCUUCCGGGGCAUCCCCAAGCUUAGGCUUUUGGUUGUCCUUGAAUUUUACCUUGGGGUGCCUUGUGAAUCCCCAAUCUUACGCUAUUGCCACUCCUUAUUCCAAAAUCCAUCAAAUCUUUACCCAAAAACUUGAAAACUUCACAACACAAAACUUCAACAAAAAGUCUCAUGAGCUCUUUUAGUAUAAGAAAAUAAACCACCACUUUAAGGUACUGUAAUGAACUCAUUCUUUAAUUAUAUUGGUGUUAAACCUACUUUAUUCCAUCUUCUUUAUGGUUCAUACCCCCCCCCCGAUACUAGCCAUAGAUGCAUCAAAAUAAGCAAACAACACGCGAAAAACAGAAUCUGUCAAAAACAGAACAGUCUGUAGCAAUCUGGAGGUUUCGAAUACUUUUGUAACUCCAAAAAUUCAGAAACAUUAGGCUGGCCAGGAUAAUUUUUAUAUUGAUCUACUUCAGUUGAAAUUGGUAUUUUAUCACUCCCUCGUAAAAAAUGAAACUUAUUUUCGUGAGCGCAUACUUUCUGUUUUUAUCAGCAAGAUCAAACAACAAUCACCCAAGAAGAUUCUAAAGGCUUUACUUGGAACAAACACUAAUUAAAACAUCAAAAACACAACCUUAACAGAGGCUAGAUGAAUUAUUUAUUACUAAACAGAAACAAAAAGCAAAGAACAAAAAUAAAAUUGGGUUGCCUCCCAACAAGCGUUAUCGCUUAACGCCCCUAGCUAGGCAUAAAAACAAGAAUAGAUCUAGGUAUUGUCAUCUUUGGUAUGCAAUCCAUACGUAGCCCUCAUGAUAGAUUCAUAAGGCAAUUUAAUUUUCUUCCUAGGAAAGUGUCCCAUGCCUUUCCUGAAUGGAAAUUGGAAUAUAAUAUUUCCUUCUUUCAUGUCAAUAAUUGCACCAAACGUUCUAGGGAAAGGUCUACCAAGAAUAUAGGACAUGUAGGAUUACAAUCUAUAUCAAGAACAAUGAAAUCUACAGGUACAUAAUUCCUAUUUGCAACAAUAAGAACAUCAUUAAUCCUUCCCAUAGGUUUCUUAAUGGUGGAAUCCACAAGAUGCAAAUUUAAAGAAGAACCAUCAAAUUCAGGGAAACCUAGCACAUCACACAAAGUUUUUGGAAUCGUGGAAACACUAGCACCCAAAUUACAUAAAGUAUAGGAUUCAUAAUCUUUAAUCUUAAUUUUAAUAGUAAGUUCCCACUCAUCAUAAAGUUAUAGAAACUUCCCAAAUUUUUGGUAUUUUUGUCAAUCCCUUCACGGUCACUCGCAAAAGUGAGAUCUAAUAAAGAUAGUAAAGUAAAUAUUUUUGGUAUUUUUGUUGUAUAGAUUGGAAAGUAAAGAUUGCAAAAUAGUAAACGAGAUGUGAUGUAAAUAAAAGAGAUGAAAUAUAAUAAGAAAGAGGCCUGUGGGCCAUAGGUUUCACUAGUGGCUUCUCUCAAGAUAACAUGUAUUACAGUGGGUGAACAAAUUACUGCCGAGCAAUUGAUAGAAAAGUGCAUAGUUAUGAGAAUAUCUAGGCAAUGAUCAUGAAUAUAGGCAUCACGUCCUUGUCAAGUACAUGGAGACGAUUCUGCAUCUACUGCUAUUACUCCACACAUCGACCGCUAUCCAGCAUGCAUCUAGAGUAUUAAGUUCAUAAGAUCAGAGUAACGCUUUAAGAAAGAUGACAUGAUGUAGAGGGAUAAACUCAAGCAAUAUGAUACAAACCCCAUCUUUUCAUCCUCGAUGGCAACAACACAAUACGUGCCUUGCUGCCCCUACUGUCACUGGGAAAGGACACCGCAAGAUUUAACCCAAAGAUAAGCACUUCCAUUGUAGGAAAGAUCAAUCUAGUUGGCCAAACUAAAUCGAUUAUUCGAAGAGACUUGCAAAGAUAUCAAAUCAUGCAUAUAAGAAUUCAGAGAAGAACAAAAUAAUAUUCAUAGAUAGUCUUGUUCAUAAACCCACAAUUCAUCGGAUCUCGGCAAACACACCGCAAAAUACUAUUACAUCGAACAGAUCUCCAAGAACAUCAAGGAGAACUUUGUAUUGAGAAUCAAAGAGAUAGAAGAAGCCAUCUAGCUAAUAUCUAUGGACCUGAAGGUCUGUGGGAAACUACUCACGCUUCAUCGAAGAGGCUAUGGUGUUGAUGUAGAAGCCCUCCGUGAUUGAUUCCCCCUCCGGCAGAUUGCCAAAAAAGGCCCCAAGAUGGGAUCUCACGGGUAUAGAAGGUUGUGGCGGUGGAAAAGUGGUUUCGUGGCUCUCUGUGAUCGAUCUAGGGUAUACGAGUAUAUAUAGGCGAAAGAAGUACAUCGGAGGAUCUUCAUGGGGCCCACGAGGGUGGGGGGCACGCCUACCCCCCUGGGCGCGCCCUCCUGCCUCAUGGCUGCCUCACAGAGUUCCAGACUUCAACUCCAAGUCUUCUGUUUUGCUUUUGGUACAAGAAAGAUCAUGGUGAAGGUUUCAUUCCAUUUGGAUUCCGUUUGGUAUUCCUUUUCUACGGGUACAGAAGGUUGUGGCGGUGGAAAAGUGGUUUCGUGGCUCUUUGUGAUUGAUCUAGGGUAUACGAGUAUACAUAGGCGAAAGAAGUACAUUGGUGGAGCUUCAUGGGGCCCACGAGGGUGGGGGGCACGCCUACGCCCCUAGGCACGCCCUCCUGCCUCAUGGCUGCCUCACAGAGUUCCAGACAUCAACUCCAAGUCUUCUGGUUUGAUUUUGGUACAAGAAAGAACAUCACAAAGGUUUCAUUCCAUUUGGAUUCCGUUUGGUAUUCCUUUUCUACGAAACUCUAAAAUAGGCAAAAAAAACAGAAACUAGCACUGGGCCUCUGGUUAAUAGGUUAGUCCCAAAAAUAAUAUAAAAGAGUAUAUUAAAGCCGAUUUAACAUCCAAAACAGAUAAUAUAAUAACAUGGAACAAUCAAAAAUUAUAGAUACGUUGGAGACGUAUCAGCGCCCAUGCCAGUGAACAUACCUGUAGCAUUGACAGGCUGGUCGCCGAGCACUAUCGCAGAGCUAGAAGCCACGGGCGUCAGUGAGGUCUCCGCAGACCCGCGCGAGCUCGUGUACAUGCCAGCGCUCGUGCCCGUGCCCAUGCGCGCCCCUCCACCCACUGCGGCGCCGGUCCCCAUGCGUUUGGCUUCACCCGUGAUGACCCACAAGUAUACGGUAUCCAUCGUUGUAGGAUGUGGGGUUCCGACAAACCCUUAAGGUUCGAACACUAGGGUGCACGCGAAGUCUUUUCCUCCCACCGAUCUACGCCCUAGCUCGCUAAGAUCUCGCAGACGAACUAGACGAACUCGCAACACAGAAAGACACGAGGUUUAUACUGGUUCGGGCCAACGUUGUGGUGUAAUAUCCUAUUCUAGUGUGGUGAUGGUGGAUUGCCUCUAGGGCUGAUGAUGAACAGUACAAGGGAAGAACAGCCUCCUGAGGUUGAGGUGUUCUUGAGCUCGGUGAGCUUGUCUGUGUGUGUAUGGUCUAAAUGAUCCGUCUGUUAAUAAGGUGGUGGCUAGUCCUAUUUAUAUUGGCCCUGGUCCUCUUCCCAAAUAUCGAGCGGGAAGGGAGCCAACAAUGGCGGGCUAAUUCGAAGGGGGACAGCUAGUACAAGCUAUCCUGACAAAAGUGGUCUUCGCCUGCCAAACGCUCUGGUGGUGACGCCGUAUUGGGCUCCACGAUGACCUCCGUAUUGACGUCCUCCUAGUCUUGGUCUCGUUGCACCAAUAUAGAAACCUUUUCCUGAUGCCUCAUUACUCCUCGCCUGCACUGGUCUCCUUAGCACCAAAGAGGAAACAAGGACGCUGCACGCGCUGGCGCCCGCCUGGUGUCGUGCGUCAUGGCUCACAUCACGAGGGCCUCGUGAGGUUUGCCCCGCCUUGAUAUAUCCGCUCCUCAUGAGGUUGCCUAUCUAGGCUACUCCAGAGGAGGUCUUGCGUCAUCCGCCUCGCGAGGCUUGGACUCUCGCGAGGGUCUUGGAUGCAUCAUUGGUGAAGAUGGUCUGUAUAGCCUACUGGCUUAGCCACGCCACGGGCCGCAGGCAGGCAAGUCUGGGGACCCCCAUUCCCAGAACGCCGACAGUAGCCCCCGGGCCAAGGUGCGCUCAGGCUUGGCUUCACGGCGAAACCAAGGGCCAUGUAUGGAGCGCUGCGGGCCCCAAAAGCCUGCGGCUUUGAUUGAUGCGUGGUGGAUGAUUGGACGUGGGCGUCUCCGCUUCCCCAUGUUGCCUCAACAACUGCUCGACUUGUCAGGUUCCCGCGACAUGCAAGGAAAACCAUCAUUACCUGUGAUCGCGGGAGACGCCGGUCGGCCUUCCCUUGCUAUAAAUGGGGAGAGGGGCGGUGCCCCCAUUGCCCAUCUCUUCCUUGCUUUCUUGCUCCUUCCUCCUUGCUCCAUCACUUGCAGUGACACCCAUGGCACCAUGAAGGAAGUUCUCCGCUGCCAAGAAGGGGAAAGCCCCUCGCGAGGGACCCGGCUCCCCGACGCCCAAGCGCGGCCGUGGCCGCCCGCGCAAAGAUGCCGUGACCCCCGCUGUGGCCCAUUGUCGAGACAGCGCCACGAUACGCGGAGCGAGUCAUCCCAGCCAUGGAGGUCCAAUUGAUGAGGGGAGGCGUGCCAUGGUGGCGUGACCACCUCGUCCACGCUUCCACACGGCGGAGGUGUCGCCGGAGUUCGUCGUCUGGUCGAAGAACCCGGCUGGCAACUGGCUCCAACUCCCGCGCUUCUUCGCUGGCGAACUGUCGACCUCUGGUCCAGGCGGACUCUGGCUGCAGGCAGAUGGCUGCUGCAGUAAGGCCUCUUGGGUUGCAGUCGAGACUUCCGCCGCCGGCAACAUAGCCCUGGCCGGCGGCUGGCAGACAUUCGCCCGCGCCCGCGGCCUGGGCAGGCGGUGCACCCUCCACUUUGGGUACGAUGGUGGGUCGACCCUUUAUGUGAGGGUGUUUGGGGAAGAUGGUCGCCGCGCUAGGUGCUUCCCCGAGGCGAACGACGGUGAGGAGGUACCCGGCCUUGGGGACAGUCGCGACGAGGACGAGGGUGAGCCCCCCCUCGUCGGCGAUCGUGUCUUGUCCAGCUACGGCGAAUCUUCCUCCGGCUACAACUCCAGCAGUGGCAGCUAUGCCCAGCCGCCAUGCCCGUUUUGAAGGGGGCAGUGGGUCGUCUGAUCGCCACACCUCCGUGAAGCAUGAGGAAGGAUCUAGCUAGGCUCGCAGUAGUGCUAGGUGCCUGUCCUCUCGGAUCGCUGCAAUGCUACUUUUGUUUUGCUCUUUUCCUGCAUCAAGAAUGAAACCAGCAUGGGCCCAGGGGGCGUGUAUCGAACUAUGGUUCCUUGGUUAUAUCAGUAUGCUUGUUGUUCUCGUGUUGUGUCAUUAUUUUGCGCAAAGAUAACUUAACCUAGUAUACUCAGGACGUCCUCUUCCUCGCGAAGCGUUUAUUUCCUCGCAUUCAUCUUGCCUCGGUGGCCUGCAUUCGCUCAGGAACUACGAAAAACUCGUUAGGAAGUGUGUUAAAAGAUUUGGCGUUCAUCCUGGCCCGGACCUGGCGCUUUGUGUCGCGGUACCCGAGGGGCACGGACUAGGAGAGGUGCGCUAGCUUUUGAGCUCAAACGAUGGUGGCUCACGAGAAGGCAAAAAGGAGAAAAAAUGCUCGCGAGGGCACCUACCUAGCCCCCUCGCGAGGCAUGUGAGAGAGAGAACACAAGCAAAUUCGAGCAGGAUAAAACACAGUGAGAGGCGAGGUAAUCAAAUCAGCAAGGAACGCCAAAGGCAAACUUUGAUUGAGAAAAAGUGAGUCAACUAUGGAAAGCAAAUGAAAAUCCGCGUCCGACACCUAAUCUAGUCUUCAAGUCUUCUCACCAGCGCGGAGCUAAGUGCUGUCCACUAGGCAUGGGAGGGAGCCCCAGGGCCUGAGGCUGGCGCUCCUGAGACUCCGGGGCGUGUACAGCCCGACUCAUUAUUACGUGAGAGUGUCACGGCCGGUGAAUCUUCACAGGCACCGGGCCUUCUUCACAGGCUCUGGGCCUUUCUGCUCAGGCUCUGGGCCUUGCUUCUAAGGCUCUGGGCCUUGCUUCAUGGAUACAACUUCCGAAGAUGCUGGAUGUUCUAGGUGUUCUGGAUAGGUAUCCCGUCCUGCAUCUCCAGGCGCGCUGCACCCGGUCUGGAGACAUGGACGACCCUGAACGGGCCCCCCCACAUGGGCGAAAGCUUGUGCAGCCCUUCCCUAGAGAGGACCCGCCUCAGGACGAGGUCACCCACCUCGAGCGUCCUGGAUCGGAUGUUGCGGCAGUGGUAUCACCGCAGCGCUUGUUGGUACCUUGCUGCCCUCAACAUGGCUUCGCGACGGCGUUCCUCCCCUAGCACGGGAUUCAUCCCCCGCAUGGCGUCCUACUGCAUUUCGUCGAAUGCUAGGACCCGUGCGGAGCGAUGCUUGACCUCGUGAGGAAGGACUGCUUCAGCUCCGUAGACCAGGAAGAAUGGAGUCUCGCCUGUUGGCUUGGUGGCGGUGGUUCGGAUGGACCACAACACGGACUGGAGCUCGUCGUGCCAGCCCCUGCCGCAAGCCUCUAGCUUCUUCUUGAAGGUCCUGGUCUUGAGGCCCCUCAGGACCUCCGCGUUAGCGUGCUCGGCCUGACCGUUACUCCUGGGGUGGGCCACCAAAGCGUAGCAGAUCUGCAUUCCAAGGUUAGCACAGUAGGUUUUGAAGAGGUUGCUAUUAAACUGCGAGCCGUUAUCUGUGAUGAUGCGGUUGGGGACCCCAAAGCGGCUCACGAGGCCCUUGAUGAACUUGAUAGCAGAGCCGGCUGGAAUGGUACGGACGGCUUCCACUUCCGCCCACUUGGUGAACUUGUCGAUGGCGACGUAGAGAUAGUGGUAGCCACUUGGAGCCCUGGGAAACGGGCCUAGGUUGUCCAGCCCCCAGACUGCAAACGGCCAGGUGAGCGGGAUGGUUUGGAGGCCCUGAGCAGGCUGAUGGAUUUUCUUGGCGUGGAAUUGGCAAGCUUCAUAGGACUUCACCAGCUCGAUCGCAUCGUUGAGUGUUGUAGGCCAAUAGAAUCCACUGCGGAACACCUUGCCGACGAGGGUCCGUGAUGACGAGUGAAGUCCGCAGUCACCGCCGUGUAUGUCAAUCAGCAACUCCCUUCCUUGAUCGCUGGAGAUGCAACACAACGUGACAUCGUUUGGUAGUUUCUUGUAUAACUCGUCGUCUUGGAUACAAUAUGCCGUGGCCUGCCGGGCCACGUGCUCUGCGUCCUCUUCCUUCUCCGGCGGUGUCCCGUGCAUUAGGUACUCCUUGAAUUCCUUGAUCCAGCACUCCUCCUGGGGCUCGAACGCCAAGAGCAGCCGAGCUCCUGAGGUCGGGCCACAGGCUGGGGCUCCCGUGGUUGGGGGUUGCGGGAGUUCCUCCCGAGGUUGAGUCAUGCUUGAAAGAGGUGGCGAAGCAGAUGGCUUGAAGGGCCUCUCUUCGAAGACGUCGGGCUCUUGCUGUUGCUUCUUGGAUGCUCUCCUAUGGAUGUCAUUGGCUUCCUUGUUGGUGCCCCGGGGCAUGUGCUGCAGCUCCAGGCCCGCGAACUGCUUUUCCAUCUUGCGCACCUCCGCGAGGUAGGCCUCCAUGUGCUCGUCCUUCGGCUCGUACACCUUGUUAGAAAAGUUGACGAGGAGCUGUGAGUCGCCUUUGACGGUGAGGCGCUUCACCCCUAGAGGCACCACACACCUUAGGCCAUCUAUGAGGCUUUCAUAUUCUGCGAUGUUGUUGGAGACAUUCUCGCCAUGCGGAAAACAGAGUUGCACGACGUAGUAGAGCUUGUCCUGAGUGGGCGAGAUGAGCACUGCUCCAGCCCCCGCGCCCUGAUGCGCGAAGGUGCCAUCGAAAUACAUGACCCAGCCGUCUGGUGCCUCGCUUCCUGGGGAGGUGGACCGGCCUUCUCCUUCCUCAAGAGUCGGGGCAUCUGUCCAUUCUGCCACAAAAUCGGCGAGCGCGGCUCCCUUGAUGACCCUGGUAGUGUUGAACUCCAACUGGAAUGCUUGCAACUCGAUGUUGUCACACCCUGAUUUUCAUGCCACAACACUUAAGCUAAUAAAUCAUGAUAAAGUGUGGUUUGACAAAAACUUUUGCAUUAUUUGGCUUUUAUUUUGAGUUGGUUUUCUCUGUGUGGUUUUUCAAGUGCUCUUUAAAGUCAACUACUCCACCUUCUGUACUUCAUCUCCUUGCCCCAAACUUAUGCCCAAUGAUCAUGCCAUGUGUAUAGUGCAAUAUAGUAUUUUCUUACAAAAAUAAUCUGGCCAAAUAGUAUUUUCAAAAAUUAGUUUUCCAAAAACCCCUGAAUUGAGGUUUGCACUACAAGUACUUGAUUUGGGGUAUGAAAAAUAUUUCAAAGAGUAUAUUUGAAACCUAUUAGAGAUAGGAUUCCCAUAAACCACAAAAAUAUAAUUUUAAAAUUAUUUUCCUAUUUUAUUUAAAAGGUUUUUCUUAAGGCCAAAAAUGGUCUUUAAUAGGGAAAAAUUAUUUUAUUGUUUCAAAAAUAUUUGACAAAACUCAGGGAAACUCAGUGGACAUAUAUUUUCCAUAUAUCAGAGUUUCAACACAUGGCCAUGUUCAAAAUAUUGGACAAAACCUCCCAAAAGUAUUUAUGCCCAUUUCAAGGAUUUGAAAUAUCUCUACAGGAAAUAUUUUCAUAAAAAUCCAAGGAAAAUCCAGCAUGUCACAAAUGCAUAUUGUGAUCACCUUGCAAAGCCGAAAUGCCCCAAUGAGGCCACAGGGUGAAAUGCAUAUUGUGAUCACAUUUCAAGGUCAUUUUGGCUCACCAAAAUGCCCCAAAACCCUCUCUGACCAAAAUCAAAUUUGAACAACUUUGUACUACAAACUUUCUCUCCUUGACCCCAACUUUUGUGAGCAUGUUGACAUGACCAAAUGAGGCCACUAAACCAAGUGGUGCAUCAAGGGGAAGUGAUUUGCUCAACUAGAUCUACACAAGUUCAUUUCUGCUAAUUUCUAGGGUUUACAAAAGUUGCAUUGGCAACUUUUCCCAAAUGAGAUCAAAAUUGGUGGAAGGCCCUAAUUAUAUGUUCCAUUUCACCCUGUGGAGUCUUAUGCGAAAUGGAGUUCAUUUGCUUACCCAAACAAGCAACAAACACCUUCUGCUGUCGGAUUUCGGGUUUCGGCAGACCCUUGAGGUUGGAACACUGGGGUGUGCGUGGAGAUUUCGCCUCCUACCUACCUGCACUCUCCGCCUUACUAGGAUCUAAAGUAAGGAAAGAACAACACAAGAGACACAGGGUUUAUACUGGUUCGGGCCAUCGUUGUGGUGUAAUACCCUACUCCAGUGUGUGGUGUGGUGGAUUGCCUCUUGGGCUGAUGAUGAUGAACAAUACAAGGAAGAACAGCCUCGCGAGGGUCUGCUCCUGGCUGGGGCGAUGAACUGCUGGGAGGAGCUCAGUCACCCCUCUCUCUCUCUCUCUACCUGAUCUUCUCUAUCUUUCCGACUCUCUGGCCAGCUCUAUUUCCCCAGCCUCCUUUUGCUCUGUGGGUGGCUAGUCCUAUUUAUAGAGGCCCUGGUCCUCUUCCCAAAUAUCGAGCGGGAAGGGAGCCAACAAUGGCGGGCUAAUUUGAAGGGGGCAGCUAGUAUCAACUAUCCUGACAAAAGUGGUCUUCGCCUGUGCAAAGCUCUGGUGAUGACGCCGUCUUGGGCUCCACGGUGACCUCCGUCUCGUAGUCUUCCUGGUCUUGGUCUCGUUGCACCAAAAUGGCAACCUUUGCCUGAUGCAUCAGUACUCCACGGCUGCACUUGCCCCCUUUGCACCAAAGAGGAAGGGAGGACGCUGCGCGGGCUGGCACCCGCCUGGCGCCCCCGAUCGUCAUGGCUUGCGUCACGGGCACCUCAUGAGAUACCCUGCCUUGAUCUCUCCGCCUCCUCGUGAGCCAGCCUGACGAGUCUGCGCCUGAGGAAGCUUCGCGUCGUCCGCACCACGAGGCUUGGCCCCUCGCGAGGGUCUUGGGUUUGUGUUGGUGAAGAUGGGCCGCGCUGGGCCCCCUUUGAACCACGCCAUAGGCCGCAGGCAGGCAAGUCUGGGGACCCCCGUUCCCAGAACGCCGACAGUAGCCCCCGGGCCCAAGGCGCGCCCGGACUUGGCCGUGUAGGGAGGCGGAAGGGCAAGAGCGAAGCGCCGCGUGCCCUAACAGCCUGCGGCCUUGUGCGCCGCGUGGCAGUUGAUUGGACGUGGGUGUCUCCACUUCCCCAUGGCGCCUCGGCAACUGCACGGAUUGGACAAGUCCCUGCAUGCAAAGCGGGUCAUAAUUACCUGUGAUCGUGGGGGCCGUUGGUUGGCAAUCGCUAGUUAUAAGUAUGGACCGGCGCGCGCCCUUACAGUUCAUCUCUCCUUGCUUCUCCUUUUCUUCAUGGCCCCGUCAAGGAGGUUCUCGGCCGCGGAGAAGGGGAAGGCUCACCAGGUUGAGCUUGCCUCUACCCCACCCAAGCGCGGCCGAGGGCGUCCUCAUAAACAUUCUGUGGCCACCACGGUGGCUCCCCACGGCCGUGGAGGCGAUCUUCAGCAUAGCGACGGGCGGAUUGCUGCGGCCGGGGGGCACGCUCUGGCUGCACGUCCCCCUAGGUCGUGCUUUCGCGCUGCUGAUGUGCUGCCGGAGUUCGUCGUGUGGUCGGCGGGGCCGACCAGCACCCGGCUUCCACUUCCUCGCUUCCUCCUUGGCGAGCUCCCGGCCGGCGCCCCGGGCGGCCUCUGGCUCCAGGCCGACGGCUGCUGCAGCCGGGCCUCAUGGGUCUCACUUGAGGUCUCCAUGACCGGGAGCCUGUUCCUGGCCCGCGGUUGGCAGACGUUUGCCCACGCGCGUGGCCUGAGCCGUCGGUGCACCCUACACUUCAAGUUCGACGGCGAUGCCACCCUCUACGCGAGGGUGUUUGGGGAAGAUGGUCGCCGCACAGGGUGCUGCCCCGAGGGUGACGACCGCGGCUGGGAACCCAGUGAUGGGGUUAUGUACCUAGGGUAGGGUCACGGACCUGUCCCAAGUAACUUACCCUAGGACAUCCCUAGAAGAGGUCGCCUUCCAGUCGACCAACGAGGACACACUCGACUGGCCUGAAGGACUCGACCACGAAGACUCACUCGACCACCAGGAGGUCAAGAGGCACUCUGCACCGCAACGGUCUGUAAUUAAGUAGACUUUAUGAUAGUAAAGGCACUUUAUGUGGGGCGUUACCAGUAACGCCCCAGACUUAACUCACCUUAAACCCUCUCCUACGUGGGCUGGCUGGGGUCCUGGCGCACUCUAUAUAAGCCACCCCCCUCCACAGGCAGAAGGGUUCGGCACCUUGUAAUCCAUACAUUCAUAAUCCACUCGACCGCCUCCGGGCUCCGAGACGUAGGGCUGUUACUUCUUCCGAGAAGGGCCUGAACUCGUACAUCCUUUGUGCUUACAACCUCUCCAUAGCUAGGACCUUGCCUCUCCAUACCUACCCCCCACUCUACUGUCAGGCUUAGAACCACGACAGUUGGCGCCCACCGUGGGGCAGGUGUUUUAGCGAUUUUGUGGAGAAGUUGCGAUUCUUCCGAUUAUUUUCAUCAUGGUGUCUGCUGGAAUUUUGAUCGAGGGUCAAGAGAUCCGUCUCGGCACUCUCACCUUCAUCGCUGACGACUCCGCAUGGCUCCAAGAGGCUCCACUCGACGUAGAUGCGCUCCCCGUCCGCGGUGCGACGCAUUUUCGCGCAUGUGUCCGCGGCGUUCUGCUGCGGCAACCAUCGACCCAGUAUCGGUCGGCUCCUCCGUCUUCCACCCUCCCAGUCUCCCGCCAGCGCAAGCGCUCAGGCCGGUCGAGGCUUCAGCGAUGGGUGAGUCACGCGGUGGCUCGCCAGUCGACCACUACACAAGUUGCGGCAAUCGAGCCCAACGAAUCUCUCUACGGCUUGUUCGAUCAGUCGACUGGAUCCGGAGAGACUGCAUCCGAGUGCGGAAGCAGUGAUCCAGCGGCGGAAAUCCUGAUGGUCGACGGGCCCCACAGCCCUCCUGGCUUCGCCCGCGGUGGUGGAGCAGGUGACGGCGGCGACCCUGCUCGAGGCUACGAAGAGUACCAGCCCGAGCCACUCGACUCUCUGCAAAGAGAAGAGCUUCGCCGCAGGAACGAGGAUCCCCUGCGUGUACCCAUCGCAGGAGAAACCCCCGAGGCUCGUGCCUUGGAGGAGGCGCGUCUGGCCAAUUUGGCCGAGCGCACUCGACUGGAGAACCUUCAGCGAGCACUCGACGAGCGCGCGCGGCAACGAGUUCCCGACACCAGUCGACGACAACUCUUCCCGCCGACUCAGGUAUAUCGAACCCCAAUUCAGAAUUUAGCAGCUGCGACCCGUAUAGCAGAGUCCAUUCAGCCUUCGCAGUCAGAAGCUGGCAGAGGUUUGCUGCAGAUCAGGGAUCUGCUCCGGGCAGCAGGAGAUCAGAAUUCAGCCGUGUCUCAGUCGCGCAACAGAAUUCACAGUCGAUCUGUCACUGUGAAUACGGUUCAGUCGGCUCACAGCCCCAGAUCGCCUCCGCGGCGCGAAGGGCGUGAGAAUCGACGAGAUCAAUAUGGCGACAGACUCGACCGAGACGAUAGGCGUCGAGUGCCCUAUUCCCCUCCGAGGGGUGGGUCUUACGCUCCUCGGCAGCCAGAUGAUAGGCGUCAAUACAGUACAGGGCGUAGGGUUCCAGUUGACCCCAGAGAGCCAGGCUUCGACGCGUGAUCCAUUAUCGUGCAAGGAUUGGUCGACCGGAACAGAGCCCAUCGAGGUGCACUCGACAGAGAUGUGCCCACGAGCAGUCGAGUACAUGUUUCUGGUCCUGAAUGUUUCAGCAGAGCUAUCAGAGCCGCUGUUAUUCCCCCCAAUUUCAGGUUGGCAACAGGAGUCAGCAAGUUCACCGGUGAGUCUAAGCCUGAAACUUGGCUAGAAGACUACCGAGUGGCAGUUCAGAUCGGCGGUGGGAACGACAAGGUGGCCAUGAAGCAUUUGCCCCUCAUGUUGGAAGGUUCUGCCAGGGCAUGGUUGACUCAAUUGCCUCCUAGCAGUAUUUACACUUGGGAAGAUCUGUCCCGAGUGUUCGUCAGAACGUUCGAAGGGACUUGCAAGCGACCAGCGGGAUUGACAGAGUUGCAAGUCUGCGUGCAGAAAACCAAUGAGACUCUCAGAGAGUAUAUUCAGAGGUGGAUCACUUUGCACCACACUGUGGAAAACGUCUCUGACCAUCAGGCAGUAUGCGCCUUCAAAGAUGGUGUCAAGAACAGAGAACUGAGCUUGAAAUUUGGUCGAACCGGUGACAUGACCUUGAGUCGGAUGAUGGAGAUUGCUACCAAGUACGCCAACGGCGAAGAAGACCGACUCCGAAGCGGCAAGCACAAGCCGAGUCAGUCGGAAAAAGGAAAUUCCAGUCGGAAACAGAAGCGGAAGGCUGAACCGGCAGCUCCUGGAGAGGCUCUGGCCGUGACUCAAGGAAAGUUUAAGGGGAAACCAAAAGGAUCCUGGAACCCCAAGAAGGUGAAGGAUAAAGAAGGGAACGACGUGAUGGAUAUGCCGUGUCAUAUUCACACAAAGAAAGAUGAAGAGGGGAAUAUCAUUUACCCAAAGCACACCACUCGCCAAUGUCGACUCCUGAUCCAGCAGUUUCAGGGAAAACAGUCUAAGGACAAGGAGAAGGAGUCGGACAAAGCCGAAGACAAAGAGGACAGUGAGGGAGGAUAUCCGCAUAUCAACUCCACUCUGAUGAUCUUCGCAGAUGUGGAAAGCAGAAGUCGACUGAAAGUGAUUAACCGAGAGGUUAACAUGGUUGCCCCAGCAAAGGCAAAUUAUCUGAAGUGGUCUCAGACACCCAUCACAUUCGACCAAUCUGAUCACCCGACUCAUAUUGCCACCCCUGGGAGGCAAGCUUUGGUGGUCGAUCCAGUUGUCGAAGGCACUCGACUGACAAAGGUGCUGAUGGACGGUGGAAGUGGCCUGAAUCUGUUAUAUGCAGACACGUUGAAAGGUAUGGGCAUUCCGAUGUCCCGACUGAGCACUAGUAACAUGAGCUUCCAUGGAGUUAUACCAGGGAAGAAGGCCGAGUCACUCGGCCAAAUAACUUUGGAUGUAGUGUUUGGCGAUUCAAAGCAUUUUCGCAAAGAAAAGUUGACGUUUGAGGUCGUGGAUUUUCAAAGUGCAUAUCAUGCCAUUUUGGGGAGGCCAGCCUAUGCACGGUUCAUGGCUCGACCAUGUUACGUGUACCUCAAAUUGAAGAUGCCCGGUCCCAAAGGUGUGAUCACUGUCACCGGAGAUAGGAAAAAGGCAGAGGAGUGCUUUCAGAAGGGCUCCAAAAUUGCCGAUUCCCAAGUGACAGCGGUCGAGUUCGAAGAAUACAAGCAAAACGCAGAUCCGAGUGACUUGCUGCGGUCCAAGAAGCCCGCCACAGAAUCUGCAUUCCAGUCGUCCGGUGAGACGAAGCCUGUUCACAUUCACCCGACCGACCCCGAAGCAGCCCCGACCCGCAUCUCCACAACACUCGACCCAAAAUAGGAAGAAGCGCUCAUCCAGUUCCUCCGUGAGAACUGGGACAUUUUUGCAUGGAAGCCCGCUGACAUGCCAGGUGUUCCCAGGGGACUGGCUGAGCAUCGCCUAAGAGUCGACAAGUCUGCAAAGCCAGUCAAAGAACAUCUUCGGCGGUCCGCCGUCCAGAAGAGAAAGGCCAUUGGUGAAGAAGUGGCUCGACUGUUGGCGGCAGGAUUUAUCCGAGAGAUAUUCCACUCCAAGUGGCUCGCUAAUGUCGUCAUGGUUCCUAAGAAGGACAAGUCGCUCCGAAUGUGCAUUGAUUUCAAGCACAUCAACCGGGCCUGCCCGAAAGAUCACUUUCCUCUCCCUCGCAUAGAUCAAAUUGUUGACUCGACCGCGGGAUGCGAAAGGUUGUCUUUUUUAGAUGCUUACUCUGGGUACCACCAGAUCCGUCUGUAUGGGCCCGAUGAAGUAAAAACAGCUUUCAUCACUCCAUUCGGGUGCUUCUGCUAUAUCACCAUGCCAUUCGGCCUCAAGAAUGCCGGAGCCACAUUUAUGCGAAUGAUCCAGAAGUGUCUACUCACUCAAAUCAGUCGGAAUGUGGAAGCUUAUAUGGAUGAUAUUGUUGUCAAGUCACGAAAAGGUUCCGACCUGCUCGCUGACCUCGCCGAAACAUUUGCCAACCUCAGAAGGUAUGAUAUCAAGCUCAAUCCAUCAAAGUGCACAUUUGGAGUUCCUGGUGGCAAGUUACUCGGUUUUCUCGUUUCCGAACGGGGAAUCGACGCCAACCCAGAAAAGAUUGGCACUAUUCUCCGAAUGAAACGCCCUGUGCGAGUGCACGAUGUCCAGAAGCUUACUGGAUGCUUGGCCGCAUUAAGUCGAUUCAUCUCACGACUCGGUGAAAAGGCAUUGCCUCUUUACCGACUGAUGAAGAAGGCUGACAAGUUCGAGUGGACUCCGGAAGCUGAUGCAGCGUUUGCCGAGCUAAAAGCUCUGCUCUCCACCCUGCCGGUGCUUGCUGCUCCAAUCAGCAAAGAGCCUCUGUUGCUCUACAUCGCAGCCACAGGACAAGUCGUCAGUACUGUGCUAACGGUCGAGCGGGAAGAAGAAGGAAAAGCUCUCAAAGUUCAGCGCCCAGUGUAUUAUUUGUCUGAAGUCUUGACUCCAUCCAAGCAGAGAUAUCCUCAUUAUCAGAAGCUUGUGUAUGGAAUAUACAUGACCACAAAGAAGGUUGCUCAUUAUUUCUCUGACCAUUCAAUCACAGUCGUCAGCGACGCUCCACUAUCAGAGAUUUUGCAUAACAGAGAUGCAACUGGUCGAGUGGCCAAAUGGGCGAUUGAACUUCUUCCCCUUGAUAUCAAGUUUGAGGCAAAGAAAGCCAUUAAGUCCCAGGCAAUCGCAGAUUUCCUCGCCGAGUGGAUCGAACAACAGCAGCCGACUGAAGUUCACUCGGAGCAUUGGACCAUGUUUUUCGAUGGUUCUAAGAUGUUGAAUGGUUCCGGUGCUGGGGUUGUCCUGGUUUCCCCCAGAGGAGAUAAGCUCAGAUAUGUGCUCCAGAUUCACUUUGAUUCCUCCAACAAUGAGGCAGAAUAUGAGGCCCUCCUGUAUGGGUUGCGCAUGGCCAUUUCACUCGGCGUCCGUCGCCUAAUGGUCUACGGCGACUCAGAUUUAGUGGUCAAUCAGGUGAUGAAAGAGUGGGACGUGAGAAGCCCAGCCAUG